rnacentral:lncRNA from 1 species
UUUUUUUUUUUUUGGUUUGGUGCCUACAUUGCCUCCUGUCAGCUGCUGUGUCUCACAAUUUUUCGUUUUCUUACAUAGCACUAUCAAGCAACAGCACAAGAUGACAUGAUGAUGAAUAUGGCAGAGUUUUUAGCGGCACGAGAUUCUGCGAAAAAAAAAAAAAAAAGUUGUGGCUGCUGGCUAUGUAUUUAUAUAGAGGUGUAGUACAAUGGGCUACUGCCAGUAUAGAAGUCUUGAAAUGUUCAGAGUUUGUAGUUAUUGUAAAAAUACUCUAUUCAUAGCUAGUAAUUCAGUGGGUGAAUUGAUACGAAAAAAAUAUAAAAACAGUAUGAUGAACAAGUAGAAACUUUGGGAAUGUGUAGGAUACAAUAUCUUGAACUCAUUUGUAAUUUAAACUUCUAAAACUCUUCAGUUUUGCUAGUGCGUGAUCUUCUUUCAUUAUCCCAUUCAAAACCAAACUUCAUAGUUCAACUAGUCAAUAACGAAGACUUUUCCUCCAAGUAAUCUCCUAUUUUUGUCCGCUAAUUGAUUACUACUUUUUUAUAGCAGCUAUUGACAAAAAGAAUUUAUUUAAGGGGGCUGAUAUAUAUCACCAAAAUUUCGUCACCAUUUAUCACCAUAUCUUAAACAUGGGCAAAGCCACAGCUUCCCAUUUCCUAUAUGCGCUUUUGUACUAUUUAAGUUCAUGUUUGAACAAAAUCUGUGACUAAGAUGCAUUUUGUACUAUUUAGCUAAUUACUUUAAACAUUUUGAUCGUGUAUACAAGUUCGGAGAGAUAUUCUGGUCCUGGUACCAUAUCCUUCGUUAGAUAUAAGCUCUCAGGGGAGUAUAUUUAUAAAUAUCAACCAACAGUAUGGUUAUGUUAAACCAAUGAUAUUAUUCUAAAGGGAAAGCGACAAUAUGACUUAGCGACAAAAAUAAAUUCAAAGACAACCCCACGUUCUUGAUUUUAGAAAUGUCAUGUUUGUAUCUGAUUAAAGACUGUUUGAUGUUGAUAGAGGACAAAAUGUGGAAAGGAGAUAAGGAGAUGAAGAAUUGGCAAUGCGGAUGGAAAUGUUGGGGAAGGGUAAAUAUCAACAAAGACUAGGGAGGGUUAGUUCAAUUUAUAACAUAUUUUAAGGUGGCGAAAACUAGUGCUAAAUGGAUUUAUUUAAAAAGAAAUAAUACUUCGACAUCAAGGAAAUAGGAAUUUCAAAAUCUUGGGGCUACCACACCCAUUUCCCAUGGGCUAAAAUUCUUGGCAAUUAUGAGAGCAAUGGCAUUAUGCAAAUGAUGGCCCUAAAAAUUUAUUAUAUUUUUGUUUGUUACUGUCUUAAUGCCUGCAAUUAUUGUUUUAGUUCUUACAUCUAAGUAUAUAUAAUUUAAAUUGGUUCAAUUGUUAAGAACGGAUCAUUUUCUCACAAAAAAUUGUGCAUUUGAAUCUUGUUAUAGAUUUGAAAACUAUAUUAGUAAGCAACGUAUACGAACCUCUGUAAACAACGACUUAUGAUCUCGAAAAUAUAUUGUGACUUGUGGCAAUACGUCCUUGUAACUUAAAGACUUGGGUAGCUACACAUCAUCAUCAGGACCAAGUCUUUUAGACCUUUGCCAAUACAAGGCCUAACAUUUUAAAUUAUAAAAAUCAACCUCGAGUAUCUGACCUUUACCAACAAUUGCUUGCCAUUAAAAUUUUUUUUUUAUUGUUUUUUUUUUAUUCAUGGAAAAUAUAACAAAAUAUUCCUCUUACAUAAUCCUCAUUUUUCUAAUUGAAGGUAUCCCUAUUCUGUCCAAACGGAUUGCCCCACGAGCCAACCUUGGGAAUGUACUGAAGGUGUCAUAAAUCUCAAUUUGUUUAUCUGGAUGAGAUAUACCCACAUUAGAUAAAGCAUCAGCAACUGUGUUAGCCUCCCGAUAGCAGUGCGUGAAUCUAGGUGGAUCAUCUAAUAACUGCCAAAUCUGGUUGACGUAUCUUCGAAUUUUCCACGGACAUUGAGUACGACGUUGAAUGAUCCCAAUUAAAACCAAUGAAUCUGAUUGUACACAUAUGUUUCCAAAACCGUUAUGUAUACAGAUCUGAAGACCAAUAAGAAGGGCACAAGCCUCUGCACGGAGACAUGUAGUUUCUCCCAGAUAUGCCGAAAAACCAAUCAUUGGUAAUCCAGUGGAAUCCCGGAGUAUGCCCCCACCUCCACCUAUUCCUGGAUUACCCUUAGCACAUCCAUCCGUGUUAAGAGUAUACCUCCCUGUCUCUUUGGUUUCCCAGCGGAUACCUUGAUAUACAACUGUACCCCCAAUAUUACGUCCAAUAUUACGUCAAGCUGAUCAUAAAUGUUGGGGUUAAUCACAUUUUAUCUCCUUAAAAAAUAUCUCAUUUUUCAGUUUAUCCCCUAACCUUUAAUUUUGCUCACUUAAUCCCUUUUAGGACAAAAUUGCCCUUGCAUUAUUUUGACUUUUCAUUUAACAUGUUUUCCUUUCUUUUAUUUCUUUUUCUCUUUCUUCUUUAUUUAAAUCUUCCUCUUUCCCACAAAAAUCUUCACCUUAAUGAUUGAAACUAAAAAAGAAAUGAUUAAAAAAAUAUUCAAAUCAUUUCCCUAAAAUACAAUUUUUUUAGCCUUUCAAUUCUUUUAAUUUUAGGUUUUCCUCUUUGCUUUCUAGUUUCUCAUUUUAUUCCCAAGAAAAUAUGUUAAGAUGAAAUUGUGACCUGAUUAAUAAUCAUCAAUUGAAAUUUGUGACACGUGGCAUCAUACAAAAAAUCAAAAUUAGUUUUUUAUGCCUUUUAAAGCUUCACCUGGAAAUACGCAAUUACAAACUCAAAACAAAAAAUGUCGUUGAAAUGGAAUUUCUAUUGGGAAGGAUGAAAGAGAGGAGAAAGAGAAAAAGAAAUAAAAGAAAGGAAAACAAUUUCAUCUUAUGAUAUUUUUUUGAGAAUAAAAUGAGAAACUAGAAAGGAAAGAGGAAAAUCCAAAAUUAAAAGAAUUGAAAGGCUAAAAAAAUUGUAUUUUAGGAAAAUGAUUUGAAUAUUUUUUUAAUCAUUUAAGGAGAAGAUAGAUCUCUGCAAUUCCUCUUUUUUAAUUUUAAUCAUAAAGGUGAAGAUUUUUGUGAGAAAGAGGAAGAAUUAAAUAAAAAAGAAACAGAGAAAGAAAUAAAAGAAAGAAAAAUAAGGUAAAUAAAAGUCAAAAUAAUGCAAGGGCAAUUUUGCCCUAAAGGGGGUUAAGUGAGCAAAAUUAAAGGUUAGGGGUAAACUGAGAAAUAGGGUAUUCUUUAAGGGGAUAAAAUGUGAUUAACCCUAAAUGUUGGACCUUCGGGUUAGAGGUACUAUCGAGCCGAGUCGAGCUCGAGUAGCACCAUACUCGAGCUCGAACUCGAUCAGAAUCAGUGCUACUCGAGUUCGAGCUCGAGCUCGACUCAUUUGAGCUCGAUUAAGUUCAAGUAAAUAUCAAGCCCGAUCUACUCGAGCUCGAGCUCAAGUUUUGAAAUAAACAUAUAAUUUUUUUCUCAAAAUAUAUAAUAUAAAUAUAAUAUGAAAACUCGAUUAAGCUCGUCGAGUACUCGAGUAUUUAUUUUUGGAACUCGAACUCGACUCGUUGAAUGUAACGAGUAGCUCGAGCUCGGUCCCAAGCUUUUUACCAAGCCGCUCGCAAGCUACUCGCGAGCGGCUUGACUUGAUUGCACUCCUACUUUGGGCACAAGGGCCCAUAAUUCAACAUGUUUGAAACCAACCACAACUAAUUUGAUCUUGACGGUUGGACCUUUACGUGCAAGAUCCCAGCACUAAAUUUGUUUGAAAAUACAUAUUGACUUAAAAGUCCUUUAGACCACCUUGCAAAAGUUUAGUUAUGUUAAACCAAUGAAUUUGGAUUUAGAGGUUCAAGAUUUUGACAAAAUGCAGUUUUGUGAAAGCUUAGUUAUGUUAAACGAAUGACCUUCUUUUUUUUUUGUGGUUUGCUUUUUAUCCAAAAAAAAAAAAAAACAAUGACCUUUUAUGUAUACAAGUUAGGUGAGACUCUAUAGCUAGUUGGGUACAAGUUGUUAGAGUACUAAUGAUUUUGUAAAUAUCAAACCAACGUUAUCGUUAUGUUAAAUCAAUGAUAUGGUAUUUUAGGAUUUUAGAUUUUCUCACAAGUUGCACUCAAAUAUACACGCAAUCAGCGCUAAUACAAAAUAAUCAAGGCAAUUAGUAUUCCAAGUAGGAAAACAAAACAAAACAAAAAUGCUUUACAAGCAACAACUAUUUGUCUCCUGAUAAAUAGUAUCUUAAAGAUAAGAAAAUAUAUCAAUUAACCUCAAACAAAUGUACACAUUAGUAUCUUAAAGAUAAGAAAAUCGAACUAGUAAAAACCUCCUAAAAUAUAUCGCAAUAGGUAAAAUUACCUCCGAUGAGUAGAAAUUGUAAAUAGAGGAUUUGUUUCGCGAUUCAUUAAUCAAGUCCUGAAGCAUUAACUGUCUACCAAAAAAUAAAAUUAAAUUGUGAAAGUAAGAAAGUAAAUAUCAAGUAUGUGCGUAGAUAUCUUACUGUGUGUUUUGAUGAGUGCCUCAAAGCAUCAGCGAGAAAAAUUCCAAAGUCAAAAUCACUUGACCAUCUUACCCCUCUUAUAGUUAUCACAUUUUUAUAUUUUGGAAGGCUUAUAAAAGUGGUUACCAUAGAUUAAAGUCAUCAUAAUAGAGACUAUUUGAAAAUUAUUGAUGGAGGACAAAAAGGAGAGAUUAGAAAAGGGGCAGCAUUAGCAAUACUUAGAUAUGCACAAGACUGGGAACAAGAGGGUGGAGAAUUGACAAUACUUAGCUACGUACAAGACUGGAGAGGGCUAAAUUUAAUUUCAAACACGUUGUUAGGUGGCAAACACUAAUUUGCUAAGGAUCCACUUGAAAAACAAUAAUGUUUUAACGUCUUCAAGAUCUUGGUGAUUGGUCACCCCCCCCCCCCACCUCCAAUUUCCCACGUUGAGGAUAUGUUGAUAAGAAAAAAAAGAAAGAAAGAAAGACAAGCAACACAUCCUUAUUCCUAAAAGAGUAGGGUAGGGAACAACAUCAUUUUCCUUAAAAAACAGGGUAGGCAGUAUAUCCUCAUCUUGACUUGGAAGUCCUUUAGACCUUUGUCAAGAAGAAUUAAGGGAAGGAAUGAUACCAUUCUUGAAGGUUGAGGGGCCGGCUUAGUCUAAAAAAAAAAUGUAAGACUCGGUCAUUUUUUAUGUAUGUUAACUUUAGAUCGUUUUCAAAUAAAAGACUCGCAAUUGGUUUGUAAUGGACAAAACUGUACAACAAUUAUUCAGUUGCAACCAUUUGCGCCCCUAUUCUUGCCAACAAGGUCCAUCAACAAAUUUAUUUGAAAACAAUCACAAUUGUCGUAUCCAAAAAUCAUUUUUACUUGAUCCUUAUUUAAUAGAAAGGUAGUAAAUUCAUACCUUUCUAUUCUAAAUUCACAAUAAAAUGGUAUAAGGAGUAGAUUUAGGAUGGAGAGUUGUGGAUUUAGUCCCUCUUGACUACCUUUUUUAAACCUCACCUAAUUUUUAUUGCAAUAAUUUAUUCAUUUUUGUUUGUCAAUUAUUCAUCAGAUUAUAUUGAAAGAACUAAAAUUUCUAAUAGUUGUCCAAUUAUAUCAUUACUCUGUAUCUUGAUCAAUAGAUUAAUAUAUUUAAAAAUCAAAUCAAUUCAAUAAUGUUAUACCAUUCAAUUUGCACGAAACUUUUGGAGGGUCUACAACGUUAAAAUUAUUAAUGUUCAAAUGCCAAAACUUGAUCCUUUAUUCUUUUUUUCAUUUUCCAUGUGUAACUAGUAAGUGAUGUAGUAUAUUAGGAACUAUUUAGCAUCAAAUAUGACUUUAAAAUUGAACUUAUUAGGGUACAGCCUAACCAGACUGUAAUAGUAAUAUUGAGUUCAUAGGCAUUUUAUAUUUGCAGGCUCGGUUCAUUAAAUUAGAAAAUUCAUAAGAGUCAAACUGGUGUGCCAAGGAUCUCGUCAUUUAUAGUCGCAAUUCAUUUUUUUUUUUGACAAUAUUUCUCGUUCUCCCUUGUCUGGAUUUUAUGGGAGGUUUUUUGGGGGCUUUUGAUCAUUUCUCUAACAAUCAAGUCUGCAAUUAACAUGUGGGGCUUUGGAUCUGCCUAAACGUGAGCCUUGUUUGGAGAGCGGCUGCUAAAGGCCUCUCGGGGAAAAUCAUUAAGGGCAACGUUGAAACAAAAAUACCAAGAAAUUAAGUGGAUUGAAGUGCCUAGCGUCAAAAUUUGAGCGUGAAUGUUAUUUUCUUCUAAAAAUGUCUAUAGCAGUACUUCCAACAUUCUUCCAAUGUGUACCUUACAAAACCAACGAUUCAAAUGAUAUGGAGACAAUGGAUAAGAGUGAUUAAAAAAAAAAACAGUAAAUGAAUACGUUUUGAUUUUUUUUUUUAUAAAAUAUUGUAAUUUCAUUAAAAUAUGCACUAAUAGCAGAAAUUACAUCAUCAAACAUACACAGAUAUCAAAGCACAGAUCUGAAGAAAAGAUACUCCAAAUCUGAAGAACAAUAAAAAAAAUACAUUAUAAAUCUUCAAAUUUAAAAAAUGAGAUAAACUAAUUUUAGUUCCACGGACAUUGUGCAUUCUUCCAAUCGCUAGAUAUGCUGAUUAAUUACUUCAAAUUCAAAUAUUAUAAUGACAUCUGCCAAAUAGAUCCAAAAAAUUCUAAAUCUGAUAAUUAAAAUUUGAAAAAAUUAAGAUCUAAUAAAAGAGAAAUGAAAAAAAUUAUCAAAAACUAUAUCUUAUUUCAAAAUACAUCUUAUAUUUUAUUUCACAGUGAAAAGUUCAAAAACAAUGAUUACUAAAUUUAUUACUAGUGUUUUGUAUAUAUCAAAAUAAAUUAUCCCUAUAAAACUAAACAUGAUUGUGGCCACCCAUGGGGCACUACAGGGAGUUACAGGUACGUCUGUCAAUCGGCCCUAAUGAGCCGGCUUUCACCAGUUCGAGUUCAGUUCAUUUAAUUUGUAAUAUUUUCGGGUUUUGAACUAUGAGUUUCGGGUUAAUAAAUGUGAAACUCAUACUCAACUCACAUAAUAUUCUGGUUUUGAGCCUUGUUCGAGUUUAGUCCAAAUUCACAUAUUACUCCUUAAUUUUCUUAAUAUAAUUACUAUAAUUAUUAAGUUGUAAAACUAAUUUAACAUUUACAAGACUACAAUAUUAAAACUAAACAUGAACAACUAAUAGUUCUUAAAAAGUAUAUAAACCAAAAAAUUUUCAACGAUAUUUAUAUUUAAUUCGUUCAAAACACAUGAAAAAUAGUAAUAAAGCAUGCGGUCAUAUGCCAAUACUGCAAUACAUCUUUAAAAGUUAAAACUUUUUUAUAGUCUUUUGAUUUGAAUUCAAACAUGCUUGAUGAUUUGUGUUUCUAGACCAAAAAGAAAUCAACAAAUAAUAUGCCAACAUAAAAAUUUACUCAACUAAUAAGAAAAAUUAGAGAUUCAGUUAUGCAUUACUAAUAUUGGCUUUCAAGAAAACUCAUAGAAGAGUUUUCAGAUGUAUUUUUGUGUUUUAUAAUUUAUAUAUAUAUUUAGUAUUUAGUAAUACUAUAUUUGGAUAUAUAAUUAUAUAUAAUAUCAAAAUAUAAAUAUUAUAUAUAUAUAGGUAAUUAAAGAGCCGGACCUAUAUCGGAUUUGAGUCUAAUGAUGCCCAAACUCAGCUCAUAUUUAAUUCGGACCUAAUUUUAGAUUCAACCUCGGAUUAGCUCACUAAAAGGUCGGACUCAUUGGACUUCUUAUCAGAUUGAACGAACCGAGCUUGGGCUGGCCCAAUUCCAUUGACAGUCCUAGUAGCGGGUGGGAUUGUGAGGGAUGAGAUGGGGACUGUGGACUAGAGGGCGCUUUUGGAAGCUGGGCCGGACUGCCGCAGACGGGGAAGGGCUCUUCAGCCCAAUCCGUCCUGUUGCCGUUUCUAUAGAGAAAGGUCAGCAAAAGUAAGGAAAAUUGGAAAGUGCCCGUCGCAUGGGAUUUUGAUCAAAGCUUUUUCUGUAGACGGCAUAAAUAGUACUGUGUAUAGCUUUUAUAUUUUUACUAGGGAUUUUUUUUUGUUCUCUCACCAAGGUGUACGAAUUUCUUGAAGAUCUCUUUUUCUUUUUAAAUUUCUUGAAGAUCAAUAAAGUAAUUAUAUUUACAACUUACAUUAAAAAGAAAACAAAAUGCAUCUUUAAACUUCCAAUAUUUUGUUUGCGUAAUAAAGAAAGUCUAUAGAGCGUAAACAAUUCUUUCUGACAUUAUCAAAGAACAUAAAAUGAUCAAAGUUGUACAACAGAAAAAAAAAAAAAUUUUUUUUUCCAAACAAUAUUGUGUUUCAUGUUUAUAUGUAUGUUGUGUUGGACAUUCUUGAACUUUUUGGCGGAGAUUUUCGUUGCAAUAUAAAAUUUUUGGAAUCCAUCAGCAUAAAUAGUCCUAAACUUUCAGAUCUGAAUUUAAUCAAACUGUCCUUCUAAUCAAAUGCUUCUCCUAAUUCUGGCCUAUUAACUAAAAAGAAAAGAAAAGAGUAUAUUUACCUGAAGCCAAAAAAACUAAAAAAUAAAUAGAAAAAUUUAUAAGUUUUGAUACCGAUGCCAACUAAAUUAUAGUUGGACAAAUACUACGACCAACUAAAUCUGCCUGGAAUUGAUAAAAUUUAGCUUUAGCCAAUUUAUUCUGACUUUCUUGAAUUUCACGAAUUAUUUAGUAUAAUCUGUCUCUAGAAAAUAUAGAACUACAACAUAAAUAGCAUAAUUUGUCUUGAAAAUACUAUCGAAUUUUCUAGCAUAAUCUGUCACCAGAAAUUAUAGAACUACAACAUAAAUGGCUUAGCCUAUGGACUGAUCAUGGUUUAGAUAUUUCUCCAAAAGCUACUCGAAUCACCUUUUUCUGUGGAUUCAGUAGGAAAAAUUAGUCAUGGAAGAUAAAAACGGUCAAUCUCAUUAAAACAUUUCAUUGCUUUACAUUUCUUAGAUAUCGAAAUAGACAUUUUAUGCGUGUUUAAAUCUCAAAAAAAAGUAAAACCAAAGAAGAAGGGAAAGGAGAAAGGGACAGAACAAGAAGACCUCUGAAAUUUUACAUGUUUUGUUGGGAUAAUUAAAUACUAGCAUCAUUUGUUAUACAAAGUAACAAGCCAACUUGAGUCGAACUUGAAAGUCUAUUUGAAUCUCAAUAGGUUAGUCAACUUAUAUCUAUUCAAAAAUCACCUAUGAGGUUCCAUUCCUCAUGCGAUCGAAAACUUAGUCUCACUUCAGUUUCCUGUCUUGUCCCAAAAUUAUCUUAUUGGUUCAAUCCCUAAGUCGCUAGGCAAUUUUAACCAAUUUGAUGCAUUUAUAUCUCUUUGACAACAACAUUCUGGUUCAAUUCCAAAGAGUUUGGGUGAUCAAACAUUCCUUUCAGAUAUGAAUUAGGUAAGAACCAACUUAAUAUGGUUCCAACUUCCAACCCUAUUUUAAUUGAUAACUCGAGUAACUUAGAAAAACAGUAGUAUCUCAUAAAAAGCCAUAUUCUGAUACCAUCCCACAAGAGCUUGGAAACCUCAAAUAGUUGGUAGUCUUGGAAUUGGAUUAAAAUCAAUUAUCUAGUCCAUUGCCAGAACUACUUUGUCAAAAUGGCACACUUCAAAACAUUUAUGUGUCUAAGAACAUGCUUACAGGUCCAAUACCUAGAAGUUUGCGAAACAGCUCAAGCUCAUGCUCAGCACUCAUUUUUGGUCUAUUAGUACCUUGAAAGAGGAAGCUUGUCCAAAAUUUUGAGCGUCAAAGAAGAAGCCAAGAAACAAGAUUGGCAAAAGAAGUUGAAAACCAUCUAAGGCAUCGCUCAUGCUUUAUUUUACAUGCAUCAUGAUUGUUCACCCGCAAUUGUACGUCGGGACAUAUCAAGCAAUUGUACGUCGGGUCACGUUUAAGAUUUUGGCACUCCUUAGUUUUAGUCUUUGAUCUUCUGUUAUUAUCCCCUUAAAGACUUUUCUUCCAACUAAUGUCUUUUUAGCAUCCACUAAUUGAUUACUACUUUUUAAAGAACUUAAAAAGUCUAAGUAAACUCCUCGAUUAGAUUAUAUAUGUAUCAGCGCUCUUAAAUGAAAAAAGACUUUUUUAUUGUAUCCCAAAAGACUUUCUUUAGUCAAGAUGAUAAGUAUAUUCGAGCUCUUAAAUAAAUUCUUUUCGUUAACAACUGCUUUCAAAAUGGGUAGUAAUUAAUUUGUAGAGAAUUACUUGGACGAAAAGACUUGGACAACCAACCUCAUCUCGACUGAUAAGUCUUUUGGACCUUUGCCAUUAAGGCCCAACAUUAAAUAUGUUUAAAAUCAACCUCGCCUAUGGGACUUUUACUAACAACUGCCCACCACUAAAUUUGUUUGAAAACAUCAGCUGUUUCCAUCCCAAAUUUGUUCAAGGUGAUCCUAUAUGUUGGACCUUCGCACACAAGGACCCAAUAUUAUAAUUGCAUCAAGCCGAUCGCUACUGGAUUGAUCUUGACGGUUGGCCGGACCUUUACGAACAAGGGCCCAACAUCAAAUUUGUUUGAAAAUAUAUAUUGACUGUGAAAGUCUGUUAGGCCUUUGACAGUAAACGUUAGCAUCCAAUUAAAUUUGUAGCAAAACAGGACUACCAUCUUCUAAAAAAUUAUAUUUAAUCAUAUUUAUUAAACUCGCCCGACAAGGAAGUCGACAUGCAUGGAUGGUUCACUGCUUCAACCAAUGGCCCAAUAAAAGAAUAUUUAUAAAUACUUGGUAAUAUAUAAAAUUUAUAAAUAAAGUUUAUUUAAAAUAUUUUAAACAUUUGUUUCCUUGUAUAUAAGAAAAAAAUUAUUUUAAAUACAAAAGAUAAUUAAUUAUUAUGGAAAAUUAUAUUUCAAUAUUAAUUGAACUUACAAGUAGUCUAAGAUAUCAUGAUGCAGUAUAAAGAUUUGACAUCCUACUAUAUAGGCAUCUAGAAUGAAUAUGGAAAGAACUUUUCCUAUGUUUUUAUGGAGAGCCGAUUCUCUGUCCAAUAUUUUGUGUACAAUUUCCUGUCCGAUGUGAAACUACGUAGUUUUAUUUAUUAUAUUUGUUGAUGUGGCAACUAAAAAUAGGUGGCUGUUUGGCUGCUUUAUACUUUAAGCACCCAGGCGACGGCCUUGUCAAAUAAUUUCCAUUCACCGUGAAUUCCUCCAAAGCAAAAGCACUACAUAUUUCUGGUGGCAACAGGUUUUGGGAAUUGUAACGGUAGCAAUAGGGUUUUGGGAAUUGUAACAAAGUUGUGUAAACAAAGGAAACCCAAAAAAGAAGAAAGAAAAAAAGUAUAAGGCAGUCAAACAACCACCUAUUUUUAGUUGCUACAUCAGCAAAUAUAAUAAGUGAAACUACGUAGUUUCAUAUUGGACAGGAAAUUGGACACAAAAUAUUGGACAGAGGAUUUGCUCUCGUUUUUAUGAGGGAUGAGAUUUCAAGAAAAAGUUUGAAUGAGUAUUCUAAGGGCAAACGAGAACUUGGUGUCUACUAAUUGAUUAUUAUUUUUUGAAAGACUUCUAAGUUUAAGUAAACUUCUCGAUUAAAAUGUCAAGAUGAUAUAUAUCAGUUCUCUAAAAUGAAAAGACUUUUUUACUCUAUUCCAAAAGACUUUUUUAGUCAAGAUGAUACAUCAACGCUCUAAAAAAUAUACUCAUUUCAUCAACCUCAACAAUUGCUUUCAAAAAGUAGUAAUCAAUUAGUGGAAUAACUUCAAGGAAAAGACUCAGGUAGCCAUCAUCGCUCUUAAACGAAUUUCUUUUUGUCAACAAUAGCUUUCAAAAUGUAGUAAUCAAUUAGUGGAAUUUCAAAAAGUUGGAAUAAGUAUUCUAGGGGGAAAGGAUUUUUCUACUUAAAUGAGCCAUAUCAAACAUUAGAAUGGAAUGAACAAAUUGAAAAGAUCUUUUCUAUUCAAGCCAUUCUUGCAUGCAAAAUCAGGAAUUAGUGUCUACUGAUUGAUUAUUACUUUUUGAAAGACUUAUAAGUUUAAAUAAACUCCUCGAUUAAAAUGUCAAGAUGAUAUAUAUCAGUUCUCUAAAAUGAAAAUGACUUUUUUACUCUAUUCUAAAAGACUUUUUUAGUCAAGAUGAUACAUCAACGCUCUCAAAAAUAAACUCAUUUCAUCAACCUCAACAAUUGCUUUCAAAAGGUAGUAAUCAAUUAGUGGAAUUACUUCAAGGAAAAGACUCGGGUAGCCAUUAUCUCUCUUAAACGAAUUUCUUUUUGUCAACAAUAGCUUCCAAAUGUAGUAGUCAAUUAGUGGAAUUUAAAAAUUUUGGAAUGAGUAUCCUAGAGAUAAAGGGCUUUCUCGCUUAAAUGAGCCAUAUUAAACACUAAAAUGAAAUAGACAAAUUGGAAAGGCCUUUCCUAUUCAAGCCAUUCAAUAGGGAGAACUUGUCAUAGAAGACAAAAAAUGGUCAAUUUCAUUGAACAUUUCAAUAUUGCAUUAAAUUUCUUGGCCCAUUGGAAUAGACAUCUUAUAUGUUUCACUCUCAAAAAAAUAAAAAUAAAAAUGAAGAAGAAAGGGAAGGAGAGAGGGACCGAAGCAGAAUACUUCCGAAGUCUACCCUGUAUUGUAAAGUUGGGAUAAGUACUAGUUUCGUUUGUGGUACAAAGUAACGAUCUUUGGCAACUCGAUUUGAACUUAAAUGUAAUUGUGGGGUCUUUCCAAAUAAUUUCCAUAUUCAUUUUGGUCCUACUUUUUCCAUCAUUAUGGAAGACUUAUAAAAGCUAUUACCAUUUGAUUAAAGUCAUGAUCCCGAGUCAACCAACCACAGCGUAUUGAUGGGAGUUCAGGAAGGGAAAAGGAGAGAAGAAGGGGAAGCGUUGCGCAAAACUUAGAUAUCCACAAGACUGGGGAGGCCAAGUUUAAUUUAAACAUUUGCAGCCCUUUAACUAACAGGAAAAGAGAAGGGUAUAUUAACCUGAAGCAGAAAAUACUGGAAUUCAAACGGACAGAAAUAGAAGUUUAGAUUCCGAUAUCGAUUAAAUUCUGUUUUGAGCCAGUACUACGGCCAACUAAUUCUGCCCAUAGAAUUGGUAGAAAAUUACUCCUUUGGAUUUCUACUUUCCUUUUUUAACAUAUUGAGUUCAUCCGGCUGUGUUUUAAGUGUACAAAAUUUUUGGGAGUAAUUUUUUUUUUUUGCUGGUGUAGGGCUGCAAAUAAGUUGAUUCGAGUCAAGUUUUGAUUUAAUUGAAUUGAGUUUGGACUCGAUUUUACCAAAUUCGAGCUCGACAAACUCUCAAUAUAAAGUUCGAAUUUAAGCUCGACCUCAAAUUAGGCCAAGUCGAGCUCGAGGUCGAGCCUACUCGAGUUUAAAAAAAUAAAAAUAAUUAUUUUAUUUUUUUAAAAAUGAAUAAAACAGUUAUUUUUUCUUAACAAAUAAUAAAAGCUGGAUCAGUUUUGUCUUGGGUGUUUUUAGAAAAUAUUUAUAGCAGAUGCUUUCAAAAAAUAAAUCUUCCAUUUGCAUGGUUGUACUUUCAAAACUGGGGCUAUUCGGAUGGUGGAGCUUUGUAAAACACGUUUUAGAAAACUGGCUUGUCCGUGAUGUUUGUUACUUAUUCAAGCCUAAUUAAGUCAAGAACAAUCGGAGCCAUCAUAAAAAAAGGUUGAUGUAUUUCUUUUUUUGUCUGUCUACUCAAAAGAAAUGAUUACACACACAUAUAUAUAUGAUAGGUGGAGUAUUCUUCCAUUUAAAUUCAGCGGUAAAAAUUUCUCCAGAGUCGGGCGGUGCCAUCAAUCGUUAAUAGUGCAGCCAAGCUCAAAUUUAUUCUAAACCAUGUAUUACUUUAAAAAAAAAAAGUAACUAAAUCAUUUUCAAACUCAAAUUUGAAAUUGAACCCAAAAUCAAAUUCACCUGGUUUAAUUUAAUGAGCCGAACUCAAAUUUGAAAAUUGAAUAUCUAUACCAAUUAAUGAAUCAAAUUGAGUAGCAUUUAUAACUCGUUUAAUAUUCAAUUGAAUUCCAAUUCUAUUCAUAGAAUAAGUGAAUAGAGUUUAAACAUUAUGUACUUGAUUUGAUUCUACCCGUUAAAAGCUCCAACGUCAAGUGGCUGUCAAGUGGCUGAUUGACAUAGCUCAUCAGGCGGGUAAAAGCAUUAGAAAAAAGAUUGUGCUAAAAAAUUUUUAUCGCCCAACAUAUUUCGGGUAGAAGAUGCUUGUAAUUGCUUGAAACAAAACUGGUGUCUUUCAUUGUUUGUGUUCCCAAAUUUUGUGUUUGAGUUUUCAUCCGCUUAAGGUAUCUUGAACAUUCUUGAACUUUUUGGUCUAAAAAAAAAACCCUUUUGAAGUCAAUAUAAUUAGUCCCAAACUAUUUUGAAUGUAAUCAAAUGCUUCUCCUAGUUCUGGCCAAAUUAAUCUCAUUUCGUGUCAACCUGUGUCUAUGCCGUUAGCUAACAGGAGAUCAGAAGUAAAGGGCGAAUGCAAAAAAUACUUGAAAAACGAGAAGUUUUGAUAUCAAUACCAACUCAAUUCCAGUUGGGCAAGUACUAAUGCACUAUGACCAACUAAAUCUGCCAACUCAAUCUCUAUACUAUUGAAGGCAAUUCGAGUCACCUUCUUCUGCAGAUAUAGUAGGAAAGUCAUCCUUAUAUUUUCUAAAUCAGUAACAGAAUAUCAAAAUGUUCAAUCUUAUCAAGACAUUUCUUUGCCAUCUGGAAUAGGAACUUUGCAUAAUCAAAAUGUCCAAUUCCAUCCACAAUUGGCAACCUCACCAAGCUAGUUAACUUGUACCUUUCCCAAAAUCACCUAAAUGGUUCCGUUACCUCUGCAGUCGGAAAUCUGAUCUCACUCCAGUUUCAUAUCUUGCAUCAAAAUAAUUUUAUUGGUGCAAUCCCAAAAUCACUGGGCAAUUUGACCAAUUUAACUCGUCUAUAUCUCUAUGAGAAUCAACUUUCAGGUCCAAUUCCAAAAGAUUUGGGUGAUCUCAAAUUCCUUGUCAACAUGGAAAUAAGUGAGAACCAACUUAAUGGUUCUAUUCCUGCUUCAAUUGGUAAUUUGAGUAACUUAAAUCAACUGUAUCUCCGAGCGAACCAAUUUUCUGGUACCAUACCAGAAGAGCUUGGAAAACUGCAAAAGUUGGUAGUUUUGGAAAUGGAUCAAAAUCAAUUAUCUGGUCCAUUGCCAGAACUGCUAUGCCAAAAUGGAACCCUCCAAAACAUUACUGUAUCUGAGAACAUGCUUCCAGGUCCAAUUCCUAGAAGCUUGAAAAAUUGCUCAAGCUUAAUUAGGGCCCGCUCCAAUAGGAACCAUUUCCAUGGCAACUUGUCAGAAAUGUUUGGUAUCUAUCCUUUCCUGGAUUUCAUAGAUCUUAGCAACAACGAUUUCCAUGGGGAACUCUCCAGCAGCUGGGGAAAAUGCAAAAUCUUGGCAACCCUGAGAGUCGCAAAGAACAACAUCACAGGUGGUAUACCUCCAGAAACUGGAAAUUUAACUCAAUUACAAGCACUUGAUCUGUCUUCAAACUAUCUAUCUGGGGAGAUACCAAGAGUAGUUGGGAAGUUGGCUUCUAUGCUUAACCUAUAUUUGCAUGACAACCAACACUGGCGGCAUACCUCAGGAGUUGGGUAUGCUAACAGAACUUCUUUAUCUAGACCUGUCCACAAAUUCAUUGAAUGGAUCUAUUCCAGAACAUUUGGGAGAUUUGAAGCACUUGUAUCACAUGAACUUGAGCAACAACUUUUUCAGCUAAAAGAUUCCAAUCCAGAUUGGAAAGUUAACCCAACUUUCUGAACUGGAUUUGAGUCGAAAUUACUUCACAGGAGAGAUACCAUCUGAGUUUCAAAGUUUGCAGAGCCUGGGAACAUUGGAUCUCUCACACAAUAACCUCUCUGGUUUAAUCCCAAAGUCUUUAGCAAAGUUGCCUGGUUCAUUGCACAUUAAUAUUUCAUUCAAUAAUUUAGAGGGUCCAAUUCCGAGUGGUAGAGCCUUUAUGAAUUUAACCAUAGAGGAAGUACAAGGAAAUAAAGGUUUGUGCGGGAAUAUUUCAGGGUUACCGGCUUGUGAAAGUUCCCCGUUGAUUAAAAAGCAUGUCAAGAAUAAGGGGAAGAAAAAACUUGUUCUCGCAAUUUUAAGUCCUCUUCGGGGAUCAUUCGUACUUCUUUGUGCAUUCUUUGGUGGUCUCAGAUUGCAUAAGCAAUGGAGAAAAAGUUCAGGAACGGAAGAUAUCGACAUGAACAAAGUAAAUUUAUUUUCCAUAUGUACUUUUGAUGGCAAAGCAUUGUAUAAGGAAAUAGUAAUGGCUACAGAAGAGUUCAGUGACAUAUUGUGCAUUGGUAAAGGAGGUUAUGGAAGUGUUUACAAAGCACAGCUUCCAUCAGGCGAUGUAGUAGCUGUAAAGAGACUUCACAACAUGCCUGAGAUGGCAAGUCAUAAAAAUUUGUUGAAUGAGAUAAGGGCCUUGACAGAAAUCAAGCAUCGAAACAUUGUGAAACUCUUUGGGUUCUGCUCAAAUUCUCAACAUUCAUUUUUGGUAUAUGAGUACCUUGAAAGAGGGAGCUUGGCCAAAAUCUUUAGCAUAGAAGAAGAAGCUAAGGAACUAGACUGGCGAAAGAGAUUAAAAAUCAUCAAAGGCAUUGCUUAUGCUUUAUCUUACAUGCAUCAUGAUUGUUCACCAGCCAUUGUACAUCGGGACAUAUCAAGCAACAACAUUUUGCUUGAUCCAGAAUAUGAGGCUCACAUUUCAGAUUUUGGCACUUCUAAGUUUCUGAAAAAUGAUUCAUCUAGUUGGAGUUCUCUUGCUGGCACAUAUGGAUAUGUUGCACCAGGUAAUAAAGGUUUUUUCUUUCAUCAAUUUGCUAGCUACUAAAUUCAAGUAUGAUCACAUGUUAUCACAACAUUAUUUUCCAAAAUUCCUUGCAGAAUAUGCCUACACAAUGAAAGUAACUGAAAAGUGUGACGUUUAUAGCUUUGGGGUCCUGACAAUGGAAGUGAUGAAAGGAAAGCAUCCCGGUGACUUGAUUGCUACUUGCUCGAUCAAAGACUUCUGUAUCCCAAUGAAGAAAUUGAAAACAUUCUGGCAUUCGUUCUUAAACUAGCAAGAGCAUGUCUACAGGUUGAUCCACAAUCUAGGCCAACGAUGCUCGUUAUUUCCAGGUUGUUAUCAACUGGUGCAUCGUCUGUGUAACAUCUUGUGAGUAAUCGUGGCCAUAUAACUCUUUUUUUCCCCUUUUUUGUUUUGUUUUGUUAAGUAAAUAGAUAUAACAGAUAUGCAGAAUCUGAUAACUGUUUUUUUUGGUUUGGUGCCUACAUUGCCUCCUGUCAGCUGCUGUGUCUCACAAUUUUUUGUUUUCUUACAUAGCGCUAUCGAGCAACAACACAAGAUGACAUGAUGAUGAAUAUGGCAGAGUAUUUAAAGGCACAAGAUUCUGCCAAAAAAAAAAAGGGGUUGUGGCUACUGGCUAUGUAUUUAUAUAGAGGUGCAGUACAAUGGGCUACUGCCAGUGUAGAAGUCUUGAAAUGUGCUGAGUUUGUAUUUAUUGGAAAAAUAAUCUAUUCAUAGCUAGUAAUUCAGUGGGUGAAUUGUUACGAAAAAAUAUAAAAACAGUGAAUGGAUGAACAAGUAGACACUUUGGGAAAGUAAUCUGUGAAUUUUUCAUUUGGAAAGUACUAGCUAUCUAUGACAUUGUUAUUCCAAGUAGAAACCUUUCAAAAAAAUUUAUCUUUCUUCUCGUGGUCAACAUUUAUUUCAAUUACAUAAAUGCAGAUAUUAGUAUCUUACUUCGUAAAUACUAUAUAUUGAUAGCCCUAAAAUAGCUAGCAUUAAACUGCUUCAAUUGAUUAGAAUUAUAAACAAAGGACUUGUUCCAAGGAUCUUUCUCGUUGUUGAAGGUGCGAUGGAUUAGUUGAGAUCAAGAAGAGAAAGAAAAAUACAGCGAUCAGAGCCUUGCUGUUGGUAGCCAUUGUUUUUUAUAGAAAGGGUUAUAAGAACUUAAUGUUGGUUCUAUUCUAUUAUCCUUUCUCGAUUUUUUUCGUAAAAAAAAAAAUGGGUGAAAAAAAUUGGGUAGGUACUAUUUCGAUUAUCACCGCAAGUCAGAAUAUGCUUUUGGAACCAUGGAUUGGUAUAGGAAUUUUUACAGAUUAUCCAUUAACAUAGUUCUCGCAUCAGCAAUUGAAUUCAAACAUAUCACUUUUUAUGAGAAAAUAAUCUAUCCUUGACAACUAAACUUAACUCGUGUUUGACUAGUGAUAGUUGCAUGUAAUGAAUCAUACUUUUAUGGUCGUUGACGACCGGACCAAGUUUCUCAACAAUUACAUUGACAAUUGCCGUCUUAGGUUAGCAGUCCAAAUGGGCUGAGCUAACAUGGUCCUAUUAGAGGGGUCAACUUGAAACUUCAAUUAAAUUGAGUGGCUCGAAUUGGGUCAUGCUGACAUCUAAUAUGGGACGCGAAAGAUAUGGAGCCUUUCUAGUUCCAAUUCUCUCCAAUUGUGUAAACUAAUAAAAUUUUGAUAUAAACAUAAUUUAUAAUUGAAUUGAUGCAAAACUCACGAUUAUACUAAAAAUCUAUUAGUGUACACCAAAAUUGUGCCAGUUUAUUCAAUAAGACAGCAUUGGAUGGUACCUCAACUGGAAAAGCCUCGAAUUCGAACGUAAACUACUCUCAGUAAUUGCAAUCGCUAAUUGGCCAAGGACCUUGAGACCCAUAAUUAGAAUAAUUCUAUACGAGAUUCACGCACAGAGAAAUAAAGGCAUCAUCGAAUUGGAGACUCGUGUCUUUUGUUAAGGAGGUUGAGAGAUGGACAAGGAUAUUAACGGAUGAAAACAUAAGAUAAUCAGUAUUUGUUUGCCUUGCCACUUCUUGUUGGGUAAGAACUGGUGUUCUUUUGUUUGGAAGCACUGGUAUUGUAAUUUUUUGAUACCGUGAAGGUGGAUUUACACUCCCUGUCCUUCUUUCUAACCCUCCCUCUUACCCCUCUUAGUGGUAUGGUGUCCACACUAGUAAUUUCUCAGAGUUUAUAAAAUAUUCCCAAAUGAUGAUGGUUUUUUAAAACUUCUUCUCAAAAGGUGAAAAAUACAUCCACUGAGGGUCUGUUUGUUUGGAAGGAAAAUAUUUUCCAGAAAAUGUUUUCCUGAUUUUCUAUUGUUUGGUUGGUUUAUUGCUUUGGAAAAACUUUUUCCUACUGAAAAUAUAUUACAUCAGAUGGUGUAAAAUGACUUCCCAUAUAAAUGAACCGAAGUUAUUUUCCAUGUUUGUCUCGUAUGUCGUAAGACUAUCCAUUCAUGCUCCCCCAUCAGCCUUAAGAUUCAGAACAAAACCCACCACUUGUGCAAUAACCCACUAAAGAUUUAUAGUCUCCAUCUCCUCCCAAACACCGGAAAAAACAUGGAGAAGGUAAUUAUUUUUCUCGAUAAAAUUUUUCAUGGAAGACAUUUUCCGUUGAAAAUAUUUUACAUUGAAUCAAAUAGACCCUGAAUGCAAAUGUUUUUCAAAACUUUCAUUCAUAAUAUACGUUCUUAAAUUGUCUAAGUUUUGAAAAUUUCGUCCACACUUCAUAUAUUGACUUCGUGCGUUCUAAACAUGCGUCUUAUCAAUUGAAAGAAUAAUCCAUCUUCCUUUUCCUGCAGGACAUUUCAAUCCAUGAAGAGAUUCACUCACAAAUUAAGUAGCAAAUUUUCAAUCCGUAGACCAAUGAAACUCAAUAUCACAAAUACGAUCCUUUUUAAUCCAUCUUCCUUCCCAAAAGUUGCAUCCAUAAAAUACGUUCUUUACUUUGUCUAAGUUUGGGAAAAUUUCCUCGUGUCUCCACUCCAUAUUUGACUUGUACAUUUCGAACGUGUCUUAUCAAUUAAGAGGAUAAAUAUGAUACUGCUUAAUCCUUCUUCCUUCUUUUAUACAACCUUUCAAUCCAUAAAGAGAUUCCCUUACAGAAUAGCAAAUUUUCAACUUGUGGAACAACUCUUCUUAAUUCAUCAUUUCUACUGAAAAGUUACAUUCACAAAAUACGUUCUUUAAUUUAUCUAAGUUUUAAAAAUUUUCUCACGUCCACACUCUAUAUUUGAACCCUUACGUUCCAAGCAUGUGUUUUAUCAAUUGUGAGAACAAACACGACCAUUCUUGAUCCAUCUUUCUUCUUCUAUACAACCUUUCAAUCAACAAAUAGAUUCGUUUAUGGAGUAGCAAAUUUCCAAUUUAUGGACCCAUGGAACUCAAUUUCACAGAUAUGGCCCUUCUUAAUCUGUCUUCCUUCUCAAAAGUUACAUCCAUAAAAUACGUUCUUGAGUUUGUCUAAAUUUUGAAAAUUAUCUCGUGUCCACACUCCUUAUUUGAUCUCGUAUAUUCCAGGACCUUGUACAUUUCAAGCAUUUAUCUUAUCAGUUGAGAGGACAACCACUCUUAAUCUAUCUUCCUUCUCCUCUACAACUUUUCAAUCCACAAAAAGAGAUGCACUCACACAAUAGCAAAUUUUCAAUUUAUCUUUAAUUUGUCUAAAUUUUGUGACUACUAAAUCCGUGACUCUCAUAUACAUGUCACAAUGUGGUCACAAAAAGUUUGUGACUAUUCAAACCCUUUUAUGACUACUAUUUACGAGUCACAAAAAUUACUUUUUUUAGUAGUGUUCAACUAUGCAAGCUUGCCAAUUGAUUAAGUUCGACUGUUUUGCAGCUCUAAUUAUUUCAACCAUUUGCAGCUCUUGAUUAGUUCAUACUUCGAUCAGACCAUGUUGAACAUAAUUAGAGAGGUCUCAACGUAAUGAGAAAUUUAUAAUCAAAAUGAUACCUUGAAAUAGUUAUUUAAUUUCAUUCAGUAAAUGAUACAUCUCUUUCAGUGGCAAACAUUUAUGGAAUAAAAGGUUUUGUCCGCGUAAUAUUACAAUCGUAUCAUAAGUACUUUAAUUUAUUCAGGUAUCAUUGUCGAUCAGCUUUAGAAGCAGAUGUUAAUCAACUUCUAUGAAUUGGUUUCACGGUCACGAAUCACGGCCGAAGUGCACCUGGCGCAGGCGGCAGAGGGGUCUCAUAGGCGAUUCUGCGGUCCGUCCCUAUUUCUUUUGCCGCAUAUAUUUUGUCAUUACUCCUAAAUCCAUCUGCAAUUUAGAAAAGUAGAAGAAUAUGAAAGUGACUCCAAUUCUUUUUCUUUUUUCGACGAAAAAAAGCUAAGAAUAAUAGUGAUGAACUAAUGAUGAGUCUGCACUAAGAGCGGACGCCGGACAGUACAAAAUGUGCCCUAAGGAAGGAUGAAACGGGCCAGCAGAGUUUUUUUUUUUAUCAGAAGUUUAAAAAUAUUGUGCAAAAGUAGGGACAUAGAAAGGGUGGGGAUAAUGCUAUGGUGGGUGCAUCCUGUUUUUGACAAAUUUUAACUUGUGAGGCCCUAAUCCAUCCUUCCAUUCGUGAGUCAUAUGUCAAGGCAGAGCUAGCAUGCAGCACAAAACAAAGACUCCAGUAUGAUGAGUGCAAACCAGUAAUCUUUUUCUUUUACUAUUUUUAACCAUGAUUAUCGAUAAUCCACAAAUAUGAAAUCUUAGAACUAUGAAGAGGAAUCACUUACUUGUCUCCAUGAUCUUUCUCGGCGUUGAAGGUAGGAUGGCCUGAGUUGAAAUUAAGAAGAGAAAGAGAAGUAUGGUGAACAGCGCCUUGCUGUUGCUGCCCAUGUUUGUUACACAAGAGUGUUAAGGUUAGUGCUUGUAUUCUAAUCUUCCUACUCGAUGAUUAUGUAAAGAAACACACUUUUAUAGCCAUUUUGCGAAGCAAUCGAGUUUCUCUGCGAUUACAUUGAUUGUUAUGUUUGUCGUUUGAGCCGUCAACUUUGAAACAUAAGCUUCAACCAAAAAAAAAAAGGAAUGGCUCGAAUUGGGUCAAGCUGAUCUAGUCAAGUAUAGGACAUAACCACCUCGGUAAAUAUUUAAGUAAUCCUGUGUAGAGAAAUAAAGGUAUUAUCCCAAAAAUUCAACUCAGCCGGUAGCGACACUAGUCAAGUAAACAUUAAUUGUCUAAUUCAACCUUCAAGGCUUUCCCUUUCUCAUUCUGGUUUAGAAUUGCCCCUGAAAAACUAAACCAGAGAGAGAGAGAGAGAGAGGCAUCAUCAAAUUGGACAAAGACUUUAAUUCCUCCUUUGACAUCAGUCCAUAAAAACGUACGAUAAUUGCUAUUUAUUUGGCGUGCCACUUGUAGGUGAGGCAAGAAAUUGGAGACAAGCACAAAUAAAUUGUUACUAAACCUAGUCAAUUAUUGGGUAUGGUUUAAUAAUGGGAUGGUUAACAUAGUAACUUUUCGAAUUAAAUACAGUUGUAUAUAAAAACUUGGGAUAAAUUGACAGGUGCCGAACCUGUGCAAUAAUAAUAAAUAAAACCUAACUACCACCUAAAUCAGUCAAUAAUCAAUCCGAGUACUGGAGCAGGGACUCUAGGUGUGCAAUGGGUUACUUGAUUCACCCUGUUCCCGAAGAGUUUGCUUAAUCCGAUAUACCUGAAUUAAUUAUUUAACUGAGUUCUCUAACUAGUAGAUAGUGGUAAGCAGGGUCGUCUCCUCAGGGACUGGAGAGAUAUUUGUUUCUUUUCAAAUCAAGAUUAAUGGGGGGUUUUGGUAUCAAAUGCCAACUAAACAAAUUAACUGCAGAAAAUAAUUAAUUAAAAGAAAUAAAUGAGAGAAACUCUAGCCAAGGGUAUACUUCAGAAAUGGUUCAUGCACUGAUCAUUGAUUCAAAGGUAAUUCCAACAUUUACUAAUAGAUUGGUUCUAGUUGUCUCGCACGCGCUAAACAACCAACCCUUCCUUAAUUUAUCGAUAGCCAAGGUACGACCGUUAGCUAUUUCUCUAACCCAAAAACAACCCUAGGUAUGACCGUAGGAUUCAAUUUCCAGAUUGCAUUAAUAAUUAGAAAGGCCCAAUCCUAACCAAUAAACACGCUACGAGGGUUUAUUUAAGUUAGAUCAUAUAUUCCCCUGACAUAAACCCAAUUAUACCAGUUGCUACUGGGAUAGAGGUAACGAACAAUUACGGAUUCAAUUACCUCUAUUUAGCAAAAUAGCCUAUAUGAAUAAUUAAUUAUUGCGCACUAAUCAAUCAUACACAAGAGCUAUAACAGUUAAAAGCAAAGAACAUAUAAAUACCAAUAAACGGAGGAAAUAAUUAAAAGCGGUUUAGAUCUCACAGCAUUAAUUGAACCAAUUCAUCAGCUGUCCCUUGACUAGAAUUAGAGAAUUAGCCCUCCAUUAAUGGAGGACAAACCGCGCGUGGAAAACUGAGAAAGGUUUGCACUUCGAUUAUCCCGCUUCGGUCCACCACAGGAGGAGAAAGCUCAAAUUUGUAUUGCUCUCGAUUGUUAAGUGGAAACAUACGAGAGAUUGCUUUUGUUCUCCAAUUCGAUUCGCACAAGGUAGGACAGCCCAAGAGCAAAGUCAACAAUGACGGCUCCUUUAAGCUUUCUUCCUUUUUCCAAUUGAAGUCAAGAUACACGAGAGUGAAAGUUUCUCAAUUGCUUGAUUUCUCAAGUUGUCAAGUCAAAACAUGAAGAAUUGGUUUCUCACAAGUCAACAAUGAUCGCUUCUGUCCGUUGCCUUUCUCCACUUCAGGCUGCGGCUCUCUCCUCUCAUUCAAAAACAAAAACGAAGACUCCCCUCUAACCUAAGCCGCGCCAGAGAUAAAUUACAAAUUGUUACUUCUCCAAAAUUGCAGCAAGACUCCCUAGAAAUAUAUUAAAAUAAAAUCUAUUACAAUUAGGUUUUUUUCAGCUUCUCAAACGGGCCCCACGUCCGACGAAUCUCCUAAAAGUUAAAUUUAAGCACUUUUCGGCACCCAUUCCUGCAAUUAGCACCCAAAACAGAAUAUUAGUAAAAUCCACCCAAUUAACGAAAAUAUUCAGUCAAUUAAUUAUGCAAUAACGCCCAAAAUACCCACUAAAAUGCAACCUAUCAAUCUCCCCCACACCUGAACUAUGCUUGCCCUCAAGCAUAAUUAACUCAGAAGUAAAAUCAAGAUGCUAAGCAAAUCACAGCAGUUCACACCAAGAAUGGCAUUCCAAGUUCCCCAAUAACCUUAUCGAAAUCAGAAUAUACUAAAUCAGCAACGCUCGCAGUUCAACGUGCACUCAUUCACUCCAAAGUGUAUAUGAAAUGUAUAUAAGAUGGCUCUCAAAUCAACACAAUAGAAUGGCACUACCAUAAGCUUGCUCUUAUAUCAUAUCUCUACCACUUACUUAUGAAUUUAAAUGCAGCAAUCAAGGGACUUCAAAAGGUUGUAAUGGGGCUAGGGUGAGAAGGUAGGAUAAAAAGGAGUAGAAAGGGUGCAAAAGUAUAAAGAAAGUGCUCAGAAAUUCAUUACACAGAUUCUUGUACAUUUGAAGCUUCAAGGCAUCUCAACCAUCUUAUAAGUGGAGUACAUUGGCAUUUGCCACGGCUUUCGACUUUUCUCCUUUUUCAUUCAUCUACUUCCCCUCUCGUUUUCUUUCCCCCCUUUUUUUUUUUCUUUUGCUUUUUUUUCAAUACUCCCAACCAGCACCCUAAAGGUCAACUUGACUUGCUGGUUUCCUGCACUUUGUCUUCUUUUCACAUCCCUUCUUUUUUCUUUUGUUUUUUUUUUGUUUUUUUUUUUCGGUGCAUAAAUGGGUGUAAUGCCCUUCGAAUAAUACUCCAAAAGUCUGUAUAAUGAAAUCAAAGCACUUCUUCACACGAGGUACAAAAAGAAAGUCUAAAGAGAUGUUUUACGGCUAGGAACUAGGGUCUCAAGCGAAGAGUAGGAGUUAAGGCUCAACUUGGCUCCCUAAUGGUAGUAAAUAAUCCAAGGGUCGGUUUUAAGAAAGUCCAAAAUGGCUCAUUCCUAGGUGCCCUAUCAUUUUAAUGCAUUAAACUCAUGUAAAUGUGGUCUUGACAUGCAUAACCGAGCAAGUUCUAGAAUGACAAACCAUGUGCACUAACCACUCAAUCAAACGAAAAAUUAGGCCCAAAAAUCGCACAAGUGGUCAAAUUUAUGUCAAGUUCAGCAUAUUAAUCAAUCAAUUCAGUAUCAAGGAAAGUGGAACACCCCAUGGCAUGAACUUACUAUGUACGCUUAUAUCCCAAUUCGCAUUCAUCAUCGUUCAAAGAAAAGACAACUACUAAGGCAAGGAAAAACUCAAUCAGACAACGAAAAGCACAACCAAAGCAUAGUUAACCCUCCCCCACACCUAAACCUUACAUUGCCCUCAAUGUAAGCAAAGUAAGACCAAAUUAGAGGUAUUGGGGCAACGACACUUCCCUGACAACGGAGGAGGGCAGAAAUUCAAAUCAUGGCUGCGGAGGGAAAGGCGGGCGGAAGCCCACGUGAUGGAGAUACUGCGCUAUAUUCUGGGCCAUCCCGCCCAUUUGACGCUCCAUCCGAUCCAUACGAGUGUCCAUGUGCUCUGGCCCUUAUUUUUUUGGUUUAGUCAUUGGAAAUCAGAGGGCAAGGUGGAGGCAAGGAAAUGGGAUUCCAAAGAGGUCAACAAACAGCCAACAAAGCAAAUGACAACUAAAUACAGCUUCCAAUCACAGACAAGUGCAGAAACGGCCGAUGAACACAUCCCCAAGAAUUAGUUAAACCUGUCAGCAGCAAAAUUUUCCCAAAAUACCACAAAUUCAACCCAAAAACUAUUUAAUUAGACAAACACAGCAAAAUUCCCCCAAAAACGAAUUAAACAGACAACUAGAGUAAGAGCUUUCCCCAAAUAUCACUGGGUGGGCACAACGUUAACCAAAUAAUCAACAAUCAAUCCACAGAUAUGCCACAGCACCCAAACAAGCACCAAUUUUCUGUCCUCAGCUAGCAAAUCAAAAAUCUGGCCUCAGCUAAGAAAUUAAAAUCUGGCAUUAGCUAAUAAAAGCUAGUAAUCUGGCCUCAGCUACUUAGAGACAGAAAAUGAAAGAGGGAUAUCACCGGAGAAAAAUUUUUCAGCUCAUUUGACAGGUUGAGGAGGGACGCGCGUGGCCUGCGAUGGUGGUCUUGAUGAUCGCGCGCAAUGACCUGCUGGAGAUGCGCGCGCCUGGCUGGUAGACUGUGCGACUUCAGGCGGGCGGCGGACUGGGCAGCGGACUGGAGCAGGGUGGGCGCGGAGGAGGCUGGCACGCAGAGGGCUCGCGCGCCUGGGCUGGAUCGCGCGCAGGAGCGGCGCGCAGGGGCGGCAUCGCUGGGCUGCGUCGCGCGCAGGGAGCGCGCUUGGGCGCUGGGGUGGAGUGAGCGUGGCGGAGGCGUGCGGUCUGCGCGCACGGUCUGGGUUGCGCGUGCGGUCUGCGAUGGGCGGCGGCGGCGGGCAGCGACGGCUGGGGCCUGGCGUGGGCACGCUCAACUGCCCUGAAGCCCGCAGAACCUGAGCGAAAAUUUCCUCCGUCAGGCGUGACCACCUGGCGUGGGCACGUCUAACUACUAUGGAGUUUGCAGAACCUGAUCGAAAAUUUCUUCCCUUGGAACGUGACCACCUGGCGUGGGCACGUCUAACUACUAUGGAGUUCGCAGAACCUGAGCGAAAAUUCCUUUCCCUCAGGCGUGACCACCUGGCGUGGGCACGCCUAACCACUAAUCUCCUGCCACAAAACAUCAAACCAUCAAUUGACACUAAUACAUAAUUAAAACUUCAAAAAUGCAUGAAAACUAAAACAAAUAGUCUUGGGUUGCCUCCCAAGUAGCGCCUUUCUUUAAUGUCUUUGGCUAGACAUAGCACCACUCUUUAGUCUGGAUGUAAUUGAAUUUUCCUUGUAAUUGGUGGCCCUCCUCCAGGAUCCACAUGGCCAUUGAGUGCAACUUUUUCCCUAAAUUUUCUCUCCAUUUUUACCUCAUGAAUUGCUUUCAUCCUAUAGGACUUGUUCGUAGCAACCUUGAAUCUACCCCUACAAGCAAACUUAGAAAAUUCUUGCACAGAGGGAUUAAUGGUAUACAUAGCAAACACAGAAUGAGAGUUAACAGGAUGUUUCAUUGUAUCAAAAAUGUUAAAGUGGACUAUUUCUCCAUCAAAUUCCAUCGUGAGAGUACCCUUACUAACAUCAAUUUUAGUCUGGGCAGUACUCAAAAAUGGUCUUCCUAAUAUAAUGGGUGAUGGAUUCGGGGCACUUCUAUCAUCCAUGUAAAGCACGUAAAAAUCAGCAGGAAAAAUUAAUCCAUCUACUUGCACUAAAACAUCCUCAACUAUCCCAUCCGGGUAAGCACAUGUACGAUCAGCCAAUUGAAUUAUUAUCCCCGUUUCUUUUAAAGGUCCUAAAUUUAGGGAAUCAUAGAUUGACUUAGGCAUCACAUUAAUAGAAGCCCCUAAAUCUAUCAUGGCCUUUUUGAUACUAGAAUGGCCAAUCUUACAGGGGAUAGCAAACAUACCUGGAUCUCCGCAUUUGGGUGGGAGUUUCCUUUGAAGUACAGCUGAUACAUUCUCUCCUACCAUCACUCUUUCAUCACCCCUUAGCUUUCUUUUGUUAACGCACAAGUCUUUCAAGAACUUUGCGUACUUGGGUACCUGUUUGAUCGCGUCCAAUAGGGGGAUGUUUACUUGAACUUUGCGGAACACAUCCAGGAUUUCUUUUUCCUUUUCUGCCCUCUUUGUCUUUUCCAACCUGCAAGGAAAAGGAGCUAUAUUAGAUUUAAUAGGGAUCGAAGGAAUAGAUGUUACCUUAGGCUCUUCGCGAAUGCGCCCUUCCUCUUCAAUCUCCUUUUCUAUCUCCUCCUCACUUUUGCUUUUCGAAUUUUUCCCUUUAGCCCCUUCCAACUCCUUCCCACUCCUCAGUGUCAUGGCGCUUACAUUCUUGGGAUUUUCCUGGGGCUGCGAUGGCAGUUUCCCAUAAACGUGAGAUUCCAAGCGGUUGAUGGCAGUUGCCAGUUGACUUAUUCGAACAUCUUGGUCCUUCUUGUCAGCUUUGGUGCCCUGCUGGAGCUGCUCGGUUUUCGCGGCCAAUGAUCUGAUCUCCUCUUGAAGUUGUGUAGUAGUCGUGACCAGGUUAGUAGUAGUCGUGGCCAGGUUCUUGACUAGAUCCUCCAAGGAACUCUCUGAAUUGGAGGAUGAGGGUUGAGAUUUUGGUUGCCAAGGCUGGUGGAAUCCUGGUGGACGAUUCGGGAAUGAACCUUGUUGCCUUUUCCCAUAACUGAGGUUGGGAUGGUCUCUCCAACCGGGGUUGUAUGUGUUGGAAUACGGGUCAUACUGCCUGCGGGGCGCGGGCACGCCUCCGGCCAUAUUUACCUGUUCCGCCCCGUUCUCUUGCAAAAUGGGGCACAAAUCCGUGCAGUGGUCCAUGCUAGUGCAGAUUCCACACACCUUUGCUCGCGGUGUGUCUCUCAUGGCCAAUUGCCUGACAGCAGACGUCAACUCUGACAGUUGCUGCUGGAUGGAUGACGUCUCUGCUUCAUUGACUCUACGGGUAGGAGUGUUCUCACGGAAGCCGAACUGCUGAGAGUUUUCUGCCAUGGCUUCAAUAAGGUCCCAUGCUUCCCUCGGUGUUUUGUUCGCCAGGGCUCCUCCACUCGCAGCGUCAAUAAUACCCCUGUCAGUUGACUGGAGCCCUUCAUAGAAGUACUGGAUCAACAGUUGUUCGCUAAUCUGAUGCUGUGGGCAUCCCUUGCACAACUUGUUGAACCUUUCCCAAUAAUCGUACAAUGAUUCCCCGGAGUACUGCUUGAUACUGCAUAUUUCCUUUCUCAAACUCGCAACCCGGGAUGCGGGAAAAAAUUUUUCUAGAAAUUUCUUUUUCAACUGUGCCCACGUGGUGAUACUACCUGCAGGUAGGUAGUAUAGCCAAUCCUUCGCUGCAUCCUUGAGAGAGAAAGGGAAAGCCCUGAGUCGUAUUUGCUCUUCGGUGACCGCAGGGGGUUUCAUGCUAGAGCAAACCACUUCGAAUUCCUUGAUAUGUUUGUGGGGUUCCUCACCAGAAAGGCCAUGGAACGAAGGUAGGAGUUGAAUCAACCCCGAUUUCAACUCGAAUGAGGUAUUCUCAGCCAGAGUUGGGAACGUGAUGCACAAGGGCUGAUGAGUCAGUUCUGGGGUAGCCAGCUCCCGUAAUGUCUGGGUGUUGGCCAUGCUCAAUUCGUCUUCUAUUGACUCGUUUUCAGAAAAUGAGUACCCUUCUUUUUGUCUCUUGGUCUCUUGCCUUCGCCUACGUGCUGCCUUCUCAACCUCAGGAUCGUAUACCAAGUCACCUGUGCGAGAAGAACGGGGCAUAAACUAGCAAAAGUACCAAGAAAAAGAAAAAUAAAAUAAAACAAAAUAAAAACUGAAUUCAAAAAGAAACAACUAAUUCAGACGCCAGUCCCCGGCAACGGCGCCAAAAAUUGACAGGUGCCGAACCUGUGCAAUAAUAAUAAAUAAAUCAUAACUACCACCUGCAACAGCUAGUAAUCAAUUCGAGUACUGGAGCAGGGACUCUAGGUGUGCAAUGGGUUACUUGAUUCACCCUGUUCCCGAAGAGUUUGCUUAAUCCGAUAUACCUGAAUCAAUUAUUUAACUGAGUUCUCUAACUAGUAGAUAGUGGUAAGCAGGGUCGUCUCCUCAGGGACUGGAGAGAUAUUUGUUUCUUUUCAAAUCAAGAUUAAUGGGGGGUUUUGGUAUCAAAUGCCAACUAAACAAAUUAACUGCAGAAAAUAAUUAAUUAAAAGAAAUAAAUGAGAGAAACUCUAGCCAAGGGUAUACUUCAGAAAUGGUUCAUGCACUGAUCAUUGAUUCAAAGGUAAUUCCAACAUUUACUAAUAGAUUGGUUCUAGUUGUCUCGCACGCGCUAAACAACCAACCCUUCCUUAAUUUAUCGAUAGCCAAGGUACGACCGUUAGCUAUUUCUCUAACCCAAAAACAACCCUAGGUACGACCGUAGGAUUCAAUUUCCAGAUUGCAUUAAUAAUUAGAAAGGCCCAAUCCUAACCAAUAAACACGCUACGAGGGUUUAUUUAAGCUAGAUCAUAUAUUCCCCUGACAUAAACCCAAUUAUACCAGCUGCUACUGGGAUAGAGGUAACGAACAAUUACGGAUUCAAUUACCUCUAUUUAGCAAAAUAGCCUAUAUGAAUAAUUAAUUAUUGCGCACUAAUCAAUCAUACACAAGAGCUAUAACAGUUAAAAGCAAAGAACAUAUAAAUACCAAUAAACGGAGGAAAUAAUUAAAAGCGGUUUAGAUCUCACAGCAUUAAUUGAACCAAUUCAUCAGCUGUCCCUUGACUAGAAUUAGAGAAUUAGCCCUCCAUUAAUGGAGGACAAACCGCGCGUGGAAAACUGAGAAAGGUUUGCACUUCGAUUAUCCCGCUUCGGUCCACCACAGGAGGAGAAAGCUCAAAUUUGUAUUGCUCUCGAUUGUUAAGUGGAAACAUACGAGAGAUUGCUUUUGUUCUCCAAUUCGAUUCGCACAAGGUAGGACAGCCCAAGAGCAAAGUCAACAAUGACGGCUCCUUUAAGCUUUCUUCCUUUUUCCAAUUGAAGUCAAGAUACACGAGAGUGAAAGUUUCUCAAUUGCUUGAUUUCUCAAGUUGUCAAGUCAAAACAUGAAGAAUUGGUUUCUCACAAGUCAACAAUGAUCGCUUCUGUCCGUUGCCUUUCUCCACUUCAGGCUGCGGCUCUCUCCUCUCAUUCAAAAACAAAAACGAAGACUCCCCUCUAACCUAAGCCGCGCCAGAGAUAAAUUACAAAUUGUUACUUCUCCAAAAUUGCAGCAAGACUCCCUAGAAAUAUAUUAAAAUAAAAUCUAUUACAAUUAGGUUUUUUUCAGCUUCUCAAACGGGCCCCACGUCCGACGAAUCUCCUAAAAGUUAAAUUUAAGCACUUUUCGGCACCCAUUCCUGCAAUUAGCACCCAAAACAGAAUAUUAGUAAAAUCCACCCAAUUAACGAAAAUAUUCAGUCAAUUAAUUAUGCAAUAACGCCCAAAAUACCCACUAAAAUGCAACCUAUCAUAAAUUUAGAAAUCUCUCCUGAGAUUUCUGACAAUUUCACUAAGCACUUCUAAAGUUUCAACAAUUACACUUACCUCUGUUGUAAUUUAAAAUGACCAUAUUAAACUUAAUAUUUUAAUAAAACUCCAUUGUUACCAUAUUUAUACAAAGAAUGAAUUUUAUAAUUUUGUUUCUUUUUUCUUCUCAUUCAUUUCUCUUUUAUCUUAUUAAAAAUGUAGAAAAACUAUUAAUGUUGUCUCUACAUCUAUCCUGAUCAAAUGUUAAACUAGUAAUAUUUUUUGAUAACUUUUAACAUCAUCUAAUUUUUUUUUUAGCUCUUAUAUUUUGUAUCAAAAUCAAGAAUAAAUCAACAACAACUAAAAACAAAUAGCCCAAAAUCACUACUAAACUAUGAUAGUUUCAUCACUAAACUAGUGCAUAAAUUUUUCUUCGAAAAGCAAAAAACUAGUCCAUAAACUUUUUAAAAAAAUGAUUUUAAAAUCAAGAAGAAAAGGUUUGAGAAAACUUCUCUCUUCGGCUCCUCUUCUCCAACUUCUCUCUACUGCUCCUUUUCUCUGAAUCCCUUCCUCUUCAGAAGGAAGACACCCAUGGUCUCCUUGAUUUCCCUCCCAUAGGUUUCGUUUUUGUUAUAUUCCUAAUAAAGUCUCCCCUAAAUUUUUUUAGUGGGAGAUCUCUGUUUCUCCUAGGGUUCCUGGUGAGAAUUUUUGUUCUCUUAGGAGUUCCUAGUGAGAUUUUGUGUUAUUUUUCCUUGUUUUGUUGUUUAAAUUUGAAUUUACUUCAGAUCUGGUUGUCAGAUCUGAAUUUAUUUCAGAUUUUGGUCUAUGACGGCAGAUCUCAUCAUCUUUAUUGGAGUUUACAACUGUUGAUUAGUAGAUCUGACGAUUGCAACAUGCAUGGAGUGGGUUGCAGUAUGAGGAGAUAAUUUUAAAAUUGAUGGUGCUUUUUAGAUUUGUUCUUAAUUUCUCAAGUCUUUUGCAUCUGUCAAAUUGUAGAUCUACAAUUUUAGUGCAUAUUUUAUCUACUAUUAGGGCAACGAUGUAUAUCAAUCGUGUUGGACGAUUUCCAGCAAUCCGUUAAUGAAAUAUGUUUUGUUAUAAAAAAAAAAAACAAGAUAACACUUUCUUCUUUAUCUUAAAAAGAAUCUAUAUCCCUAAUAAAGUACCAUGAAAAGUAGCCUAUUAUAGCAAAAAAUUUAUUGUUACCGUUGAUUGUCAAAUAAUAAAUAUUUGCACGAAAAACUUGAUAUUGUUUGACUGUUUUGAUAUUUGUGGUGAGUGACCUAAUAUGGAUAUUAGUCAAGAAAAUAUAUAAUCUAAUUUAAAUAGACUGAACUUGCGAGUUUGUUGAUUAGAAUUAGUGAUUUCUCUGAUUUUUAAUACUGUCGAUACAUUAAAUCCUAAGAGUUUGUUUAGCGCUAUCUAUUAAUAAGAGAAGUAAUCAAAGAAUUUAUUUUGAUUACCGAGAAAUUAAGAAGAAACUGGUUGCUAGGCUUGUUAAUAGCCAUAACCAAUUUAUUCAUGAAUAUAUAAAUUUAUCUUUGUAUCAAUGAUCAAUUGACUGAAUCAAGACCGAGAUUAAUCUUUUGACUAGAAGAUCAUUACUAUUUCAGUUUUAUUUGAUUUUCAUUAGUAUUUUUCUUUUAAUUGUAUUGUUUAAUUUAAUUUCUCAAAAAACCCCAUUUAAUUAUUGCUUUCACAAAGAAAUAAAUCAAUUAAUCUCCAACCCUACUCAUUACUGCACACAAGAGUAAUCAUUUUAUGAAUAGGUAUUUUUAUUUUGGGAUAAUUUCAGAAACCUCUCCUGAGGUUUCUGACAAUUUUACUGAUCUCCCCUGAGGUUUGGAAAAUUAUGUCUACCUCCCUUGAUUUAAUAGUUUUAGUAACAAAACUUUAAAAUAAUAUUGACUUGGUCAAAUUUUUAAAUGAAUACCCAAAAAUGCCCUUGUGUAAUGAGUUUUAAUUUAUGUUCCUAUACAAUUAUAAGAUUGUCUAGUAUAAGUAUAAAAAAAAGGUGCCAAAAUUUUCAUUUCCGUACCUACUAUUUGAUAAAUAAUUAUAAUAAUAAUUUUAUUAUUAUGAUAGGAUACUUUUGAUAGUAUUUUAUUAUGAAUUUAGAUUUAUAAGAUAGAAAAGAAAAUGUUGAAAUAAUUCAUUUAGAGUUUAUGAAUUUUUCGAGUAGUGGGAUUAUCAUAAUUUAGUUAUGAUUUUGGGCCAUUUCUUUUGAUUUAUUAUUAAUUUUAAUACUAAAACAUAGAAAACAAAGAUCAACAAAAACAUUGGAUUGCAUAUAAAAUUAACUCAUAAAAAAAAUUCACUUGUUUGACAUUUGAUUAUAAUAGAAACUAGAGGUAAUAAUGGUAGUUCUACAGUUUUAUUGGCAAAAAAUAAAAAAAUAAUAAUAAGAGGGAAAAAGAAUGAAAAAAUAAUUUUAAAGGUCACUCUAAGUAUAAACAUACCAAACAAGGGAAUUUCAUUAUAUUAUUUAAGGGUAGUAUUGCCAUUUUAAAUGACAAGGGAUGUAUGUGUAAUUUUUAAAACCUUAAGGGAGCUAAAUGAAAUUUUUAAAAACCUCAAGGGAGGUUUUGAAAUUAUCCCUUUUAUUUUUAUUGGAUUCGACACCCAUCACCAAAAUUUGGGAAAAAAAAUCAUCUAUUGGCAAUUUCUCACUUCUAUUUCAUGAAAUAUAAAACCAAAUAAUUAAGCAUAAUCCCUCACCACAAUAUACAGGUCUAUACCAUAAAUAGCUUAGCCUGUCGAUUGAUCGUCAUUCUUACGAAUCAGGCAACCGCUACAUCAUUUCUAUGGAAUAGAAGGCGCUCAAAUCACCUUCUUCUGCAGAUUUAGUAGGAAAAGUCAUCCUUAUAUUUUCUAAAUCAAUGACAGAAGAUAAAAAUGUUCAAUCUCAUCAAGACAUUUCAUUGCAUUAAAUUUCUUGGCCGUCGAGAUAGACAUCUUAAAUGUUUCAAUCUCAGAAAGAGAGAAAAGAAAAAUGGCAAAUUAACAAGAAAAGGACAGAAAAGAAGACCUCGGAAGUCUUCCUUGUACAGCUGGGAAUACGGGAUAAAUACUUGCUUUAUUUGUGGUACACAUAGCAACCUGGGCAAACUUGAGUUGAACUCGAAAGUAGUCAUGGGUUCUUUUGAAUUUAUGUCGACAUUCAUUAUGGUCCUACUUUUCCCAUCAUCUCAUCCCAAAGCCAAAGGUGUCGCUUCAGAUUCUGUUUGUGAGGCUGCUGCUCUUUUGAAAUGGAAAGCCAGUUUUCAAAACCAGAACAAUAGCUUGCUAACCUCGUGGAACCGCGACUCCAUCAAUGCAAAGAAUUCUUCCAACCUUCCAUGCACUUGGGCUGGUAUUUCUUGCAUUAACGGAAGUGUCAACAGGUUGAAUCUCUCAGAAUGGAGCAUAAAAGGCAGCCUUUAUGACUUCCCAUUUUCAUCCCUCCCAAAUCUUGAAUAUCUUGAUCUUAGCCUGAAUCAAAUCUUUGGCAGCAUACCUCGUGAAAUAGGUAACUUGUUGAAGCUCAUUUAUCUUGAUUUCUCAGUUAACGAGUUGUCAAAAGAAAUCCCACCUGAAAUUUGCAACUUGAGAAACUUGACUCGUUUAGCUCUUGGUAGUAAUCAACUUUCAGGUCCAAUUCCAUCUGGAAUAGGAACUCUGCAUAAUCUUGUUGAACUUGGUCUGGAGGACAACAAUUUAACAGGUUCAAUUCCAUCCACUUUUGGCAACCUCAACAGGCUAGUAAAGUUACACCUUUUCCGAAAUCACCUAUAUGGUCCUAUCCCCCACACGAUAGGAAAUCUGAUCUCACUCCAACUUCUUAUCUUGUCUCAAAAUAAUCUUGUUGGUGCAAUCCCAAAGUCACUAGGCAAUUUGACUAAUUUAACUCAUCUGUAUCUCUAUGAGAAUCAACUUUCAGGUCCAAUUCCAAAAGAUUUGGGUGAUCUCAAAUUCCUUAUUGAAAUGGUAAUAAGUGAGAAUCAAUUUAAUGGUUCUAUUCCUGUUUCAAUUGGUAAUUUGAGUAACUUAAACGAACUGUAUCUCCGAGCGAACCAAUUUUCUGGUACCAUUCCAGAAGAGCUUGGAAAACUGCAAAAGUUGGUAGUUUUGGAAUUGGAUCAAAAUCAGUUAUCUGGUCCAUUGCCGGAACUGCUAUGCCAAAAUGGAACCCUCCAAAACAUAACUGUAUCUGAGAACAAGCUUACAGGUCCAAUCCCUCGAAGCUUGAAAUAUUGCUCAAGCUUAAUUAGGGCCCGCUUCAACGGGAACCAUUUCCACGGUAACUUGUCAGAAAUGUUUGGCAUCUAUCCCUUCCUGGAUUUCAUAGAUCUCAGCAACAACGAAUUCCAUGGUGAACUCUCCAGCAGCUGGGGAAAAUGCAAAAGCUUGACAACCCUGAAGGUUGGAAAGAACAACAUCACAGGUGGUAUACCUCCAGAAAUUGGAACUUUAACUCAAUUACAUGCACUUGAUCUUUCUUCAAAUUAUUUAUCUGGGGAGAUACCAAGAGGAGUUGGGAAGUUGGCUUCUAUGCUUAACCUAUCUUUGCAUGACAACCAACUCACUGGCGGUAUACCUCAGGAGUUGGGUAUGCUAACAGAGCUUCUUUAUCUAGACCUGUCCACAAAUAAGUUGAAUGGAUCUAUUCCAGAACGUUUGGGAGAUUUGAAGCACUUGUAUCACAUGAACUUGAGCAACAACAUUUUGAGUCAAAAGAUUCCAAUCCAGAUUGGAAAGUUAACCCAACUUUCUGAACUGGAUUUGAGUCAAAAUUACAUCACAGGGGAGAUACCAUUCGAGUUUCUAAGUUUGCAGAAUCUGGAAACAUUGAAUCUCUCACACAAUAACCUCUCUGGUUUGAUCCCAAGUGCUUUGGCAAAAUUGCCUGGUCCAUUGCACAUCAAUAUAUCAUUCAAUAAUUUAGAGGGUCCAAUUCCGAGUGGUAGAGCCUUUGUGAAUUUAACCAUAGAGGAAGUACAAGGAAAUAAAGGUUUGUGUGGGAAUAUUUCAGGGUUACCGGCUUGUGAAAGUUCCCCGUUGAUUAAAAAGCAUGUCAAGAAUAAGGGGAAGAAAAAACUUGUUCUCACAAUUUUAAGUCCUCUUCUGGGAUCAUUCGUACUUCUUUGUGCAUUCUUUGGUGGUCUCAGAUUGCAUAAGCAAUGGAGAAAAAGUUCAGGAACGGAAGAUAUUGAUAUGAACAAAGUAAACUUAUUUUCCAUAUGUACUUUUGAUGGCAAAGCAUUGUAUAAGGAAAUAGUAAUGGCUACAGAAGAGUUCAGUGACAUAUUGUGCAUUGGUAAAGGAGGUUAUGGAAGUGUUUACAAAGCACAGCUUCCAUCAGGCGAUGUAGUAGCUGUAAAGAGACUUCACAGCAUGCCUGAGAUGGCAAGUCACAAAAAUUUUUUGAAUGAGAUAAGGGCCUUGACAGAAAUCAAGCAUCGAAACAUUGUGAAACUCUUUGGGUUCUGCUCAAAUUCUCAACAUUCAUUUUUGGUAUAUGAGUACCUUGAAAGAGGGAGCUUGACCAAAAUCUUUAGCAUAGAAGAAGAAGCUAAGGAACUAGACUGGCGAAAGAGAUUAAAAAUCAUCAAAGGCGUUGCUCAUGCUUUAUCUUACAUGCAUCAUGAUUGUUCGCCAGCCAUUGCACAUCGGAACAUAUCAAGCAACAACAUUUUGCUUGAUCUAGAAUAUGAGGCUCACAUUUCAGAUUUUGGCACUUCUAAGUUUCUGAAAAAUGAUUCAUCUAAUUGGAGUUCUCUUGCAGGCACAUAUGGAUACGAAAAAAAUACUCUAUUCAUAGCUAGUAAUUCAGUGGGUGAAUUGAUACGAAAAAAAUAUAAAAACAGUAUGAUGAACAAGUAGAAACUUUGGGAAAGUGUAGGAUACAAUAUCUUGAACUCAUUUGUAAUUUAAACUUCUAAAACUCUUCAGUUUUGCUAGUGCGUGAUCUUCUUUCAUUAUCCCAUUCAAAACCAAACUUCAUAGUUCAACUAGUCAAUAACGAAGACUUUUCCUCCAAGUAAUCACCUAUUUUUGUCCACUAAUUGAUUACUACUUUUUUAUAGCAACUAUUGACAAAAAGAAUUUAUUUAAGGGGGCUGAUAUAUAUAUAUAUCACCAAAAUUUUGUCACCAUUUAUCACCAUAUCUUAAACAUGAGCAAAGCCACGGCUUCCCAUUUCCUAUAUGCGCUUUUGUACUAUUUAAGUUUAUGUUUGAACAAAAUCUGUGACUAAGAUGCAUUUUGUACUAUUUAGCUAAUUACUUUAAACAUUUUGAUCUUGUAUACAAGUUCGGAGAGAUAUUCUGGUCCUGGUACCAUAUCCUUCGUUAGAUAUAAGCUCUCAGGGGAGUAUAUUUAUAAAUAUCAACCAACAGUAUGGUUAUGUUAAACCAAUGAUAUUAUUCUAAAGGGAAAGCGACGAUAUGACUUAGCGACAAAAAUAAAUUCAAAGACAAGCUCGUGUCCUUGAUUUUAGAAAUUUCAUGUUUGCAUCUAUCAUUUAAUAAUAUCGUAAUUUUCAAUCAUUUUUUGCAGGUGGACUCAUUCUAAAAGGAUCGUAAAAUAUCUCACAACUUGCACCUAAAAAAUAAACAGUCAAAACUAGAAUGAAAUAAUCUGUGAAUUUUUCAUCUGGAAAGUACUAGCUGUCUAUGACAUUGUUAUUCCAAGUAGAAACCUUUCAAGAAAUUUUAUCUUUCUUCUCGUGGUCAACAUUUAUUUCAAUUACAUAAAUGCAGAUAUUAGUAUCUUACUUCGUAAAUACUAUAUAUUGAUAGCCCUAAAAUAGCUAGCAUUAAACUGCUUCAAUUGAUUAGAAUAUAAACAAAUGAUUUGUCUAACAAGUUCCUCGAGGCAUUCGUUAGUCAAGUUUCCAAUGAAGAGUGAAAUUAAAUGUGAAAGUGACUAAAGGAAGACUACAAAUGUGAUUACAUGCAUUUCUGUGUAUCAUAAAGUGUGUAUCAAUGAGUGCUAUGAGAAAAAUCCGUUGAUAGAAACCCUUGACUCAUCUUAGCCCCCUAAUGUUUUUCAGAUUAGAAAAGGCAUAUAAAAGUGGUUAUGACUGAUUAAAGACUGUUUGAUAUUGAUAGAGGACAAAAUGAGGAAAGGAGAUGAAGAAUUGGCAAUGCGGAUGGAAAAUGUUGGGGAAGGGUAGACAUCAACAAAGACUAGGGAGGGUUAGCUCAAUUUAUAACAUAUUUUAAGGUGGCGAAAACUAGUGCUAAAUUUAUUAUAUUUUUAUUUGUUGCUGUCUUAAUGCCUGCAAUUAUUUGUUUUAGUUCUUAUAUCUAGGUAUAUACAACUCAAGUUAGUUCAAUUGCUAAGAAUAGAUCACUUUCUUACGAAAUAUUGUGUAUUUGAAUCCUGUUACGAAUGUAAAAGCUAAAUUAGUGGAUAACUUAUACGACCCCCUGUAAACAACAACGACUUAUGAUCUGGAAAAUAUACUGUUUUUUUGGUGAAAAUAGGGAUUAAAUAUUAAUAAACAACAGAGUUUAGCCCUAUCUAUUACAAAGCAAAAGAGAUAGUGCGGGGAAAACAGAUCCCUUUCAAGUCCUCAUCAUAGACAAAAGCGAGUUCUUGAGGACAAUUAGCAAAAGUUACAAAGUUGGAUUGUAAUCUGCCUCCCAUUCUUGCGAGUGCGUCCGCGCAUCUAUUUGCCUCCCGGUAUAUGUGGGAUAUUUUAACAAGCCGCAGCUGCGAAAGGAGGGAUCUGCAAUCCGAAAUGAUAGAGUUCAAAAGGUGAUUAGGAUUGGCAACAGCUGUUAACAAAGUAAUAAUAGCUUCGCAGUCAACUUCAACUUCAAGUUGAGAAAUUUUUAAGGAAAGGGCUAUUUCUAGUCCAUCUCGGAUACCCCAACAUUCCGCCAGCAUGCUGUUUGUAGAACCUAAGUUUCUACAGUAUCCUUUAAUCCAACAUCCGGAGGCGUCUCUGAUAACACCUCCAGCUCCCGCUGGACCUGGGUUUCCUAAGGCUGAGCCGUCUGAAUUGAGCUUGAACCAAUGGAGGAUUGGAGGAAUCCAUCUGAUAAGAAUAUGGGAUUUUCUGCGAGGGGGGUGGCCAGAAUUUGGGCCAAGGGAGUAGAACUCAGUGGCCAACUUGAUGCUGGUUUUGGUUGGAGGAGGUUGUGUUCUGUUGGGCUCGAAAAUCUUUUUAUUCCUGGAUUUCCAAAUGGUGGAGCAAGUAAAGGCAAAGAGUGUGCCCCAAGGAAUAUUGUAGAAAGGGGAGGGUGUGGAAAGUUUACAACCUUCCCUAAUCCAGAUGUGAAAAGGAAUGUGUAGAGUGGAUAGAUAGUAGUUGGGAUUGAGCUCCAUCCAAACAGCUUGGGCGUGGACACAUUUGCGCAAGACAUGAUUAGUAUCCUCUAUCAGUCCUGGGCAGAAAGGGCAGAUAUUAUCAGGGAGGAUGUUUCUCUUAUGAAGGAGGUAUCUUGUUGCUAGUUUGUCUUGAGAAGCUAACCAGAGGAAUAAUUUGGUUCGAUGGGAUGUGUGAGUAGUCCAAAUCCAAGUGAAAGACUGGCUUGGAGGAUGGGGUGUUUGGACAUUGGGUUUGGCCUGAAUAUAUAGCAAACUAGUGAUCUCAUAUGCAGAUUUUAGACUGAACUCACCAUCAGGAGAAUUCCUCCAUAUAAGGUUGUCUGCUUGUUUAGAAUGGUGAGGUCUAGGAAUAGCUUUUAGCAGGUCGGUAAUGGAAGGGGGUAGAUGGAAGGAAAUAUUAUUGAAAUUCCAAUUACCAUUGCUGUCAAAAAGAUCUGAUAGGAGUAGUUGAUCUUCCUCUGGUAGGAGUGGUCCUUCAAUUAAGGAUCUGAGGGUGCUUGCUGAGAACCAUUUUCCAGACCACACUUUAAUUGUUUUACCAUCUCCUAUGUUCCAACCCAACCCUUGGUUGAAGAUGUUGUUACCGUGUAUGAUAUUCCUGAGGUUUAUGGAACCUCUAGAUUUGCAGAAGCUAAGAGGGGAUUCUUUCAAAGGUUGGUUUCUAUGUAAGUAGAGAUCUGAAAGAAUUUGAACCCAAGGACGAUGUGUGUUUUUCAUCAUCUGCCAAUUGAGUUUGGCCAAAUUAGCUUUGUUCAAAAGGGCUGAUUGUCUCAAUCCCAAACCACCCUCCUUUUUGGGGAGGGUAACAGUUUCCCACUUAAUCAAGUGGAGUUUUUUCUUCCCCUCUGUGGAGCCCCAGAGGAAAUUUUUCUGUUCUCUAUCGAUGGCAUCACAGAUUUUUUUUGGGAUAUGUGCUGCUUGGAAGAAAUAGGUAGGGAUGGAAGAUAUGCAUUGUUGGAUAAUUGUCUUUCUCCCAGCAAAGGACAACAGGUUUGCUUUCCAGCCUUGGAGUUUGGAUUGAAUUUUUUCCAAAAGGAAGUGGAAGGUUUUGGCUGUUGCUUUCUUAACACUAAGUGGAAAGCCAAGGUAUUUUCCUAGGUCUCGGGUACCCUGAAUGUUUAGAGUCCUGGUGAUAGAGUUUUUAGUGAAUUCAAGGGUGUUUGGGGAAAAUAGAAUCCUUGACUUGGAGUGGUUGAUACGGAGGCCAGAGAGGUCCCCAAAAAUGUUCAGAAUAUUUUGGAUAGUGGUUAUAGAGGUAUCAUCUGUCCUUGAGAAGAGGAUGAUGUCAUCUGCAAACAGACAAUGUGACAGACAAUGUCUAGAUCUCCCAAACUUGAGAGGGGUCCAGUUGUUACCAUCCACUUCUUUGGUGAUAGCCAUUGACAGGUACUCCAUGCAAAUAAUGAAGAUGUAUGGGGAUAAAGGGUCUCCUUGUCGAAUGCCUCUAGAAGGGGAAAAAAAGUUUGUUGGGGAUCCAUUUAUGAGUAUGGCCAAAUUGGUAGAUGUAAUGCAAUGAAGAAUGAGGUUGAUGAGGGAUGGGGGAAAAUCAAAGAAAGUGAGGGCUUGAUGAAUAAAAGACCAUUCAAGACUAUCAUACGCCUUAUGAAGAUCAAGCUUGAUGGCACACAACCCAUAUUUGCCCUUUUUAUUUUUUAGCCUGUGAAUGGCUUCUUGGACAAGCAUGAUGUUAUCUGUUCCACUUCUACCCGAGAUGAAGCUGGAUUGGAGAGGGGAGAUGAUGGUUGAAAGGAUUGGUCUAAGUUUAUUAACAAUGGUCUUGGCUAGUAUUUUAUAAGUGGUAUUGCAGAGUCCUAUGGGUCUAAACUGCUGAAUGAUAUCCGGGUUGUCAAGUUUGGGAAUCAAGCAAAUUAAAGUAUCGUUAAUCCCGACUGGAAAAUAUACUGUGACUCGUGGCAAUACGUCCCUGUAACUUAAAGACUUGGGUAGCUACACAUCAUCAUCAGGACCAAGUCUUUUAGACCUUUGCCAAUACAAGGCCUAACAUGUAAACUUUAUAAAAUCAACCACGAGUUUCUGACCUUUUCUAACAAUUGCCCCGCCAUAAAAAAUUGUUUGAAAACAACAAUGACUUUUCUCGUCCAAUAUUACGUCAGGCUGAUCAUAAAUGUUGGACCUUCGGGCACAAGGGCCCAGAAUUAAACUUGUUUGAAACCAAACACAACUAAUUUGAUCUUGACGGUUGGACCUUUAAAGACUGGCAACAUAUCCUUAUUCCUUAAAGAGUAGGUAGGGAACACAUCAUUUUUUCUUAAAAAAAUAGGGAUAGGCAAUAUAUAUCUUGACUUGGAAGUCCUUUAGACCUUUGUCAAGAAGAAUUAAGGGUGAGAAUGAUACCAUUCUUGAAGGUUGAUGGGCAGGCUUAGUCUAAAAAAAAUGUAAGACUCAGUCAUUUUUAUGUAUGUUAACUUUAGAUCGUGUUCAAAUAAAAGACUUUCAAUUUAUUUGAAAUGAACAAAACUGUACAACAACUAUUCAAUUGCAACCAUUUGUGCCCCUAUUCUUGCCAACAAGGCCUAUCAACAAAUAUAUUUGAAGAUAAUCACAACUGUCGUAUCCAAAAAUCAUUUUUACUUGAUCCUUAUUUAAUAGGAAGGUAGUAAAUUCAUACCUUUCUAUUCUAAAUUCACAAUAGAAUGGUAUAAGGUUAUAUUUAGGAUUAUAGGUGGCAAACAAACCUAUUUAACUAAAUUUACCCAUACCCUCCCAUGAAUAGAUGGGUAUGAGUAUCUUAAGUUUUUAUAUAUGGGCAUAAAUGGGUUAUCCAACAAUACCCAUUUAAUAAAUGAGUUAUUUAAUAAAUGGGUAUUAUUGGAUAAUCCAUCAAACCCAAUUAAUCCAUUUAGAAUUGUCUUCCUUCAAACCUCCUCUCUUCCCCCACUUUUUUUUUUUUCAGAUUUUUCAUUUUAUCAUGAUGUUAAUUACUUUUGUUUCAUUAUUAUUAUUAUUUGUUGGUUUUAUCUUAUCAUUUUAUUUUAUCUUAGUUUGUUAACUUGCUCAUACCAAUUUAUAACAAGUUCUAGUCUCUUUUCCUACUUUUCAAAAUAAAAUUUUAAAUUUACACACGAAAAAAAUGUUAAGGGUUCAAAAUUUUUAGAUUAAGAUUUUAUGUUAACUUUUAUAAUAUUUAGUUCAAAUUUUAAUACUCUUAUUGUUCAAAUAGUAAAUAAUAUGUAAUUUUGUAACAUAGAGUAUGGAUGAGAAAAAAAAUUGGUAAUUAGGCUUAUUGAUCAUUAUAAGUAAAUAUUUAAAACUAAUGAUGGGUGCAAAGAGUGGUAUAAAUUGAUGACUUAGUUUACAAAUUUGAAUUUAAAUGAGUUCACAAAAAGUUAAAAUAAAUGGGUUAUAAAUGGGUAAUUGGGUUACCCAAUUCAUUUUUUGACUUAUCCAUUUAUACCCAUAUAAUUAAAUGGUAUACAUGGGUUGAUUCUCUUGUACCCAUUACCCAUUUUAACCAACUCAAACCUGUCCAAAUCAUCCAUUUUGACACAUCUAUUUAGGAUGGAGAGUUGUGGAUUUAGUCCCUCUUGACUACUUUUUUUUUUUUAAACCUUGCCUAAUUUUUCUUGCAAUAAUUUAUUCAUCUUUGUUUGUCAAUUAUUCAUCAGAUUAUAUUGAAACAACUAAAAUUUCUAAUAGUUGUACAAUUAUAUCAUUACUCUUUAUCUUGACCAAUAGAUUAAUAUAUUUAAAAAUCAAUUCAAUUCAAUAACGUUAUAUCAUUCAAUUUACACGAAACUUUUGGAGGUUCUACAAUGUUAAAAUUAUUAAUGUUCAAAUGCCAAAACUUGAUCCUUUAUUCUUUUUUUCAUUUUCCAUGUGUAACUAGUAAGUGAUGUAGUAUAUUAGGAACUAUUUAGUAUCAAAUAUGACUUUAAAAUUGAACUUAUUAGGGUACAGCCUAACCUGACCGUAAAAGUAAUAUUGAGUUCUUAGGCAUUUUAUAUUUGCAGGCUCGGUUCAUUAAAUUAGAAAAUUCAUAAGAGUCAAACUGGUGUGCCAAGGAUCUCGUCAUUUAUAGUCACGAUUCAUUUUUUUUUUUUUACAAUAUUACUACUAACCCAAUCAGUUUACAACUCAAUAACGUUACGAAAUUGACCUAAAAAUUGUUAGAUGAACUUGAAAUUUCUCGUUCUCCCUUGUCUGGAUUUUAUGGGAGGUUUUUUGGGGGCUUUUGGUCAUUUCUCUAACAAUCGUUGGUUGGAGAAAAACAAAUAUACCAACUCUUGGUUAUGCUCAAAACCUACAUUUCAAUGCAAACGCGCAUGUAGCUCGAUUAAACUCGAAUUUUUUUGCAUCCCUUUUUUAGUUUCAUCAAGAUAAUAAGAAAUUUAUUUUCAAAAUGAUACCUUUAUAUAUUUAUUUUAUUUCAUAAGGAUUCAGUACAUAGCAGCUCUCUUUUGUUGGUAAAUAGAAUAAAAGGUCUUUAUUGUUCAGGCAUCAUAGUUGUAGAAUCCAAAUUUAUUGUCCUAAUAAUAAUUACAUGUGUAAGGUUAUAGAUUAAAGGGAUAAAACAAUAACUCAAAAUACAUGUGAGAGAGAAGAAAAUAAAUAACUUACAAUCUGAUUGAUAUUUAAAACAAUGGAAAGAUGAGUCACACCAUAAUAAAGAAAAACCUUAUAGGCUCUCUUUAAAAUUGACAAAAUGACUAAAAUGCCCUGAUAUAAUUAAGCAAAAGAUAGCUCAAAAAAAUCAUUUGUUUUAUUCUCUAAAUAGAGAGAAUUGAGGGUUAAGGGGUAGAAUAGGUAUAUUGGAUAAAAAUUAGGUAUAAAAUUUUUUUUUAUGUUCCAAUAAGUCAUUUCCGUUAAAUUUAACGGAUUUCGUCACCUUUACAAUUUAGUUCAAAGCAUGAGGUGUCGUGUUGUAUAUUUUGAAACCAUAGGGGGCUUUUUUGUGUAUUAGACUUACCACAGGAGGCUUUUUUGUUUUUUACCCUUCUUUCUGACAUUAUCAAAGAACAUAAAAUGAUCAAAGUUGUACAACAGAAAACCACUCUUCACAAAAAAAAAAAAAAAAAUUCCGAACAAUGUUGUGUUUCAUGUUUAUAUGUAUGUUGUGUUGGACAUUCUUGAACUUUUUGGCGGAGAUUUUAGUUGCAAUAUAAAAUUUUUGGAAUCCAUCAGCAUAAAUAGUCCUAAACUUUCAGAUCUGAAUUUAAUCAAAUUGUCCUUCUAAUCAAAUGCUUCUCCUAGUUCUGGCCUAUUAACUAAAAAGAAAAGAAAAGAGUAUAUUGACCUGAAGCCAAAAAAACUAAAAAAUAAAUAGAAAAUUUUAUAAGUUUUGAUACCGAUGCCAACUAAAUUCUAGUUGGACAAGUACUACGACCAACUAAAUCUGCCUGGAAUUGAUAAAAAUUUAGCUUUAGCCAGUUUAUUCUGACUUUCUUGAAUUUCACGAAUUAUUUAGUAUAAUCUGUCUCUAGAAAAUAUAGAACUACAACAUAAAUAGCAUAAUUUGUCUUGAAAAUACUAUCAAAUUUUCUGGCAUAAUCUGUCACCAGAAAUUAUAGAACUACAACAUAAAUGGCUUAGCCUAUGGACUGAUCAUGGUUUAGAUAUUUCUCCAAAAGCUACUCGAAUCACCUUUUUCUGUGGAUUCAGUAGGAAAAAUUAGUCAUGGAAGAUAAAAACGGUCAAUCUCAUUAAAACAUUUCAUUGCUUUACAUUUCUUAGAUAUCGAAAUAGACAUUUUAUGCGUGUUUAAAUCUCAAAAAAAGUAAAACCAAAGAAGAAGGGAAAGGAGAAAGGGACAGAACAAGAAGACCUCUGAAAUUUUUCAUGUUUUGCUGGGAUAAUUAAAUACUAGCAUCAUUUGUUAUACAAAGUAACAAACCACUGGACCAAUAGCUCAGUGGCUACCAGGGAGGGAGUUAAGUCCCUCCUUGGGCUGUAGGUGAGGGUUCAAACCUCACCUGCAGCGAAAAAAAUUUAAGAAUUGUGUCAUAGCACUCUCUUGGUCUAGUUGGGUCUGUAUACCCACUAGCCCCUACCACAGUCUCUUUGAAUCUCGAUAGGCUAGUCAACUUAUAUCUAUUCAAAAAUCACCUAUUAGGUUCCAUUCCUAAUGCGAUCGAAAACUUAGUCUCACUUCAGUUUCUUGUCUUGUCUCAAAAUUAUCUUAUUGGUUCAAUCCCUAAGUCGCUAGGCAAUUUUAACCAAUUUGAUGCAUUUAUAUCUCCCUGACAACAACAUUCUGGUUCAAUUUCAAAGAAUUUGGGUGAUCAAAAAUUCCUUUUAGAUAUGAAUUAGGUAAGAACCAACUUAAUAUGGUUCCAAUCCUAUUUUAAUUGGUAACUCGAGUAACUUAAAAAAACAGUAUCUCCUAAAAAACCAUAUUCUGGUACCAUCCCACAAGAGCUUGGAAACUUAAGGUUGUGUUUGGAUUGCAUUUUUCUGGAUUUUUUGUAGAAAAAUUAUUGUAAUGAUUUGAUGUAUGUAAGGUAAAAAGGUGAUAGGAAAAUAUGUUCAUGAAAAACAUAACAAUUUUAGAUAGAAAAUGGCUGUCCAAACACAGCCUAAAAUAGUCAGUAGUUUUGGAAUUGGAUUAAAAUCAAUUAUCUAGUCCAUUGCCAGAACUACUUUGACUCAAAAUGGCACACUCCAAAACAUUUCUGUAUCUAAGAACAUGCUUACAGGUCCAAUACCUAGAAGUUUGCGAAGCUGCUCAAGCUCAUGCUCAGCACUCAUUUUUGGUCUAUUAGUACCUUGAAAGAGGAAUCUUGUCCAAAAUUUUGAGCGCCAAAGAAGAAGCCAAGGGACAAGACUGGCAAAAGAAGUUGAAAACCAUCCAAGGCAUCGCUCAUGCUUUAUUUUACAUGCAUCAUGAUUGUUCACCAGUAGUUGUACGUCGGGAUAGAUCAAGCAAUUGUACGUCGGGUCACAUUUAAGAUUUUGGCACUCCUUAGUUUUAGUCUUUGAUCUUUUGUCAUUAUCCCCUUAAAGACUUUUCCUCCAACUAAUGUCUUUUUAACGUCCACUAAUUGAUUACUAUUUUUUAAAGAUCUUAAAAAGUCUAAGUAAACUCCUCGAUUAGAUGAUAUAUAUCAGCGCUCUUAAAUGAAAAAGGACUUUCUUAUUGUGUCGCAAAAGACUUUUUUAGUCAAGAUGAUAAAUAUAUUCGAACUCUUAAAUAAUUUUUUUCCGUCAACAACUGCAUUCAUCAAAUUGUAGUAAAUAAUUAGUAGGCAGUUACUUGGAGUAAAACACUUGGAUAGCUAACCUUAUCUUGACUGAAAAGUCUUUUGGACCUUUGACAAUAAGGCCCAACAGUAAAUUUGUUUAAAAUCAACCAUGACUAUCGGACUUUUUCUCACAACUGCCCAUCACUAAAUUGUUUUAAAACAUCGUUUGUUUCCAUCCAAAAUCUCUUCAAGUUGAUCGUAACAUGUUGGACCUGUGCACACAAGGACCCAAUGUUGUAAUUGUCUUACGCCAAUCGCUACUGGAUUGAUCUUGACGGUUGGUCAGAUCUUGACGGUUGGUCAGAUCUUUACGAACAAGGGCCCAACAUUAAAUUUGUUUGAAAAUAUAUCUUGACUUGAAAGUUUUUUAGGCCUUUGUCGAUAAGCACGACCAUCAAAUCAAUUUGUAGAAAAAAAUAAUAUUUAAUCAUAUUUGUUAAAUUCACCCGACAAGGAGGUCGACAGAGAGACGACAUGGAUGGUUCGCCACUGAGUAGGUGAUUGAACAUUUGAACCAAUGGCUCAGUGAAAGAAUAUUUAUAAAUACUUGGUAAUAUAUAAAACUUAUAAAUAAAGUUUAUUUAGAUGUUACUACUUUUGUUUCACUUUGAUAGUAUUGAUUUUUUGUUCUCACACAAUUUAAGAAAAAUUAGUUAAUUUUAUUAGAAAGGUAAAUCUAUAUUAAGAGUAUCAUUAAUCACUAUACUUUUACAUUAAUUAUAACAAAAAAUUAGUUAACUUUGUUAGAAAAAUAAAUCUAGCCUAAUGUUUUUCUAAAAUACCCUUAUAUUAAUAUUAGGAGUAUCACAAAUAACUAUACUUUUACUUUAAUUAUAACAGCAAUAAUGAUGAUGGUAUAUUGCACCAUUCAAGACAUAUAUCAAAGGUGAAAAAGUUGAAUGUAUUAAAUAAGAUAACUUAUAUUUACUGAUAACGAAGCAUACUAAAUAAGCGUAGUUUGCAGAAGUUAAAACUUAACUAUAUUCUUGAAUUGGAAGGUGGACUAUAAUUUUGGAUGGAUGAAAGCGGAAAAUAAAAUUAUUAAAGUAGGACAGAGAUAGUAAUUAUUAUGUUCAAAAAGGUAUAUUUUAAAUAUAUAAAUAUUGGUUUGUCUAAUAGGUGUGGCACCUGUUAAGAUGUAUUUCAGUAUUAUAUUUUUAAAAUAUAAGAUUAAUUAGAAAAAGUAAAUAAAUAUAAGAGAGAGUAUGCAAGAUUGCAUAAGAAAAAUAUAUAAAUAAAAGAAAAAAAUAAUUAUUAGUAUGUGUGUCUAUAUGAUAAAUUAGAUGAAUAUUAAACGUAUUAACGAAUACUUAAGUGCAACCGUUAGAAAACCCUAUGAAUAUUUACCUAGUUGAGAUUGGGCAUACUUCCUCCAAGUUCACUCGGAAUCCGGGCCUGGUGCCCAGCUCAACUCGAGAUGCUACGACCCAGAACAAAAUAAUUUCUAACACGUAACUCUAAAGUUGCAAAUUAGUACUUGUGUUUGAAACGUCAGUCAACCCGUCAUCAAUUUACGCGUCAAAAAUGAAAGAAAUAAAACCCUUAAAACGUAGAAUAUGACAAUGAUAGGUAACACCCAUGUUUCCGGCAGAAAUGACAGAAGAACUUGUUGGGGGCAAAAGCGGUCGCAAAAUACAGCUUGAUUCAGGCUCGCCACCGGCAAUGACGGAGCCAAGGGGGGCAGAGGGGGGCCAUGGCCCCCCCUAAGUUUUGAGAAUUUUAAUUCAUAAUAUGUAAAUAUGUGUGUAAAAUAAAAUUGGCCCCCCCUAAAUUUUUUCAAUUUUAGUUUAUAUUAUGAGAGUUGAUAUAUAUAUAUAUAUGAAUUAGUCAUCUUUGAAUGGAAUUUCAAUUUUGGCCCCCCCAAAAAAAAAAUCCUGGCUCCGUCACCGGGUACAACCUGCAACCAUGAAGGGGACAAUUUCUGCUGGUGGUUUUAUGGGCUAUUGGUGCAGCGGCCACCGCCGUCAGCGACAGCGGGAUAUGACACCGUAACAGGUUAAGAAUGAUUAUUGAUCAAGAUAUGGGUCGCACUAACCAUUUUAAAGUACGACGAAAACAACAAAGCAAAAGAGUUACAACCGAAGCACCAAAUGAUGCUACUACAAAAGAAAUUUAAUCCAUUAUUUCUGUGGUUGCUUUAAUUUUUUUGUUCGUGAAACGAAAAUAAUUUUUAAAAUCCAUUAUUCAAACAAAAGUAAAAAUUUGAUUAGAUGAUAAAUGAUUAUUGGAUGAGUAAAGAAAUGUUUUAACUUUUCUUUUUUGUGGAGGGAAAAAAUUACUAUGCAUUCAAAAAAACUUUUGGAAAAAGAUUGCAAAGAUUAAGUGGUAUACAAGAUUGAGCACAAAUUUGACAUAAAAAACAGGUAUGGCAAAGUCUAUAUAUCUAAGCAAACUCUUUGGAAAUAGGGUGAAUCAAGUAACCCAUUGUACACCUAAAGUCCCUACUCCAGUACCUAGGGUUAAUUAUUAACUGCUUUUAGUGAUAGUUAGGUUCUAUUUUUAUUAUUGCACAGGCUCGAUACCUGUCAUAGUCUUGGAAUUGGAUUAAAAUCAAUUAUCCAGUCCCUUGCCAGAACUACUUUGACUCAAAAUGGCACACUCCAAAACAUUUCUGUAUCUAAGAACAUGCUUACAGGUCCAAUACCUAGAAGUUUGCGAAACUGCUCAAGCUCAUGCUCAGCACUCAUUUUUGGUCUAUUAGUACCUUGAAAGCGGAAUCUUGUCCAAAAUUUUGAGCGUCAAAGAAGAAGCCAAGGAACAAGACUGGCAAAAGAAGUUGAAAACCAUCCAAGGCAUCGCUCAUGCUUUAUUUUACAUGCAUCAUGAUUGUUCACCCGCAAUUGUACAUCGGGUCACGUUUAAGAUUUUGGCACUCCUUAGUUUUAGUCUUUGAUCUUCUGUCAUUAUCCCCUUAAAGACUUUUCUUCCAACUAAUGUCCUUUUAGCGUCUACUAAUUGAUUAUUACUUUUUAAAGAACUUAAAAAGUCUAAGUAAACUUCUCGAUUAGAUGAUAUAUGUAUCAGCGCUCUUAAAUGAAAAAAUACUUUUUUAUUGUAUCCCAAAAGACUUUCUUUAGUCAAGAUGAUAAGUAUAUUCGAGCUCUUAAAUAAAUUCUUUUCGUUAACAACUGCUUUCAAAAUGGGUAGUAAUUAAUUUGUAGAGAAUUACUUGGACGAAAAGACUUGGACAGCCAACCUCAUCUCGACUGAAAAGUCUUCUGGACCUUUGCCAUUAAGGCCCAACAUUAAAUAUGUUUAAAAUCAACCUCGCCUAUGGGACUUUUACUAACAACUGCCCACCACUAAAUUUGUUUGAAAACAUCAGCUGUUUCCAUCCAAAAGUUCUUCAAGUUGAUCCUAUAUGUUGGACCUUCGCACACAAGGACCCAAUGUUAUAAUUGCAUCAAGCCGAUCGCUACUGGAUUGAUCUUGACGGUUGGCCGGACCUUUACGAACAAGGGCCCAACAUCAAAUUUGUUAGAAAAUAUAUAUUGACUGUGAAAGUCUGUUAGGCCUUUGACAGUAAACGUUAGCAUCAAAUUAAAUUUGUAGCAAAACAGGACUACCAUCUUCUAAAAAAUUAUAUUUAAUCAUAUUUAUUAAACUCGCCCGACAAGGAAGUUGACAUACAUGGAUGGUUCACUGCUUCAACCAAUGGCCCAAUAAAAGAAUAUUUAUAAAUACUUGGUAAUAUAUAAAAUUUAUAAAUAAAGUUUAUUUAAAAUAUCUUAAAACAUUUGUUUCCUUGUAUAUAAGAAAAAAAUUAUUUUAAAUACAAAAGAUAAUUAAUUAUUAUGGAAAAUUAUAUUUCAAUAUUAAUUGAACUUACAAGUAGUCUAAGAUAUCAUGAUGCAGUAUAAAAGAUUUGACAUCCUACUAUAUAGGCAUCUAGAAUGAAUGUGGAAAGAACUUUCCCUAUGUUUUUAUGGAGAGCAGAUCCUCUGUCUAUGCCGCUAGCUAACAGGAGAUCAUCAGUAAAGUGCGAAUGCAAAAAAUACUCGAAAUCAAACAUAACAAACUUUGAAGUUUUGAUAUCAAUGCCCACUCAACUUUGAAGUUUUGAUAUCAAACAUAACAAAUGUACUAUGACCAAUUAAAUCUGCCCAUGAAAAUUUGGAAAAAAAAAAAAAAUCAUCUUUUGGCAAUUUCUCACUUCUAUUUCAUAAAAUCUACAACCAAAUAAUUAAGCAUAAUCCCUCUCCAGAAAAUACAGAUCUAUACCAUAAAUAGCUUAGCCUGUAGAUUGAUCGUCAUUCUUACGAAUUUGGUAACCGCUACUCCAUCUCUAUACUAUAGAAGGCACUGCGAGUCACCUUCUUCUGCAGAUAUAGUAGGAAAGUCAUCUUUAUAUUUUCUAAAUCAGUGACAGAAUGUCAAAAUGUUCAAUCUUAUCAAGACAUUUCAUUGCAUUAAAUUUCUUGGCCGUCGAAGUCGACAUCUUAAUUGUUUCAAUCUCCGAAAGAAAGAAAAGAAAUUGGAAAAUUAAGAAGAAAAGGACAGAAACACAGCUGGGAAUACAGGAUAACCUCGGAAGUCUUCCUUGUACAGCUGGGAACACAGGAUAAAUACUAGCUUUAUUUAUGGUACACAUAGCAACCUGGGCAAACUUGAGUUGAACUCGAAAGUAGUCAUGGGUUUUUUUGAAUUUAUCUCCAUAUUCAUUAUGGUCCUACUUUUCCCAUCAUCUCAUCCCAAAGCCAAAGGUAUCGCUUCCGAUUCUGCUAGUGAGGCGGCUGGUCUUUUGAAAUGGAAAGCCAGUUUUCAAAACCAGAACAAUAGCUUGCUAACCUCGUGGAACCUCCAACCCAAAAAUGCCAAGAAUUCUUCCAACCUUCCAUGCACUUGGGCUGGUAUUUCAUGCAUUAAUGGAAGUGUCAACAGGUUGAAUCUCUCAGAAUACAGCAUAAAAGGUAGCCUUUAUGACUUCCCAUUUUCAUCCCUCCCAAAUCUUGAAUAUCUUGAACUUAGCCUGAAUCAGAUCUUUGGCAGCAUACCUCGUGAAAUAGGUAACUUGUCGAAGCUCAUUUAUCUUGAUUUCUCAGUUAAUGAGCUGUCACAAGAAAUCCCACCUGAAAUUUGCAACUUGAGAAACUUGACUCAUUUAGCUCUCGGAAGUAAUCAACUUUCAGGUCCAAUUCCAUCAGGAAUUGGAACUCUGCAUAAUCUGAUUGAACUUUAUCUGGACAACAACACUUUGAUAGGUUCAAUUCCAGCCACUUUUGGUAACCUCACUAGGCUAGUUAACUUAUACCUUUCCCAUAAUCUCCUAUCUGGACCCAUUCCUCCUACGAUCAGGAAUAUGAUCUCACUUCAAUUUCUUAUUUUGUCUCAAAAUAAUCUUUCUGGUGGAAUCCCAAAGUCACUUGGAACUUUAUCCAAUUUGAUUGGUCUAAUUCUCUUUGACAAUCAACUUUCAGGUCCAAUUCCAAAGGAAUUGGGUGAUCUAAAACUCCUUACCAAUAUGGAAUUGGGCGAAAACCAACUUAGUGGUUCCAUUCCUGUUUCAAUUGGUAACUUGAGUAACUUGGAAAAACUGUUUCUCCGAAAAAACCAAUUUUCUGGUUCCAUUCCACAAAAGCUUGGAAACUUGAAAAAGUUGGCAAUUUUGGUAUUGGAUCAAAAUCAGCUCUCUGGUCCAUUGCCAGAAUUGCUAUGUCAAAAUGGCUCACUCCAAAUCAUUUCUGUAUCUGAGAACGUGCUUACAGGUCCAAUCCCUGGAAGCUUGAAAAAUUGCUCAAGCUUGAUUAGGACCCGUUUCAAUGGGAACCAUUUCCACGGUAACUUGUCAGAAAUGUUCGGCAUCUAUCCAUUCCUGGACUUCAUAGAUCUCAGCAACAAUGAGUUCUACGGUGAACUCUCCAGCAACUGGGUUGAAUGCAAAAUCUUGAAAACCCUGAUAAUUGCAAAGAAUAACAUCACAGGUGGUAUACCUUUAGAAUUUGGAAAUUUAUCUCAACUGCAUGCACUUGACAUUUCUUCAAACUUUUUAUCCGGGGAGAUACCAAGGGUAGUGGGGAAGUUGACCUCUAUGCUUAAACUAGAUUUACAUGAGAACCAAUUUCUUGGUGGUGUACCUCAGGAAUUGGGAAUGCUAACCGAACUUCUUUAUCUAGACCUAUCCACAAAUUCCUUGAAUGGAUCUUUUCCAGAACAUUUGGAAGAUUUGAAGCACUUGUUUUACAUGAACUUGAGCAACAACAUUUUCAGCCAAAAGAUUCCAUUCGAGAUUGGCAAGUUGACCCAACUUUCUGAACUAGAUUUGAGUCUAAAUUUCUUCACAGGAGAGAUACCAUCAGAGUUCCGAAGUUUGCAGAGUCUGGGAACAUUGGACCUCUCCCACAAUAACCUCUCUGGUUUAAUCCCAAAGGCUUUAGCAGAAUUGCCUGGUUCAUUGCAAAUUAAUAUUUCUUUCAAUAAUUUAGAGGGUCCAAUUCCAAGUGGCAAAGCCUUUGUGAAUUUAACCAUAGAAGAAGUAAAGGGAAAUAAAGGCUUGUGUGGCAAUAUUACAGGGUUACGAGCUUGUGAAAGUUCUGCAUUAAUCAAAAGCCAUGUCAAAAAUAAGAGGAAAAAACUUGUUCUCACAAUUGUAUUUCCUCUUCUGGGGUCAUUCAUACUUCUAGGUGCAUUCUUUGGUAUUCUCAAAUUGCGUGAUCAAAGGAAAAAAAUUUUAGGAUUGGAAGAUAUGGAUUUGAAGAAGAGCCAUUUAUGGUUAUGAUGGCAAAGCAUUGUAUAAAGAAAUAGUAUUGACUACACAAGAGUUCAGUGAAGUAUUUUGCAUAGGGAAAGGAGGUUAUGGAAGUGUUUAUAGAGCACAGCUUUCAUCAGGGGAUGUAGUAGCUGUAAAGAGACUUCACAACAUGCCAGAGAUGGCAAGUCAUAGAAGUUUCUUGAAUGAGAUAAGAGCCUUGACAGAAAUCAAGCAUCGAAACAUUGUAAAACUCUUGGGCUUCUGCUCCAAUUCUCAGCACUCAUUUUUGGUUUAUGAGUAUCUUGAAAGAGGGAGUUUGGCCAAAAUCUUGAGCAUAGAAGAAGAAGCUAUUGAACUAGGCUGGCAGAAGAGGUUAAAAAUUAUCAAAGGCAUCGCUCAAGCUUUAUCUUACAUACAUCAUGAUUGUUCACCAGCAAUUGUACAUCGGGACAUAUCAAGCAACAACAUUUUGCUCGAUUCAGAAGACGAAGCUCAUCUGAAUUUCAGAUUUUGGCACUUCUAAGUUUCUGAAAAAAGACUCAUCUAAUUGGAGUUCUCUUGCAGGAACAUGUGGAUAUGUUGCACCAGGUAAUAAUGUUUUUUGCCCGUCUUUGAUUUAUUAACUACUAGUUUUUAAUACGAUCACAUGUUAUCACGAGUGACGUCAUAAUUUUCCAACUUUUCCUUGCAGAAUUUGCCUACACAAUGAAAGUAACUGAAAAGUGUGAUGUUUAUGGCUUUGGGGUCCUGACAAUGGAAGUAAUCAAAGGAAAGCACCCCGGUGACUUGAUUGCUUAUCUAGUGUCUUCAAAGCCCGAGAAAAUAGAACUGAAAGACUUGUUCGAUCAAAGACUUCUGUAUCCCAAUCGAGAAAUUGAAAACAUUCUGGCAUCCGUUCUCAAAGUAGCAAGAGAAUGUCUACAUGUUGAUCCACAAUCUAGGCCAACAAUGCUCUUUAUUUCUAGGUUGUUAUCAACUGGUGCACAAUCUGUGUAACAUAUUGUACAAGACUACGAUGACCAUAUUAAUCAUUUUUCCUAAGUUUUAUGGGUUAAAUAAAUAGAUGUAACAAAUAUGUAGAAUUUGACUGAUGUUCUCUUUGAGUUUUGAAAAUCGGACCGGACCGGGCAGUUCGACCGGUUGAACCGCGAACCGGCCAUGGCAUCGGUCCGGUUCUAUGUUAGAGUUGGCUUUGUCAGAAAAUCGGUCAAACCUGAAACCAUCGAACCGACUUGAACCGGUUUUCAAGUUUCACCACUUUUUUUUUUUUUUUUUUAAAAAAAGUUUUGCAAAAUACUUCUUAGGGCUGCAAACGAGCCGAGCCGAGUCGAGUUUUGGCCUUAUCGAGUCGAGCCUUGACUUAAUUUCAUCGAACUCGAACUCGAACUCGAGCUCGAGCUCGACGAGCUAGUAAUUUUCAAGCUCGAACUCGAAAAAAAUAAAAAAAUAAUUAUUUUAUUUUUUAAAAAAUAAAUAAAAUAAUAUUUUUUCUUAAUAAAUAAUAAAAUAUUAAGGAUAUUUAUGUAAUUUUACUAUUAAAAAUAAAAAUAAAAAAAAAUAUAUAUAUAUAUACUCGAGCUCGCGAGCUAACGAACUUAAUGUUUUGAGCUCGAGCUCGAGCUCGAUAUUGAUCGAGCUCAAGUCGAGCUUGAAUCGAGCCGCUCGCGAGCGGCUCGAUUCGUUUGCACUCCUAUACUUCUAUCAAGAUUUGAACUUAAGACCUUCUUUGUAAUAGAUGACCAAUGUAGUAACCACUGCACCAUCACAUCUUAUUUGCUUUUUUUGAUAACUUAUUUAUAUAAAACAAAUAUCCAUAUUUCUUUUUUCCAUUUUUCUUACAAAAUCUCAUUAAUUUUCAACUCUCUCUUUUUAAUUUUCAACUCUCUCUCUCUCUCUCCUCUUUUCUUUUGUCAUUCCCUUUUUAAUCAAACCUCUUUAGUUUUAAUUUAUUGAUAUUUUCUUCCAUCUUUUAAUUUUGUUUUUGUCCAUUAAAUUGAAAAAAGUUAAAAAAGAAUAAUUUUUCUUUAACCCAAAUUAUUUAAUGCCACAACCACUCACUUUUAUCUCGUUUUUUGUUUCUUAUCAAGUUUGCAUUUUUAUUGUCGAUUCUCUUGACUUCCUUCGAACUCCAAACUUUCUUUUUUAAAUUAUAAUCUCUAAAUUCCAAAGACGUAAAUUAAAAUUUAAGUUCACAAUGUCAAAUUCUCAUAGACGUGAAUUUUGUAUAAUUUCAAAAUAUUGUGCUAUUUUUGGGUUGAAUUUAAGAUUUUUUUUGGUAGAUAUAAUUGAAAUUGAGUAGGAGUGGCAAUCGGGUCGAGUUCGGGUUGGCGGGUUGGGUUGAGGUCUAAAUAUAACAAAAAACCCGCUGACCCGAACUUGACCCGCCAACCCGAAACGGGUCAGGAUACCUGCCACGAACCCGAAAAUUUUAGGUUGGCGGGUCGACCCGAAAUGACUCGAAACUUAAUUUUAAUUUAUUAAUUUAUCACUGUAAUUUCUAAUAAAAUCAAUUUUUCACAAAAUUAAUUACAUCAUCAAGUAAUAAAAAUUUAAAUAAAUAAUUUCAAACCAAAUCUAAAAUAAAUUAAACACCGUAAAAGUGUUUUAUCCCAAACCAAAUAUAAAAUAAAUUAAAACAGCAUAAAAGUAAAAAAUAAUAUAAUAUAUUAUUUGUCCAAAUAUAAUAAUUUCAACUUCACACAAGUUAAAUAAAUUCAUUUAGGAUUAAGUAAUUAAUGCCUUUGAAAAAAAGAAUGAUUUAGUUUAGUUAGAUAAAAUAAUUUUUAUGUUUAUUAAAUUAUUUUUAAUUCGUAAACGGGUCAUAUCGGUCACAUCAAGUCAUCACGGGUUGACCCGAAAUCGACCUGUUUUCUUUUCAGGUUCAUCGAGUUCGACCCGAUUCUGACCCGAACCCACGAAACCUCAACCCAAACCCAUUACUUUCGUGUUAGGUUCAUGUCAUGUUUUUGGGUCAUGUCAGAAAUUGCCACCCCUAAAAUUGAGAUGAAAUUUAUUUGUUUUAACUUAUAAUUUAAAAAAUUUAUUUUUGAAAAUUCAAGUUAUUCAAAAAUAGUAAACUUUUCAUCAUAUAAAGUUUUAAAUUAGUCCAUUGCAUGUCUUAUUUUGUGCAUAUAUAUAUAUUUAUAAAUUAUUUUUAAAAAAAUUCAUUGAACGGGGGUUGAACCGGUCCGACUGGUUGAACCUCGACCCUUUCACUUCACCGAUUCAAUUGACGGUUCGGGUUUUAAAACAUAUGGCGAUACUGUUUAGAAAAAAAUAAACAAAAAUCAAUUUUCCUAGUUUCUGUAAUUGAGAUGUGCGGCGAGGCUGGAUUAAGAAAACCCACCACAAUCACUCCAUUUUUGCAAUCUUUUUUUUUUCAACAUUAUUUCAAGAAAUUUUCCCUCAUCUUUUGCCUCUUAUAUUUUUCAGAUUUCCAUAUUUUGGAAGGCUUAUAAAAGUGGUUACCAUUGAUGAAAGUCAUGAUAAUAAAGUCAAUCCCAGACAGUUUGAAAAUUACUGAUAGAGGAUAAUGAGAGAAUAGAGAAGGGGAAGUAUUGGUAAUACGUAGACACUAGUAUUUUGGCCCGUGCUAUGCACGGGUUUAUAUGAGAAGGAGAAAUAUGACUAAAUAUAAUAUUAUUACCCAUUUCUCUCAUAUUCUCCUCCUUCAUGCCAUUUUUUUCACCUCCCAACCUCCUCUCCUUUUUCACUUUGUGAAUCUAACUUUCUCGCAUCCCUACAAACUUUCGUCGUUCCUUCAAAUCUUAUCGAAUUUUUAUGUAUCCCUACAACCCUUUCUUGUUUUAUCAAAGCCUAUUUUUUCUUUGCUCUAUCUCAUUCCCACCCAAUUAUCCUAUCUCUUAUCCAAUUUUACAACCCACUUGUCUCCUAUUCUACUAUUAUUUUUAUCUAUUUAUAAAAUGUAGAGCAAAUUAUCCGGUUGGCCACUAAACUUUUGCAAUCGUCGAGUUUUGGUCAUUCAACUAUUAAAAGUCUGGUUUUGGCCACUAAAAUGUAUAAAGUUAAAACUCGUGGCCAUUCUGUUAGAUUUAGCCGUUAAAUUCACCGAUCUGUCUGUUUGCACGAUUUUCAAAACAAAAUGCAGGGUCAAUUUAGGAAGUUAAAAAUAGCAUCUUCUUCUUUAGGGCAAGUUCCUCAAGUUCCUUACUCAAGCCCAGAAGCAUUGGUGAUUGAAGUAGGAAAGAUUCCAGAGAAAUUGUUUUCCAUAACAGCUAAUAGUUUCAGAUUUGGUAGGGUGAGACCCAUAUCAAUUGGGAGAUUGCCAUGGAAGUCAUGGUAUGGAACUCCAAGUAGUCCUUCCUGCAAUAGAGUCAAAGUUGCGGUAAUGCUGACUCUCCUAGUCAAUAGGGCUAUUCAAACCAAUCCACCCUAAGCUGUUACAGAAGGAGCUGCAGAUCUGAUCCUAGAAGCUCCACCAGUUGCCGGUACUAUUUCAUCACCUGUGGAACGCUUAGACGGAUCUUGGGCUAGCACGGGCUGUAGGCACUCUUUGGGCGGAGCUCUCUCGAUCCACUAACUGGCUUGGGAAGAUAGCAAGAAGUCUGAGCCUUCACAUCCAUUUCGAGAGAAGCCUCAGUGGAUUGAAUCCCCGUUCAUUCGAGAAAUAAUUGAACCAACCUUUUCAAAAGCCCCAUCUCCAGAGGCAAAUUCCCUCCAGAUUGUUGAAGUCAAGGCCGAGUCCGAUCAAUGAUGAUGAUAAGAUCCCAAUGGGAGAGGGAAUCUCUCCUGUCAGAUUGCUUUUGGUAAAAUAUAAUCCUUUAAGCUUCUUCAAAUUGCUUAGCUGAUAGAUUGUAGUCUUCCUUUCUAGCUUGUUACUGGUUAGGUCAAUAGCUAUCAUCUCUGCGCAGUGGCUCAGAUUUUCUGGGAUUUUUCCACCGAGUGCAUUACUCGACAAGUUCAAGACUCUUAACCUGAGGAGGCGAAUGAAUUCUUGGGGAAUCCCACCAUGGAAUUGAUUCUCCCCAAGUUGGAUGAACCUCAUGAAGCUUAGAUUUCUGACCUGAGGAGAUAUAGUUCCAGACAACUGCUUACUCCUCAAAGUCAAGGCAAUGACCCUUUGGUGUCGAGUGCCACAAGUGACUCCUUCCCACUGGCAAUGGUGCUGUGAGUGGUUCCAGGAAUCACCAAGAACUGUUUUUGUUCAUUUCUCAAAUGUUUGAUGUUUGGGUUUAAGCAAAAACAAAAGGAGGACAAAGAACAGAUGCAUAGGAAAGGACGAAGAGAUGCAAGUGCUAUUUUUAACUUCCUAAAUUGACCCUAAAUUUUGUCUUGGAAAUCGUGUGAACAGACAGAUCGACAAACUUAACGGCUAAAUCUAACAAAAUGGCCACGAGUUUUAACUUUAUACAUUUUAGUGGCCAAAAUCAUACUUUUAAUAGUUGAGUGAUCAAAACUCAAAAGUUUAAUGGCCAGCCGAAUAAUUUGCUCUAAAAUGUAAAUGGUAACUUAUUUAUUUGGCUCGCCUAUUAAUAAAUGAGUUUGCAUGUGUAAUUUAAUUGGAUUCAAAUGGGUGACCAAAUUAACCCAUUAAUUAGUGGGUAUGAAAUUGACAGAUUUGGAUCACUUAUUUUUACUUAAUUAAAUUAGACGUAGAUUCAAACUCAAUCAUUAGUGGGUAAAUCUAAAUUACUCUAAUAAUUAUAUUCUAAUUUUUGCAAAGAUGUAUUCAUCGUUUUUCUUCUUCUUUAAUUUCUAUUAUUUUAUUUUUUAAAAUUUAUCCUACUUCCUCUAUUCCUUUCAUAAAAGUUUAAUAAAUUUCAUGAAUGUUAAUUGUCGCGCCCCAAUUUUUGAAAUAAAUAAAGAAAAAUAAAGUUGUUUGAAACCAUAAUGUGUAGUGUGCGUGAAAUAUGUGAAGUGUGUGAAUGUGAGAAAUAAAGGGAAAGACCAUGGGACUUUUAAAUGCGACGGUUUGGCCAAAAUGAUAAUCUAAAAAGGUUUUAAACAGAAAGGUAGGAGUCGCCACUUGGUAUUGAGUUGGGGUGUACCAAGUCACCCAAAAAGUAGUUUUUGAAAAAAAUGAAGUAAAAACCUUUUUAGAUGACUCCUAGUCUACGAAAAUCAAAGAGGCGAGUUCGGGGGUCACGGUUGAUAAAAGGGAAGGCAAAGACGAAGUCUAAGGCACCCUUUUACCCUAACCUAAGUUAGUUGAAUGCAAAUCUAAAUCUAAUGAGUGGUUCGAAUGGGACAAAAUAUCUCUUUUGAGGCUCGAUUGGUCCUAAUUACAUGAAUUGUGAUAGCCAAUGGUGAACCCUCAAAGAGGUCAUGAAUAAAUGCAAAUGAAUGCUUGAGUAAUAAUGGAGAAAAAUGAGAGUGUGUGAAAAUGUCUUUGAGCGUAAAAACGAGUGCCAAGUGCAAAUGUGCAAAGUGUAAGUGUGAAAAUGGGUGUGUAAAGUGCAAGGGUGCAAAUGAGUAUGUGAAAGUGCACGUAUACAAAUGAGAGAGAGUGUAAGGUGCAAGUGUGCAAAUUAGUAGGUAAAGUGUAAAUGGGCAGAUGUAAAGUAAAGUGAGAGUGUGCAAAAUGAUAGAGUGGAUUAGAAUACAUGAGUCUAGGGAAUGCAAGCAUAUCGGGUACGGGAAGACCCUAAAUCGUGACUUUUGAUUUGCCUUUUGGUUAGAAAGGAAACAAGCAUGCUAAGGCUAUGUGUAGCCAUACUCGUAUGUUUCCCUUACCAAAAAAGGUAACUCCCUAACCUAUGCAAGCAAAUGUGCUAGUCUAAGAUGAGAAUGCAGCUCUAAACGUGUAAGGGAAAGGUUAAGGGAGCAUGCAGAAAUGAGCAAUUAAUACUAAAAUGAAAAUAUGCAUGAAGUUGUAGUGAGGCAUGCAGAUAUGACACUGGCAAAAGGGGAACGACCCUAUUGGGUCUAGCAUUGGACUAGCUCUUAACUAACAUGCUCUCACAAGCAUUGAACAUUAUGAGAGCUCGAGGGGAAGACCAUGACUAGCAUUGGACCAGCCACGGUAACGUGCAUUCCAUCCACAUAAUCAGAUAUAAUACUAAAAGCAAAUAGACAUGCAAGACACAUAGUUUCACAUAGCACGUAGCACAUAAGCAUGCUUAUCUAGAUGCAGAAACCUAGGGAAGCGGUAACACAUAGCACAUAGGCAUGCAGAUCACUCACAAAGCAAAAUGAAGCAAAUAAACCCCUAUCUAUUACACUUGGGAAGCCCUACUACAAUCUAAGGGGAAAAGGAAUAAAUAAAUAAAAUAAUAACCUAACUAUUACAACUUUGGCAUUCAAGUGCUUUUCAAAUGAUCAAAAUUGAACAAAAAAUGAAUAUACAAAACAAAAGCCAAUAAAGCGAAUAAAUAAAUAAAUAAAAUAAAUAACAAAAAUAAUGAAAAAAAACAUUCAAGAGACAUGCAAUUAAACACGUAAAGUCACAUAGGGCACGUAAGCUCAAAUAGAGUAAGAAAUAAGAGAUAGGGUGUACCUCCUUGGAGUUGGAGCCCUAAUGGAGUGAAAUUACUUAUUUACCCUCCAAAAUAAUAAAAGAGUCAAGGCAUCACUUUAAUUGAGGGAAUUAAAGAAAAUAUACAAAAGCAAGCUCAAUUGGUGAUAAAGCCCUUAAAAUUAUGAAUUAAAUACAGUUUAAACAAAGUAUGGUGGUUAAUUGAAGCAAGCAAGCAAUGGAGUUGCGAAAUUAAAGCUGCCAAGGAUCAAAUCGCAAAUAUCAGAAAGUUUUUAGGGCCUAAUCAAAAUUAGUGGGCACGUGACGAAGGCACGGAAUGAGGAGCUCUCCAGGUUACUUGACGCGGGCACGUCAAGAGGGCAAGAGUCUCUUCUGACGAUUCUAACCGUGAGCUCUCCAUACGUCAUGACGCUGGCGCGUCAUGAGGGCAAGAACCCCUUCUGACGAUUCUGACUGUGAACUCUCCAUACGUCAUUACGCGGGCGCGUCAUGACAGAAGGACACCUACAAAUCAUAAAAAACGAAAAUUGAAACCCGAAAUCAGUCAAAUUCAAGGAAAACAUAUUUAAACUAUCACACGAAAUUAAAACAAACAAUUAAAAGAAAUAAUUGGGUUGCCUCCCAAUGAGCGCCUUUCUUUAACGUCUUUGGCUAGACAUUGAACACCACUCUUCAAUCUGGGUGUAACUCAAUUUUCCUGGAAAUCGGUGGCCCUCCUCCAGGAUCCAAAUUGCCUUUGAGGGCAGCCUCCUUUCUUAAUUUUCUACUCCUUUUCACCUCAUACAGUGCUUUCAUCCCCUUAUACUUGUUCUCAGUAAAUUUGAAUUUAUCCCUACAAGCAAACUCAGAAAAUUCUUGCACAGAGGGAUUAAUAGCAUGAAUAGCAAACACAGGGUGAGAGUUAACAGGAUGUUCCAUUGUAUCGAAAAUAUUAAAGUGGACUAGUUCUCCAUCAAAUUUCAUGGACAAUGUACCCUUAUUAACGUCAAUUUUUGUCUGUGCUGUGCUUAAAAAGGGUCUACCUAGUAGCAAAGGUGAGGGGUCAGGGGAAUGAUCAUCAUCCAUGUCAAGUACAUAAAAGUCAGCCGGGAAUAUCAAUUCAUUAACUUUAACCAGCACAUCUUCUAUCAACCCAUCAGAGUAUGCAUUUGUUCGGUCAGCUAAUUGAAUUAUUAUCUCGGUUUCUUUUAAUGGACCGAGGUUCAGAGAAGCAUACAUAGAUUUAGGCAUUAUGUUGAUCGAUGCUCCUAAGUCCAGCAGGGUAUUCCUAAUGCUUGUACUAGUUAUGUAGAGCUUGUUGAGUAAUAAAGGAUCGUAAUGGAAGAAUGAAAGACAAGUUGAGGUUGUUUUGGAGUAAUAAAGCUAUCUGAUGUGGGUAAAUUGAUGUAUUAUGGAGUUUUUUGUAUUUUGAAAGCUGCUCUUAGGCGUUAUUAUAUGACAAAGAAUAUUUUACUUCAUUAUUUAGAUUUUGAUGUUAGUAAGUAAUAAUUAUGAUACUAAUAAUUAAUUUGGGUAAAACAAGAUGUCACUUGUGGUUGCACAUGACAUUGUAGUUCACUACAAUGGAAGAAGAACCAGGAUUCCUAAUGUGGAUCUUGAUAAGUAUUCUUAUAUAGAGCUGUUAAAUGAUGUUUAUGAGAAAGCACUUCACAAAUUACCUAGAAAUCUUAAUUAUUUGCUACAUAUGAGAUGUGGGAUUUCAAGAAAUGCUACAACAAUGGAUGUCAACACUGAUAAGGCAGUCAUGGAAAUGUUUAAGGUGCAUGAAAAUGAGUCGGUGAUCAAUUUGUUUGUGGACCAUAUGGAUGUAAUUCCAUUUAAUAUGCCUAAGAUGAACAACAAUAACAACUUUGGUGGUGGCCAAGAGAAUCUAGGAAUUAAGGAGACUGCUGGAAAUAUUGAACCUAAUUUGCAAAAUAUUGAAAGGGAUGAUGAAGUGUUCAUUUCAAGUGAUGAUGAUUCUUGGAUGUAUGAAGCAAACACUGACAAAGAGGAUAGCUUAAGCAAUUGCAGUGAGGUACAUGAAUCAUUUGAUAUGAGUGAUAUUGCCUUCUCAGAUUAUGAGGUGAAUGAUAAAGGUUAUAUAAUUCCAAAUUCUGAAUCUGAGGAAAAAAUUGAUCCAAAUAGGGCAGCUUUAAGAGCAAAAAUAUUUGCCUAUAAUCCAAAAGAGGAUAUUGAAUUUGAGAAGAAUAUGUUAUUCACCAAUGUUGAUGCUUUUAGGGCUGCUUUGAAGGAGUAUGCCAUCCAAAAGGUUUUCCUAUAGUAAGACUGAAAAAUGGAAAGAAAAGAUGUACUGCUAAGUGUGCUGUUGAAGGUUGUCCAUGGAGAAUCCAUGCUUCUCUUGUUGGUGAAACAACUACUUCUCAAAUUAAGUCUUACACACCUCAACACACUUGUGUUAUGAACAAUAGGAAUGCGGAGGCUACAUCUGAUUGGGUUGCUAAGAAAGUUCCACUUCUUCGGAUCCAUCCUCAAAUGAAUACAGAAAGUGUCUAUGCUAAGAUUGUAUCAAAUAUGGUGUGCAUCCUAGCAAGAUGCAGAUUUGGAGGGCAAAGACAAGGGCACUGGAAGAGAUACAAGAUACAUACUCUGAGUCAUAUGCAAUCUUGCCCAAGUAUGCUAAGAUUUUAAGGAAAAGUAACCGUCAAUGCAUCUGCAAGAUUCAUUUUGACAGGCCAAAUCUCUUGGCGGAAUCAAGAUUUCUGAGAAUUUUUAUUAGUUUCAAAGCACAAAAGAUGGAUUUCUUAGAUAUUCCAAGCCAUUUGUUGGUUUUGAUGGUUGCCACCUCAAAGGACCAUAUGGAGGAAUGUUGCUUAUUGUUGUGGCUUUGGAUAGGAAUAACAGCAUAUUCCCUUUUGUGAUUGCUGUGGUUGAAUGUGAAAACAAAGAGACUUGGUCAUAGUUCUUUCAUUUCUUUGAAGAAUACUUUGGUCCAUUUGAUAACCAAUUGCCUCUAACAUUUAUGAGUGAUAGACAAAAGGUACUUUUUGUUCUACUUACAAAUGUCCCCUUUCUACUAUCAUAUGACUUGACAGCCAAUCUUCUGUUUGCGCUAAUUAAAUUAUGCUAAAUGUAAGGUCUGAACUUAGCAUAUGAUGAACUGAUACCAUACGCUAAUGCAAGAUACUGCUGCAGGCAUAUUCAGAACAACUUUAAACUGUCCUUUCCAGGGCUACUGCUUAGUAAUUACUUCUGGCAGGCAGCUAAGAGCUUUGAUGCAGCUGGUCAUAAAGAGGCAAUGGAAAGAAUUAAAGAGAUAAAUAUUGAGGCUUGGAAAUACUUGACAAAGAUAUCACUAAAGAUAUCGCUAACAGCUUGGGCAAUGAUUACGGUCAUACACAUGUUUAGCUGUAUAGUCUACUUCAUUUAUGGUGGAUUUUUCUUUUCUUUUGCAAAUACAAUUGCCGCUAUUUAACAACUUCAGAUUUUGUUUUACUGAAAAAUUAACGCUUGUCACACGGUAAUUGAGAAAUCUUCAAUCCUAUAACUGUAAUGACCAGAAUAUCCUUGGUUUUGUUAGUCUUAACAUCAAUAAUAAACGGAAGGACCAGCAAUGUACACAAUUUACAAGUUUGAUGAGUAAUUUGGCAUCUUUAAUAAUUGAAGGGCCAAAAGCAUGCAAACUUGAUAAUUCAAGGGCCAUUUUAAGUUUUUUGCCCUUUUCGAAGUGAUACCUUGAAAUAUACAUUUUCUUUCAUAAGUAUUCAGUACAUAGCACCUACCUCUCUUUUGCUGGUAAACAGAGCAAAAGGUCUUUUCCACGUAAUAUGUAAUGUUAUGUUACAAUUGUAGCAUAAUUAAUUUAAUUUAUUUAGGUAUCAUAGUCGAUCAACUUUAAAAGGAGACUUCAAUCAACUUCUACGAAUUGGUUUCGCGGCCUCCAAUCAGGGAAACCCAUACCCAAUUGGGAUUCCCUCAGUCGGCUGACUGGGUUGAUAGGAUGCUGCCUUCUUUGCCGCAUAUACUUUGCCAUUACUCCCGUAUUCAUCUGCAAUUUCAAAAAUACAGGAUGAAAAAUAAAUGAUCGCAGUUUCUGUCACAUUAGAAAAGAAUCUGAAGUUUAAACUUUAGUUGGUAUACUGUUUUGACUUUAUCCAAUUGUCUUCGAUUAUUGUGUGAUUUUUAUAAAACUUGGAAUGUACGCAGACACAUCGUUGUACUCCUUAAAAGAUUAUAUAUAUAUAUAUAUAUAUAUAUAUAUAUAUAUACACGAACAAAACCCACAUAAUCAGUAAAAUAAUAAUACAAAUCUACACCAAAUUAUGUAAAAAUGACAACAGAAGCACAUUACCGAACACACAGCCUUACCCACUCCAUCCCCACAGGUGGAAGAUGUAAACAUGAAUAAUUACAAAGACAAUUAAGACUUUUAAACGAUGAGUACAUAUAUACCAGUAAUCUUUUUUCUCUUCUCUUUUCUUUUUCUGAUCAUUUUUAUCAGUAAUUUAUAACUAUGAGAGAUGGAAUUUUAGAACUGCAAAAGUGGGACUUACUCGUCUCUAGGAUCUUUCUUGCUGAUGAAGGUACUAGGAUGGGUUGAGUUGAGAGAAAGAAGAGAAACAAAAGGGCAGUGAUCAGAGCCUUGUUGUUGCCAGCCAUGUUCGUUUGUUAUAGAGAGGGUUGAGAACUUAAGAUUGGUUCUAUUCUAAUAUUCGUUUCUUGAUGAUUGUAGGCAGCGAACCAGACUUUUAUAGCCGUUUCUGACCGGACCGACGGGACCGAGUUUCUCAGACUAAUUGGCAAUUUGCCGAGGUCCAGAUGGGAUGAGCUAAUGUGAUCCUAUUCGAGUGGACAACAUGAAAUUGAGUGGCUCGAAUUGGAUCAAGCUGAUGUCUACUAUGGGAUGUAAACUAGCGUCAGCAGUUCUGGGUCUAUUUGGUAGGCCUACUUUUAGGACCAGGGCUAUGGGGGACAGUGACAAAACAGUGUAAGGAUUUUUGAAUUAAUAAUUUUGCAUAUUCUUAUAAUAGACAAACAAUUAUUAUACAUGAAAUUCAUAUAAAUAAUAAUACUCCCUCUGUCGAGGGAAGGAUGAAAACGCCAGACAAUUAGUACUCUCCCAAUUCCAAAUUGUUUGUCGCAUUUUUGGAUUCCAAUUUUUUAAAAAUAAUGACUUGGCGAUAAUAUUAAUAGAUUUUUUUGUAAAAUUGCACUAAAAAAUUCAAAUUUUAAAUUUAAAUUUAAUAUAAAAUAUGGAUAAAGAGUAUAUGACAUUGAAAAAAAGAAAUCAUAAAUAACUUUGACUUUGAUAAAUUGAUAAAUAUUUUAAAAUAUUUCAAAAUAAAAAAUAUGAAACUUCCAAUGUAACACUUUCAAAAUAAGAACCCGUGGUUCUCUUGUUUGCAAGCAAUGGUAUUGUGAAUUUUUUUUUUUGAUAAUAUGGAGGUGGGUUUACGCUUCCCGUCCUUUCAUUUUUUUCUUCCCCACCAGGAUCCCAACUUUAUUAAAAGGCUAGUGGCGUGGUGUCCGCAUGAGUAAAUUUCUGAAGAGCGUGAUUCUUAAGAUAUUCCAAAAGAAUGAUCUAAAAAGUGAAAAAAAUUAUUCACUGAAUGCAACGUUUUUCAAAAAUUGCAUUGAUAGGAUGCAUUCUUUAAUUUGUCUCCAUUUUUUUUUUCUUAAAAAUACAUUCAUUGAAUAUUAAAAAAUUCAUUCCAAAAGGGAAAAUGCACUUUUCAUCCAUAAUGUUUAAGGUGUUAAUCAAUUUGGUCUCUAAAGUUUCAUUUUUUUUUAUUUUUUUUUUUGUCAACACAGGGGUGUCCGGGUCAAGACCCGAAGGCGGCCCGACUAAUCCCCUGCGCCUGGAGUACAGCGCCACCCCAACCGCACCCAGGCGUUAGGUGAGGUUCGAUCCCACGACCUUGCGAGUGGUUUUCCACCCGCAGACCGGGUGAUCUAACCCCGGGGGCGUCUCUAAAGUUUCAUGCAAUAUACAUUUCAUUCUUGUAAUUUUAUAAUAUUGACUAAUUCCAUCUUUAAAGUGUUUCACGCAAACACAUUUCAUCCUUCAUAGUUUCAUAAUUUAGCUAACUGCGGACAAUUGAUAUAUUGUCAAGCAAUUUGAAUGGAAUAUCGUCGCUGGACCACAGCAUGCCCAUUAGUAAAAUUAACAUUGGAUCAACAAAAACUUCAAAAAACUUUUCUUAAUUCACUUUUUCAUUUUAGUACAUCAAAAACCUAAGAACCUUUUAGCGACCAUUACUUUCUUCUUAAUUACAAUCGAACAAGAAGAUCCAUAGAAAACAAAGUCUUUGAAAAGAAACAAUCCCACUAUAACCAAUUAGAGAAAAAUGUCAAACAACUCCACUACAACUAAUUGGGGAAAAAUAUUAAUGCGAUAGACAGAAUGGUUUGGAUUGUCAUUUAUUUGCAAAAUUUUGUUUUGUUACAUGAUUUUCAAUCAUCUAUUUGUUUUUAUCUUAAAUACAUCAUAUUACAAUUUUUUUUAAAAAAAGGAGAUAGUCUUCUAUCCAAAAACACUUGUUGUUAUUUUUGUAAUUUAAUUAAUAACUAAAUUAAGUAUUAAUAAUACAAUUACUAACGGGACAUGUCAUGAUAUUAUAUCCAAAUUAGUUAACAAUCAUUUAAUUAUCCUCAAUUGAUAAAAAUUAUAAAAUUAUGAGGAUGAAAUGUGUUCUACGUAAACUUUAGGAAUAAAAUUAAUCAAAAUGAUAAAAUUAUGAGAGUGAAACGUGUUUUGCAUGAAACUUUAGAAACAAAAUUAAUUAACAUCUUAAACAUUGGUAUGAAAAAUGCAUUUUUUCCGUUUCAAAAACCUUUAGAAAUUUGCUCAAGUCCGCACGCCAUAGUUGACCUCGUACAUUCCCAAUAUGUGUCUUAUCAAUGGAGAGGACAAAUACUGCCCUUCUUUUUUUGUCUUUUUUGAUUAAAUAUACUACCCUUCUUAAUCCAUCUCCUUUCUCAAAUACAACCUUUCAAUCCGCAAAGAGAAUCACUGACAAAACGGCAAAUUUCCAAUUUGUGGGCCCAUGGAACUGAUCAAUCGAAACAAACUCAAUAAUAUCACCCACACCAAAAUAAAUCCAAAAAAUUUGGUCAAGUGUAGAAUUAAUUUUUGGGGAACUCAGUACCACCUGCAUCAAAAUCAAUCCAAAAUUUUUAGUCAAGUCUACAAUUGAUGAAUGGGGCUCGGAUGGUGAGGUUUUUUUUUUCUUUUUUCACCUAAAGGUGCAAGCUUUGUUUGGACUUUGGAGAGUGGUUGCCAAAGGGCUGUAGGAGAAAAUAAUGCAGGCUCGGUUCUUUCGCUCGGGGGCAAUGAUGUACACAAAAAUAUACACUAAGUGGAUCGGAGGGAUUCGCGUCAACUAUAGAGCGUGAAUAUUUCCAAAAAAAAAAAAAAAAUUUCCAACAUGGGUGUGUUUGGAUAGGAUUUAUUUGCAAAAUAAUUAUUUAAUUGUAUCAUAAAUAUAUUUUUUAACACAUUUUUUAUCUUGGCAAUCACUUUUUUAUCUUACAUAUAUCAUAUUACAAAAAGCGCUACAAUAAUUAUUUCAAAUGAUAUUUUAAAUAAUCUCCUAUCCAAAUGUCAUUUUAUAAAAAUAGAAGUGUCUCUAUCAAUACUCAUAACAUUCUUUCAAUUUUACCCUACAAAAUCGAAAUUCAAAUAAUAUGGAGACAGUGGAUAAGAGUGGAGGAAAAAGGUAAAUGAAUAUGUUUUGAAUUUUGGAAUUAAAAUAAAAAACUUUUAGAACAUGGAAAACUAAGAAACAUGAAAUUUCAAUGGGACAGAAAAAAGUACUUCAAGUUAACAUAUAUCUAGUGGCUGUUACUAUUAAUUAGAAUGUGAAAACUCUAUUCAUUCAGAAAGAAAAACUAAAUAGAGAGAGAGAAGACAGAAAGUUGAAGUAAUGUUUACGGGAAAAUAAAAACAAAAAAUAAAAGAUAAGGGCCAAUUUAGAGGCUUAGUAUGCAUGUACAUGUACAUCAAAUGGAUGUAACAUGGGAGUCGCCUUUCCAACUUCUUAGAUUCCACCCACACCUUAUCUAAGGCGGCGGAAAUUCUGACCCCAUCCUCCUCACUGUCCCAUGUUUCUUCUUCCAACUAGGCAUGGCCACAGUUCCAAAACCGUCGGUUCUGGUUCUUCAAAGAGAUAGAACCAGAAUCGCACCAUAUAAGAUGGUUCUGGUUCUGGUUUCAGAACUGUCGGUUCUGGUUCUUCAAAGAGGUAGAACCAGAACCGCAUAGUUCUGAUUUUGGUUCCUUAUGAUUCUGGUUCUGAUUUCCGAUUCCGUAUAAUUGUAUACAAUUUUAUUUAAUUCCUUAUCCUUAUCAAUUUUAAUACAAAUAUAACAAUAUGUUUAAAAUUUCAAAUAAAAUGUAAACAAAUAAAUACAAAAUAAAGAUAGGUGACACCCAUGUAUACAAGUUUGGUGAGACUCCACAGCUGUUAGACUAGAGUACCAUACAGUUAGUUGGGUACAAGUUGUUAGAGUACUAAUGAUUUUGUAAAUAUCAAACCAACGUUAUCGUUAUGUUAAACCAAUUGUAUGGUAUUUUAGGAGUUUAGAGUUUCUUACAAGUUGCACUCAAAUAUAUACACGAUCAGCGCUAAUACGAAAUAAUCUAGGCAAUUAGUAUUCCAAGUAGGAAAACAAAACAAAACAAAAAUGCUUUACAAGCAACAACUAUUUGUCUCCUGAUAAACACAUGUAACAAUUAACCUCAAACAAAUGUACACAUUAGUAUCUUAAAGAUAAGAAAAUCAAACUAGUAAAAACCUUCUAAAAUAUAUCGCAAUAGCAUAAAAUUACCUCCGAUGAGUAGAAAUUGUAAAUAGAGGAUUUGUUUCGCGAUUCAUUAAUCAAGUCCUGAAGCAUUAACUGUCUACCAAAAAAUAAAAUUAAAUUGUGAAAGUAAGAAAGUAAAUAUCAAGUAUGUGCGUAGAUAUCUUACUGUGUGUUUUGAUGAGUGCCUCAAAGCAUCAGCGAGAAAAAUUCCAAAGUCAAAAUCACUUGACCAUCUUACCCCUCUUAUAGUUAUCACAUUUUUAUAUUUUGGAAGGCUUAUAAAAGUGGUUACCAUAGAUUAAAGUCAUCAUAAUAGAGACUAUUUGAAAAUUAUUGAUGGAGGACAAAAAGGAGAGAUUAGAAAAGGGGCAGCAUUAGCAAUACUUAGAUAUGCACAAGACUGGGAACAAGAGGGUGGAGAAUUGACAAUACUUAGCUACGUACAAGACUGGAGAGGGCUAAAUUUAAUUUCAAACACGUUGUUAGGUGGCAAACACUAAUUUGCUAAGGACCCACUUGAAAAACAAUAAUGUUUUAAUGUCAAGAAGUAGAAAUUUCAAGAUCUUGGGGAUUGGUCCCCCCCCCCCCCCACCUCCCAUUUCCCACGUUGAGGAUAUGUUGAUUAAAAAAAAAAAGAAAAGAAAGAAAGACUAGCAACACAUCCUUAUUCCUUAAACAGUAGGGUAGGGAACAACAUCAUUAUCCUUAAAAAACAGGGUAGGCAAUGUAUCCUCAUCUUGACUUGGAAUUCCUCUAGACCUUUGUCAAGAAGAAUUAAGGGUAGGAAUGAUACCAUUCUUGAAGGUUGAAGGGCAGGCUUAGUCAAAAAAAAAAAAAUGUAAGACUCAGUCAUUUUUUAUGUAUGUUAACUUUAGAUCGUGUUCAAAUAAAAGACUCGCAAUUGGUUUGAAAUGGACAAAAUUGUAUAACAAUUAUUCAGUUGCAACCAUUUGCGCCCCUAUUCUUGCCAACAAGGUCCAUCAACAAAUAUAUUUGAAAACAAUCACAACUGUCGUGUCCAAAAAUCAUUUUUACUUGAUCCUUAUUUAAUAGGAAGGUAGUAAAUUCAUACCUUUCUAUUCUAAAUUCACAAUAAAAUGGUAUAAGGUGUAGAUUUAGGAUGGAGAGUUGUGGAUUUAGUCCCUCUUGACUACUUUUUUUUUUUAAACCUCGACUAAUUUUUCUUGCAAUAAUUUAUUCAUCUUUGUUUGUCAAUUAUUCAUCAGAUUAUAUUGAAACAACUAAAAUUUCUAAUAGUUGUCCAAUUAUAUCAUUACUCUUUAUCUUGAUCAAUAGAUUAAUAUAUUUAAAAACAAAUCAAAUCAAUAAUGUAUAAGCAGCAAAAAAACACCAAAAUUUGACAAUGGUCAUCGCUCCAUCCACUAUAAAAUAAAAUAAAAAAAGCUCCAAUUAAUAGCAUAAUUGUAACUUAGCAGACUUAUUGAAAAAGACACUACUUGCAUAAAAAAUUAUAAAAUAAGACACAAACUGUAGACAAGUACUAAAAUCUUGACUCUAUACAAAAAUAUUGAAUAUUUAAAUAAAAACUUUCACAAUUGAUUUUUAAUAAUUUUUUCCAGCAAAUGAGGUGUGGGAUUUAAGAAACGAGAAGGGGGCAGGGGGAUUUGAACCCAAGACCUCUAGUAAAAAAUUUUUAGACUUGGUUUAUUUGUCAUAAUAAUAGGUGAUCAGUAGAUAUCAAUAAAUUCUAUGAAUUGGUUUCACACUCUCAAAUUAAGGGCCAUCUAAACCAUUUGGGAUUCCCUCCGUUGGCCGACAGAGCUCAUAAUUUGGUGUGAAAAUAGCCAGUUUCAAAUUUCUUUGCCGCAUAUAUGAUAUACUUUUUCAUGACUCUCAAAUUCAUCCGCAAUUUUCAAAAGUAAAUGAUAAAAAAAAACACGAUCCCAGUGUCUCUCACAUUAGAAUGGAAUCUACGACACAUUAUAUAGAUGGUAGGCACGUUAUCACUUAUCACUAUCAAUUUAAAGAAUCUGACGAUGUGCUUUCAAGGUGCUUUAAUAGUAAACAAAUUGAUUAAAUUUUUAUUGUCUUAUUCAAUUCUUUAUUAUGUCAAUUCACCCUUUAAAAUUUUAAAGCUGCUCUAUUUUAGCCAUUCUAUUAAUUUGCCUUAAUUACCUCAAAGAGAUUAACUAAGGCAAAUCAAUAGUGAUAGUGCACUUCUUCUUCUUCUUCUCAUUUUCUAUUUUUUUUUUUUUGGAAAAUGGUGCACUUCAAUCUGAGAUAGCUAUCAAAAAGAAAAUAAUAACAAAAUAUCUUCAAUAAGCAAAUUAAAAAUUUUGAAUAAUUUUGUCGAGUCUAAUACACUUUAGCCUUUGAUCCAUUAAUUUAAUAAACUGAAUGUCAACCAUGGGAACUUUAUCUAUUGCCCAAUUCAUUCAAUGUGAAAGGAAAAACUUUCCGAUGGAAGUUAAAUAGCUCAAACCACAAAUGCUUAGAACUAAUACAUCUAAAGUUUCUACAUGGAAAAUAUGCAUAUGCGACUAGACUCAUUUAAACUUUGGCCUGCCCCAUCCAUAUGGAUCGGAGAUCUGGGAAGCUAGGGUUUUGACUUCAAUUGUUUUCGAUUACUGCAAUUCUUAUAAAACUUGGUAUAUAUGUGCACAUAUGGUUGCAUUUCUUAUAAUAUUUAUAUACAUGAGCAAAAUUCACACAUAUAAUAAAGUAAUAUAAUUAUGCAUCAAAUCAUGUAAAAAAGACGAUAAAUAUUCACUACCGUACACAAACACAACCAUAUCUACUCCAUUCUCAUGGGUGGCAGUUGUAGACAUGAAAUAAUAUUAUUUCAAUAUGCCAUCACAAAGAUAAAGACUCGUAGGUGAUGAGUACAUAUAUGCCAGUAAUCUUUUUUCUUUUUUUUUCAAUCUUUUUUUUUUUUUUUGGCAAGAAGUUCAUCAAUAACACCUAAAUUAACCCCACAAGAUACAACCCAAAGGCUAACUUUUGGUUGCACCCAUGAAACUUAAGUAUUACUCACGCACACACUCAACAAAUGAUGUGAGACAUAGGAGAGGGAACAGGGGAGUCUCUACUAAGCACUAACUAGCACUCACUCACUCUUGUUUUUUUUUCAAUCAUGAAUAUCAAUAAUCCAUAAAAAUGAAAGAUGGACUUUUAGAACUAUGAAGUAGGACGGACUUGUUCCAAGGAUCUUUCUCGCUGUUGAAGGUGCGAUUGAUUGAGUUGACAUCAAGAAGAGAAAGAAGAAAUACAGCGAUCAGAGCCUUGCUAUUGCUAGCCAUUGUCUUUUUUAUAGAGAGGGUCAUAAGAACUUAAUAAUGUUUCUAUUUUAUUAUCCUUUCUUGAUUUUUUUUCAUAAAAAAAUUGGGUGGAUACAAUUUUGAUUACCAUAGUGGGUCAGAACAUAUUCUCGGGACCAUAGGUUAGUUAUAGGAAUUCUUAUAGAUUGUUCAUCAAUGUAGUCCUCGCAUCGGCAGUUGAAUCCGAAUAUAUGCCCUUUUGUAAAGUGAUCUAUUUUUAUCAAUUGAACCAACUUGUAUUUGACUAAUGAUAGUUGCAUGGAAUGAAUCAUACUUUUAUAGUCCGGACCGAGUUUCUCAACAAUUACAUUGACAAUUUCUGUCUUAGGUUAGCAGUCCAAAUGGGAUGAGCUAACAUGGUCCAAUUAGAGGGGUCAACUUGAAACUUCAUUUAAAUUGAGUGGCUCGAAUUGGGUCAUGCUGACAUCUAAUAUGGGACGUGAAGGGUAUAGAGCCUUUCUAGUUCCAAUUCUCUCCAAUUGUGUAAACUAAUAAAAUUUUGAUAUAAAUAUAAUUUAUAAUUGAAUUGGUGCAAAACUCACGAUUAUACCAAAAAUCUAUUAGUGUACACCAAAAUUGUGCCAGUUUAUUCAAUUAGACGGCAUUCGAUCGUACCUCAACUGGAAAAGCCCCGAAUUCGAACGUAAACUACUCCCAGUAAUUGCAAUCGCUGAUUGGACAAGAACCUUAAGACCCAUAAUCAGAAUAAUUCUAUACGAAAUUCAUGCACAGAGAAAUAAAGGCAUCAUCGAAUUGGAGACUCGUGUCUUUUGUUAAGGAGGUUGAGGGAAGGACGAGGAUAUUAACGGAUGAAAACGUAGGAUAAUUAGUAUUUGUUUGCCUUGCCACUGCUUGUUGGGUAAGAACUGGUGUUUCUUUUGUUUGGAAGCUCUGGUAUUGUAAUUUUUUGAUAACGUGAAGGUGGGUUUACACUCCCUGUCCUUCUUUUCUAACCCUGUCCUCCCUCUUACCCCUUUCGAGAACCCUAACUUUUUGAAAAGAUUAGUGGUAUGGUUUCCACACUAGUAAAUUCUCAAAGAGUGUGAGUUUAUAAAAUUUCCCAAAUGAUGAUGGUUCUUUAAUUUGUCUAAAUUUUGGAAAUUUUCUCGUAUCCACACUCCAUAUUUGACUUCGUGUAUUCCAAGCAUAUGUCUUAUCAAUCGAGAGGACAAAUAUGAUCAUUCUUAAUCCAUCUUCCUUCUCCUAUACAACAUUUCAAUCCACAAAGAGAUUCGUGGACCAUGGAACUCAAUAUCAGUCACAAAAUAGCAAAUUUCCAAUUUGUGGACCAUGGAACUCAAUAUCACAAAUACAACCCUUCUUAAUCCAUAUUCCUUAUCAAAAGUUACGUUCAUAAAAUAUGUACUUCUUUACUUUGUCUAAGUUUUGAAAAUUUUCUUGUGUCCGCACUCCAUAUUUGACAUUGUACAUUCCAAGCAUGCGUCUUAUCAAUGAAGAGGACAAAUACGACUAUUCUUAAUCUAUCUUCCUUCUCCUGACAACCUUUCAAUCCACAAAGAUAUUCACUCAUAGAAUAGUGAAUUUCUAAUUUUAUGGACUCGUGGAACUCAAUAUCAACUGUGCCAAAAUCAAUCCUAAAACUUUAGUCAAGUCUACCAAAUGAAACUUGGAUGGUGAGGGUUUUGGAUCAACCAAAAGGUGGUGAGCUUUUGUUUGGAGAGUGGUUGCCAAAGGCCUAUAGGGGAAAAACGAUGUAGGCUUGGUUCUUUCAUUAUGGCAAUGGUGUUAACAAAAAUAUGAACCAAGUGGAUUGAAGGGCUUUGCAUCAAAUAUGGAACAUGAAUAUAAUCUCCUUUUAUAAAAAUAGAAGUGUCUAAAGCAAUACUCAUAGCAUUCUUCCAAUUUUAUCCUAUAAAAUUGAAAUUCACAUGAUAUGGAGACAAUGAAUAAGAGCGGGGGAAAAAGUAGAUGAAUACGUUUUGACCUUUGGAGAUAAAAAAUUUUUACAACAUGUAAAACUAAGAAACAUAAAAUUUCAAUGGGACAGAAAAAAGUACUUCAAAUUAACAUAUAUCUAGUGGGAGUUACUAUUAAUUACAAUGAGAAAACUCUAUUCAUUUAAAAAGAAAAAAACACAGAGAGAGAAGAGAAAUUUAAAUUAACGUUUAGGUGAAAACAAAUAAAAGAAUAAGAUAAGAGGCAAUUUAGAGGCUUGAUAUGCAUAAUGUCACUGUGGUUAAGACAGCUCCAGUCAGGCUAAAUAAAAAAAGGCUUGGUAAGCCUAAUGUUUAAUUGGGCUAAAUAGAGAUUAGACUUGAAUAUUAGGCCCAAAUUAAAAACGAGUUGGGUUUUGACUUUGCUAGAUUUAGGCUCAAUUAAUGCCCACUGGUGUAUAAAUAUUAUUAUAUACAUAAAAAUAUAUAAUAUAAUUAUAUAUUAUAGCAUCGAAUAUUAAUAACUUAUAUAUAAAUUUAUAGUAAUUCAUAAUUAUUAAACAUAUAUUAUGUAUAGAUAUGUAUUUAAUUAUGAGCUCGAAUUGAACCCAAAACUCAUCUAGAAUUGUGAACUGAGUUUGAGCCUUUUAAUUGGACUUGAGCUUGAAAGUCCAAAAAUCUAAAAGCUCUCUUAGUUCAUAAGUCAAGUUUGAACUUGUAAAAAUUCAAUUCAGAGGUCUCGAUGAACAGUCCUACAUAUACAUAUAUACAUAUAUAUAUAUAUAUACACACACACACACACACACACACACAUACACAUUAAGGCUUUUCCAGCUUGUCUCUUAUGGUGAUGGCUAGGGGUGGCAAUUUUCGACACGACUUGAAAACACGACACGAACCUAACACGAAAUUAAUGGGUUUGGGUUGAGGUUUCGGGAAUUCGGGUCAGAAUCGGGUUGGACCCGAUGAACCCGAAAAGAAAACAGGUCGAUUUCGGGUCAACCCGUGGUGACCUGAUAUGACCCGAUAUGACCCGUUUACGAAUUAAAAAUAAUUUAAUAAACAUAAAAAUAAUUUUAUCUAACUAAACUAAGUUAUUCUUUUUUUCAAAGGCAUUAAUUACUUAAUCCUAAAUGAAUUUAUUUAAUUUGUGUGAAGUUGAAAUUAUUAUAUUUGGACAAAUAAUAUAUUAUAUUAUUUUUUACUUUUAUAUUGUUUUAAUUUAUUUUGUAUUUUGUUUGGGAUAAAACACUUUUACGGUGUUUAAUUUAUUUUAGAUUUGGUUUGGAAUUAUUUAUUUAAAUUUUUAUUACUUGAUUAUGUAAUUAGUUUUGUGAGAAAUUGAUUUUAUUAGAAAUUACAGUGAUAAAUUAAUAAAUUAAAAUUAAGUUUCGGGUCAUUUCGGGUCGACCCGCCAACCCGUCAACCUGAAAUUUUCGGGUUCGGGUCAACAGAUUUUCUGGCGGGUUGACCCGACCCUGACCCGCCAACCUGAUUUGGACCCGAAUUGCCACCCCUAGUGGUGGCGGCGGCGCCUGCCCCGGCAAAAGGGGGGGUUUAAGGCGAUCUCACCCUUUACUCCCUGUUCCCCCAUGUUUAACUUGCAACCCCAUUGCCAUUCCGAUGGAGAAUAGUGCUCGCUAACAAGUCUGGGCGAUCAAGUACCUUCUUCAAUGGGGUAUGAUGCUGGGUGACAGGUGCCGAACCUAUGCAAUAAUAAUAAAUAAAACCAAACUACCACCAAAAGUAGCCAAUAAUCAAUUUUAGGUACUGGAGCAGGAACUCUAGGUGUGCAAUGGGUUACUUGAUUCACCCUGUUCCCGAAGAGUUUGUUUAAUCCGAUAUACCCGAAUUAAUUAUCUGACUAAAUUCACUAACUAGUAGACAGUGGCAAGCAGGGUCGUCUCCUGAGGGACUGGGGAGAAAUUUAUUUCCUUUCGAAUCAAAACAAAUAGGGGGUUUUAGAAUUAAAAGCUAACUAAAUAAUUUAACUGCAGAAAAUAAUUAAUUAAAAGAAAUAAUUAGGAGAGCUCUAGCCAAGGGUACACUUCAAAAAUGGUUCAUGCACUGAUCAUCGACUCACAGAUAAUUCCAACAUUUAUUAAUAGAUUAGUUAUAGUUGUCAUGCACGCGAUAAACAACCAACCUUUUUUUAAUUUCUCGAUAAUUAAGGUACGACCGUUAACUAUUUCUCUAACCCAGAAACAACCCUAGGUACGACCGUAUGAUUUAAUUUCUGGUUUGCAUUAAGAUUUAGAAAAGUUCAAUCCUAACUAACAAACACGCUACGAGGGUUUGUUUAAAUUAGAUUGUAUGUUUCCCUGACAUAAACCCAAUUACGCCAGUUGCUACUAGGACGAAAGUAAUCGAACAAUUACGGAUUCAACUACUCCCAAUUAGCAAGUAGCCUACGUGAAUAAUUAAAUAUUGCGCAUCUACUCAAUCAUACACGAUGGCUAUAACAACAAUUAAAAGCAGAAAACACACAAAUACCAAUGAAUGAAGGAAACAAUUAAAAUAAUUUAGAUCUCACAGUUAUUGUUGAACCAAGUCUUCAGUUGUCCCCUUGACUAAAAGUAGAUGAUUAGUUCUCCAUUAAUGGAGAACAUGCCAUGCGAAAAAGCUAUCUGAAGCUUACAAAAUUGUUCCUGGCCAAAUCGGCCAACCCCCUCAAAGCAAAACAAUUUUUGCUCUUUUUAUUUUGUCUCCCGUGAAAAGAAGAUCACCCGAAUUUGUUGCUGGCUCCGGUCUUCAUCCCGCGAGAUCCGGCAUUUUCUCCCUCAAAUCCAUGCAAAGGAAAUCAAAAGCCAUUCCUCUUUUGGCUCUAGCCUCUCAAAAGAGAGCUAAUCUCCCAAAUCAUAAUCCCUAUUUUUUCUCCUAAUUGUUUGGUAAUCUAAUCCCAAUCCAACUCCUAAAAAGAUUCCUAUUACAAAUCAAUUUCCUCCAACUUUUCUUUUCUUUGAGAAUGAUCCCCGAAAUUAGGAGAGUCCUGGCAGCUAACAAAUUAGGGAGUUGACUUGGAUUGGGAGACUAUCCAAUAUCAAUCCUGACUUUCUGGCCUUGAAUGUAGGUCCCGAAUGUACCAUCAUCAAAUUAAUUGAAAAAUUAUCACUUUUAAUCACGUUUUGCUCAUUUUCCUACAAUUGGCAUCAUUAACCAAAUAUAAGUAGAAUCUAUCAAUUAAAAUAAUAUUUGGCUAAAAUCAAGGAAAAAAUAAUUAUUAAUUUAGCAACAAAUUAUGACCUAUCAAUUUCCCCCACACCUAAACCAUGCUUGUCCUCAAGCAUGAGAACACAAAUCAAGUAAUCAAAUUCAAACAAUGGUAUUAUUCAAAUCUUCUAUUGCCAAGAUGUAAUUAAAACACAUGUCAAGUAUUAGUGGCAAUUUUCAAGAAAUAUCACUCGAGUUAGCUUUCAAGAUUAAGGACUCUUUUUAUUUAUGACUAACUAAUCUAAGAAUAUAAAAUAUUCAACCAGCAUCCAUAAGCAAAUGGUUCGACUAUUAAGCAAACUCUCAACAUUAAAAUUCAUGGAUCAGCGGGCUAAUAAUUCAUUCACAUUUUUCACUAUUAGCACUUUUUUUUUCUAAAAUAUCCCCACACUUGAUUGAUUGAUUUUUUUUUUUCAGGGGGAAUGCUUAGUUUUUAGCCAUUCAAGCAUUUUGACGCGAACCCCGAUAUUGGCCAAAUGAAAGACCCUGGUUACUCAGCCAUCAUCGCUUAAAAACCAUAUACUCAUAGCUAUCGUCACUUUUUGACGCGAAAAUAGACACUUGUGGUGAAGACCUCCGAUUACUAGGCAACGAUACUAGCGGAGUAUAAGGGGAUUUUUUAUUAAUUUUUUUCCAGCAAAUGAGGUGUGGGAUUUAAGAAACGGGGAAGGGUAGGGGGAUUUAAACCCAAGACCUCUAAUAAAAGAAUUUUUAGACUUAGUUUAUUUGUCAUAAUAAUAGUUGAUCAGGAGAUAUCAAUAACUUCUGUGAAUUGGUUUCACACUCUCAAAUUAAGGGCCAUCUAAACCAUUUGGUAUUCCCUCCGUUGGCCGUGAGAGCUCAUAAUUUGAUGUGAAAUAGCCAGUUUCAAAAUUCUUUGCCGCAUAUAUGAUAUACUUUUUCAUGACUCUCAAAUUCAUCUGCACUUUUCAAAGUAAAUGAUAAAAAAAAACACGAUCCCAGUGUCUGUCACAUUAGAAUGGAAUCUACGAAUAUUUUUUUGAUAGUAAUGAUUUUUUUUUUGUUCUCUCACCAAGGUGUAUGAAUUUCUUGAAGAUAUUUUUUUCUUUUUAAAUUUCUUGAAGAUCAAUAAAGUAAUUAUAUUUAAAACUUGCAUUAAAAAGAAAACAACAUGCAUCUUUAAACUUCCAAUAUUUUGUUUGCAUAAUAAAGAAAUUCUAUAGAGCGUAAACAAUUCUUUCUGACGUUAUCAAACAACAUAAAAUGAUCAAAGUUGUACAACAGAAAACCACUCUUCACAAAAAAAAAAAAAAUUCCGAACAAUGUUGUGUUUCAUGUUUAUAUGUAUGUUGUGUUGGACAUUCUUGAACUUUUUGGCGGAGAUUUUCGUUGCAAUAUAAAAUUUUUGGAAUCCAUCAGCAUAAAUAGUCCUAAACUUUCAGAUCUGAAUUUAAUCAAAUUGUCAUUCUAAUCAAAUGCUUCUCCUAAUUCUGGCCUAUUAACUAAAAAGAAAAGAAAAGAGUAUAUUUACCUGAAGCCAAAAAAACUAAAAAAAAUAAAUAGAAAAAUUUAUAAGUUUUGAUACCGAUGCCAACUAAAUUAUAGUUGGACAAAUACUACGACCAACUAAAUCUGCCUGGAAUUGAUAAAAAUUUAGCUUUAGCCAAUUUAUUCUGACUUUCUUGAAUUUCACGAAUUAUUUAGUAUAAUAUGUCUCUAGAAAAUAUAGAACUACAACAUAAAUAGCAUAAUUUGUCUUGAAAAUACUAUCGAAUUUUCUAGCAUAAUCUGUCACCAGAAAUUAUAGAACUACAACAUAAAUGGCUUAGCCUAUGGACUGAUCAUGGUUUAGAUAUUUCUCCAAAAGCUACUCGAAUCACCUUUUUUUGUGGAUUCAGUAGGAAAAAUUAGUCAUGGAAGAUAAAAACGGUCAAUCUCAUUGAAACAUUUCAUUGCUUAAAAUUUCUUAGAUAUCGAAAUAGACAUUUUAUGCGUGUUUAAAUCUCAAAAAAAAGUAAAACCAAAGAAGAAGGGAAAGGAGAAAGGGACAGAACAAGAAGACCUCUGAAAUUUUACAUGUUUUGUUGGGAUAAUUAAAUACUAGCAUCAUUUGUUAUACAAAGUAACAAGCCAACUUGAGUCGAACUUGAAAGUCUAUUUGAAUCUCGAUAGGUUAGUCAACUUAUAUCUAUUCAAAAAUCACCUAUUAGGUUCUAUUCCUCAUGCAAUCGAAAACUUAGUCUCACUUCAGUUUCCUGUCUUGUCCCAAAAUUAUCUUAUUGGUUCAAUCCCUAAGUCGCUAGGCAAUUUUAACCAAUUUGAUGCAUUUAUAUCUCUUUGACAACAACAUUCUGGUUCAAUUCCAAAGAGUUUGGGUGAUCAAACAUUCCUUUUAGAUAUGAAUUAGGUAAGAACCAACUUAAUAUGGUUCCAACCCUAUUUUAAUUGAUAACUUGAGUAACUUAGAAAAACAGUAGUAUUUCCUAAAAAGCCAUAUUUUGAUACCAUCCCACAAGAGCUUGGAAACCUAAAAUAGUUGGUAGUCUUGGAAUUGGAUUAAAAUCAAUUAUCUAGUCCAUUGCCAGAACUACUUUGUCAAAAUGGCACACUUCAAAACAUUUCUGUGUCUAAGAACAUGCUUACAGGUCCAAUACCUAGAAGUUUGCGAAACUGCUCAAGCUCAUGCUCAGCACUCAUUUUUGGUCUAUUAGUACCUUGAAAGCGGAAUCUUGUCCAAAAUUUUGAGCGUCAAAGAAGAAGCCAAGGAACAAGACUGGCAAAAGAAGUUGAAAACCAUCCAAGGCAUCGCUCUUGCUUUAUUUUACAUGCAUCAUGAUUGUUCACCCGCAAUUGUACAUCGGGUCACGUUUAAGAUUUUGACACUCCUUAGUUUUAGUCUUUGAUCUUCUGUCAUUAUCCCCUUAAAGACUUUUCUUCCAACUAAUGUCUUUUUAGCGUUCACUAAUUGAUUACUACUUUUUAAAGAACUUAAAAAGUCUAAGUAAACUCCUCGAUUAGAUGAUAUAUGUAUCAGCGCUCUUAAAUGAAAAAAGACUUUUUUAUUGUAUCCCAAAAGACUUUCUUUAGUCAAGAUGAUACAUCAACGCUCUAAAAAAUAUACUCAUUUCAUCAACCUCAACAAUUGCUUUCAAAAAGCAGUAAUCAAUUAGUGGAAUUACUUCAAGGAAAAGACGCAGGUAGCCAUCAUCGCUCUUAAAGAAUUUCUUUUUGUCAACAAUAGCUUUCAAAAUGUAGUAAUCAAUUAGUGGAAUUUCAAAAAGUUGGAAUGAGUAUUCUAGGGGGAAAGGAUUUUUCUACUUAAAUGAGCCAUAUCAAACAUUAGAAUGGAAUGAACAAAUUGAAAAGAUCUUUUCUAUUCAAGCCAUUCUUGCAUGCAAAAUCAGGAAUUAGUGUUUACUGAUUGAUUAUUACUUUUUGAAAGACUUAUAAGUGACAGGUUGUCGAAGCCUGCACAAUAAUAAAAUUAAACCUAAUUGCCAGUUAAAAUGACCAAAACCCAACUCCAAGUACUGGAGUAGGGACUCUAGGUGUGCAAUGGGUUACUUGAUUCACCCUGUUCUCCAAGAGUUUGCUUGAUCCGAUAUACCCGAAUGAGAUGGUUAUUUUUUCACAAAUAAUUAUGAAUUAGUAGACAGGGCAAGUAGGGUCGUAUCCUCAGGGACUGGGUAUAUUUGUCUCUUAAGAAAUUCAAAGUAACGCAGGGGUUGAUUUUGUAGGAACGACGACAAUCAAAUAAAUUCGAAUAAGAAAACAAAAAUAAAUAACUAACUAGAAAUUAAACAAAAAUAAAUAACUAACUAGAAAUUAAACAACAAUUCACUGAACUUAGAGUAACAAUAAUUAGAGGCCUAAAUCAAUUAAAACAAGAAAACAAUUAAAAAUAAAAUAAAGUAGGCAACUAAAAGUCAAAUGGCAAUUCACUAAAAUCAAGGUAAUAUUAAUUAAAGAUCUAGCCAAGAAAUAACUUCAGCAAUGGUUCACCUAAUUGAUCAUCGAAGCAAGGGCAAUUCCAAUUAUUCAUCAAUAAAUAGGUUAUAACUACCAAACAAGCGAUGGAAGUCAACCCCUCCUUACUGUGUCGGUGAUUAAGGUACGCCCGUUAAUCACUGCUCUCAUUAGGAAGUAAUCCUAGGUACGCCCGUAAGAUUUAAUUCCCCAAUUGCCUUACGUGUUAGAGGAGCCCUAUUCUAACCAAAUAACGCACUACCAAGGUUAUUUCAGAUUAGCUCGCGUAUCCCCCUGACACGAAUCUAAUCGUGCCAGUUGUCACUAUUUCAGGACAAUUAAACAAUUAUGGAUUUAAUGCCCUAAUUGACAAUAGGUUACCAAGUCAAUUAAUUAUCCAGAUCCAAGACAAUCAAUUAAUUAAAUAACCAUAAGCAUAGCAAUCAAGGAAUAUGCGAAUACCAAUAAAUAAAAGGAAAAGAUUAAAUUAAAUCGAUCUCACAAUUUUUAGGCGAACCAGAGCCUUCAUUGCUCCUUGACUAGAGUGGUGAAAUUAGUUCAUGUUCGAUGAACAAAGCCCAUAUAAAAUUGAAGAGGAAGCCGCGACCAUCAAUUGGGAAAUGCACAAAUUCAAUUCAGUCAAAGGAAUAAAGCAAAGCAAAGUUGCAGAGUGUGAUACAAUGUCUUCCUAAUUGCUCCUGCCAUCCGCAGGAGAACUCCACUAGCAAGAAACUAAGGAAAAGUCAACAAUUCAAAAAGCUAAACUAGUGCUCCUCUGCCAUGCGUAAGAGAAGCCAAAAGAAAUCCUUAUCAAAAGUCUAAAAGGAAAAAUCUCAUGCUAAGCUAAAAAAAACUCCCUUUUUCUUCUGCACAAUUUUCCUCUAUAAAGUCCUGCUCCUUCCGGCGGCUCCUAAGGAAUAGAACCCUUCGGCCAAAAUGACCGAAAAGGGCUUGUGUCCCUUUUUUCAAAAAUGCCCUUGUAAGCCUUCUAUUUAAUUUCUUUCCCGAUGACUGUCAAAGUAGCAUUGAUUGUGGUAUUUUUGAUCUACUCCCUGAAAUAAAUACAAAUUAUGAAAAGUGAGUAGAAUCCAGCAAUUAAUCCACAUCAAGUCAGGUAAUAGGGGAAAUUAAUAAUAAAAUAAAUGAUAAAAUUGCGAGCUAUCAAUUCCUCCCACACCUAAAUCAUGCUUGCUCUCAAGCAUGAUAACAACAAACAAACACCAAUAGCUGACAAUGGCUAUUGCUCCAUCUAUCAUAUUGCCAAGACACCAAGAAAAACAUAGAUCAAGUCUCAGUGAUCAAGAUCCAAGAAACAUCACUUCGAUUAGUUUCUAAACUACAAACUCUUCCAAUUUCAGGUUAACUAAUCUAAAAAAAGGGAAUGACGCACAACAUUUAUCAGCAAAUAACCCAACUAUUAACCAAAAUCUCAACACUAAAUUCAUAAGUCGGCAAGCUGAUUUUGAUCCCACACUAAUACAACCUUCACUUUAUUUUUCAUGUUUUCUAUUUUUUUUUCCAUUUUUUUUCUUUUUUUUCUCUUUUUUUUUCAAUAAUAACAAAAGACUUAGUCUUUAACCAUUGGAGCCUUUUGACGCGAACUCUGACAUUUGUCAGAUGAAAGAGCCCGGUUACUCAGCUUCUAUCGCCACGUGACCACGUACUCAUAGCAAUUACUAUUUUUUGACGCGAGAAUCGACACUUUUGGUGAAAACUCCCGGUUACUCGGUAGUAAAGACUAGCGGAGUACAGUCAACUCUUAUUCUCAGCUAAAUAACACAAAAACUCAAUAUAACACAAAAAUCAAAAGAAAAUUGCAUCAGCUAGCCUCAUUUUCAAACAUGGAGAACUAAGGUUAAUAACCGGACCAACUCACAUGAAAAUGCCAACAAUCAUCCCCAAUGCCUAGAAAAGUUAACCAAAAAUUAUAAGAGUAAAACAAUCACCGAUAUUCACCAAAGAGAUGUUUUUGGACUCAACCACAUUAACUUGAUACACUUUUAUUAUUAAAAUUUGGCAAUAGUAGAAAUAGAGGCAACAAUCCAACAUCAAACUUGGCAGUCAUAGGAGAGCUAGACAGAUAAAUGACAAAAAGUAAGCGAAAACUAGACAAAUAACAAACGAAAAAUAAAAGAAAAAUAUCUGAAAACUAAGAACUAGAAAAACUACUACCAUAACUGCUCCCCCCCACACCUAAAUCCUACAUUGUUCUCAAUGGAGGUAAUAAAGUAAUUAAAGUGAAGAGAACAAUGAAACUUCCCUCUCGAGUGGCGAAGGGGUAGGCGGGAACAGUGGAGGAAAACUGAUGUGGCGGAAGUAUGCACCCAAGUGCUGAAACAUCUUAACUCAAUUCAACCAGCAAAUGCAAAACUCUGUCCACCCAAAAUCUCAACAAAGCCUCCAAGUGGACAGUUAAUUUCUCAACUCAAAAGCGGCAAUUUCAGCAAUAGCAGUAUAGAAAUUGGAGAAUAACCACACAAUCACAAUCAGGUAGCCAACCAAUUGGAAAUAACAAAUGCUAGUCAAAAUACCCCAACCAGUACCACUGGUGCAAAACGUAGUCCAAAAUCAAUGAAAUAGCUAUAACAGAGCAGAGUAAAUGCUACCUAUGGCCCCCAAUGCAUCAGCCAACAGUAGAAGCUAUACAAUGCCACACUCACAACAGAUGCUCCAACAAAGGUAGCAAAUGAACUCAAUUGAAACGACUACGGAAGGCAAGUGAAAUCAAGAGACUAAACACACCCAGUAAACCAAAAUUAGUUAACCAACUUCAAGAAGCGAUACAGGGGUCACAAUGCCCUUCCGAUCAACAAACAACCCAGAAAUUGCGCCACUAUAGUCCCAACAAUUUAAGCAAUUACAGUAUUUCAGCUCACCCAAAAACUCAACAAUUCCACCCAAAAGUUGAACAAAUGCCUCCCCGCACUGUGCCAGAGCACAACUAAUUUCAACGAAUAUGCUAAUCAAAGAGGCUAAGAGCAGGGCAACUGUCAAACACCCAACAACCCAAAACAAUUGUACUCAACUCCGUGCUCUCAAUUAGGGAGGCAACAACAGAGAAUGAACAAAUCCGGAGGAAAACAACUCAGCCGCUAAACGAUACCAAUCAACACCAAAAAUUUUGGGAUCGAGGUUGAAAUACCUCUACUGGCCGCCAAACAAAGAACUGGAGCGGUAGUAGCCGACGCGGCGUGGCCUGGCGGUGAGAGGCGGCGUGAGAGGGUGGAGUCGCGGGUGGAGAGCUUAGGCUGCCGAGCUGUGGCAACUGACUGCGGACGGCGGAGCUAAUGCUGGAGGGCGGUGGAAGAAAACCGUGCAGUGGCGGCGGAUCGAGCUUCAGCGGCGAACAAACUGGAAUGGAGGCGGCGCGGGUUGCUCGGCCGUGGAGGUCGCGAGAAGAGAGAGAGAUGGGAGGGGCGAGACUUGGUGGUGGCGCACGCAAAGGGCGGUAGCUCGCAGCCGUUGUUGGCGGCGUAGGCGGCGCGCACGUGGUUGGAGAGCGACGGCGGCGCACGAGCUCUCGGUCGACAGAGAUAAUGGAAACAAUGGAGAAGAAAGAAAGAAAAGAGAAAGAAAGAAAAAGAGGAAAGAAAGAAAAAGAAAGAAAAGAAAAGAAGGAAAAAGAAAGAAAGAAAGAAAGAUUUUUUUUUUUUUUUUGGAAAUUUCAGCUACGGUGAAAAGGAAAAUUUUUUUUUUGUUUUUUUUGUUGUUGUUGUUUUUUUUAUAUAUAUAUAUAUAUCUUAUUUUUAUAUUUUUUUAUUUUUGUGUUAAUUAAAUUUUUUUUUUUAUUUUCUUCUUCUUUUUUUUUUUAUUAUUAUUUCAAAACUCAACUUUGAAAUUCAAAAUUAGAGACUAACAGGGAAUCACUAACCGGUUUUGAGUUUUUCUUUUGAAUGCUUGCCUUUCCCGCGAACAUGACGUGGGCACGUGACGAAGGCACGGAAUGAGGAGCUCUCCAGGUUACUUGACGCGGGCACGUCAAGAGGGCAAGAGUCUCUUCUGACGAUUCUAACCGUGAGCUCUCCAUACGUCAUGACGCUGGCGCGUCAUGAGGGCAAGAACCCCUUCUGACGAUUCUGACUGUGAACUCUCCAUACGUCAUUACGCGGGCGCGUCAUGACAGAAGGACACCUACAAAUCAUAAAAAACGAAAAUUGAAACCCGAAAUCAGUCAAAUUCAAGGAAAACAUAUUUAAACUAUCACACGAAAUUAAAACAAACAAUUAAAAGAAAUAAUUGGGUUGCCUCCCAAUGAGCGCCUUUCUUUAACGUCUUUGGCUAGACAUUGAACACCACUCUUCAAUCUGGGUGUAACUCAAUUUUCCUGGAAAUCGGUGGCCCUCCUCCAGGAUCCAAAUUGCCUUUGAGGGCAGCCUCCUUUCUUAAUUUUCUACUCCUUUUCACCUCAUACAGUGCUUUCAUCCCCUUAUACUUGUUCUCAGUAAAUUUGAAUUUAUCCCUACAAGCAAACUCAGAAAAUUCUUGCACAGAGGGAUUAAUAGCAUGAAUAGCAAACACAGGGUGAGAGUUAACAGGAUGUUCCAUUGUAUCGAAAAUAUUAAAGUGGACUAGUUCUCCAUCAAAUUUCAUGGACAAUGUACCCUUAUUAACGUCAAUUUUUGUCUGUGCUGUGCUUAAAAAGGGUCUACCUAGUAGCAAAGGUGAGGGGUCAGGGGAAUGAUCAUCAUCCAUGUCAAGUACAUAAAAGUCAGCCGGGAAUAUCAAUUCAUUAACUUUAACCAGCACAUCUUCUAUCAACCCAUCAGAGUAUGCAUUUGUUCGGUCAGCUAAUUGAAUUAUUAUCUCGGUUUCUUUUAAUGGACCGAGGUUCAGAGAAGCAUACAUAGAUUUAGGCAUUAUGUUGAUCGAUGCUCCUAAGUCCAGCAGGGUAUUCCUAAUUAGAGUAUUACCUAUCUUACAUGGGACAGUAAACCUAUCUGGAUCCCCGCACUUUGGUGGAAGCUUCCUUUGGAGAACUGCUGACACAUUCUCCCCAACAAUGAUUCUUUCGUCUCCCCUCAGCCGCUUUCGGUUGACACAUAGGUCCCUAAAAAAUUUUGCAUACUUCGGCAAUUGUUUGUUUGAUAGCAUCUAAUAAGGGGAUAUUGAUCUCUACCUUGCGGAACACCUCUAGGAUCUCCUUCUCUUUGUCCUAUUUCUUCGGUUUCUCCAACCUGCAAGGAAAUGGAGAAAUUAAUCCACAUCAAGUCAGGUAAUAGAGGAAAUUAAUAAUAAAAUAUAUGAUAAAAUUGCGCGCUAUCAUUAAGUUUAAAUAAACUCCUCGAUUAAAAUGUCAAGAUGAUAUAUAUCAGUUCUCUAAAAUGAAAAUGACUUUUUUACUCUAUUCCAAAAGACUUUUUAAGUCAAGAUGAUACAUCAACGCUCUCAAAAAUAAACUCAUUUCAUCAACCUCAACAAUUGCUUUCAAAAAGUAGUAAUCAAUUAGUGGAAUUACUUCAAGGAAAAGACUCGGGUAGCCAUUAUCGCUCUCAAACGAAUUUCUUUUUGUCAACAAUAGCUUCCAAAUGUAGUAGUCAAUUAGUGGAAUUUAAAAAAUUUGGAAUGAGUAUCCUAGAGAUAAAGGGCUUUCUCGCUUAAAUGAGCCAUAUUAAACACAAAUGAAAUAGACAAAUUGGAAAGGCCUUUCCUAUUCAAACCAUUCAAUAGGGAGAACUAGUCAUAGAAGACAAAAAAUGGUCAAUUUCAUUGAACAUUUCAAUAUUGCAUUAAAUUUCUUGGCCCAUUGGAAUAGACAUCUUAUAUGUUUCACUCUCAAAAAAAUAAAAAUAAAAAUGAAGAAGAAAGGGAAGGAGAGAGGGACCGAAGCAGAAUACUUCCGAACUGAUGGGAGUCAACCACAACGUAUUGAUGGGAGUUCAGGAAGGGGAAAGGAGAGAAGAAGGGGAAGUUUUGGGCAAAACUUAGAUAUCUACAAGACUAGGGAGGCCAAGUUUAAUUUAAACAUUUGCAGCCCCUUAACUAACAGGAAAAGAGAAGGGUAUAUUAACCUGAAGCAGACAAUACUGGAAUUCAAACGGACAGAAAUAGAAGUUUAGAUUCCGAUAUCAAUUAAAUUCUGUUUUGAGCAAGUACUACGGCCAACUAAUUCUGCCUAUAGAAUUGGUAGAAAAUUACUCCUUUGGAUUUCUACUUUCCUUUUUUAACAUAUUGAGUUCAUCCGACUGUGUUUUAAGUGUACAAAAUUUUUGGGAGUAUUUUUUUUUUUUUUGGCUGGUGUAGGGCUGCAAACAAAUUGAUUCGAGUCAAGUUUUGAUUUAAUUGAAUUGAGUUUGGACUAAAAUCUCCUCCAUUUUUUACCUAACACUUGCUUUAUACAAUCCUGUCCCAUCCAAUAUUAUCAAACUCAGUACUAUGAAAAAACCUAUUACUUCACCCUUUGCAUUUUUCACACCAAAAGAUAGGGACUCUGUAAUCUUAUUAAAUUGAAUAAUUAGAUGAAAAGGAAAGAGAAAGUACAACGUAAAGAGUCAAGCAAGAUGUGCAAAAAAUGUUAUUUCACUUUUACAAAAGCGGAGGUGAUCUUCAGAUUUCAAUCAUGCGACAACAAAUUACAAGGAUAGCUUCAGUAACCGGAAAGGGAAAACACACACACACACACAUGAAAUGCUGAAUAACUUACACUUCUGAAGAAACUUACAAGGAGAUUUGAGCUUACACCUGAAGUAUAGAGCAUGCUGUCUGAAUAACAGUAAGAACUAGCAGUAUACAGGCAGCAAUAAAAGAGAUGAUAGCCCAUGGACUCUGAAAAUAAUCACGGCGUAGGCUUGCAAUCCACUCGGUUAACUUUGUCACCAACUUGUGCAGCCAGUCUCUGCUGUAUUCAUUCAGUUGAUUGCAGAGGUUAGCAAAAUAAAACUCCUUUGGAUCCGUUACAAUCUCUUUGUAGAGAUUGUUGAAAACAUCUGCCACCUGUUCACUGCUUCCAAGUUCAUUCACAAUGAUUUUAUGUUCAAUGAGUAGAUCAACAUCCUUGGGGGUGUCUAUCAAGUUAUCCAUCAGAAUAACAUAGCUUGUUAUGUCCUUGGAAUUAUAGCCACACUGUUCAAAGGCUAUCAGAUUCCGGUAAAAAGUCUCUGUGAAAUCAUUUACGGUGAGCUGUGGAAUUACUAACUCCCCUUUCUCAAAGCGUACAUCAAAUAAACAUUUUUCUGCUCCAUGACUGAACUUUACUCCCGCUGCCCGCAACUUAGUUGCAGUAGCACAUUUGCCAAAUUCCACUUUCUUUCCUUCUUCUGGUUCAGCUCUUGGAUGUGAUGGCCUAUGAAGCACUGCUAGGAACUCAACCAGAUGCCUUGCACGAGGAAAUGAAUGGGUCGUACUCGGCUCUAGUUUCCUGGUGUUCCCUACAUUCUUUAAGUACUCAAAAGCUAGUUUAUCGAAAGAUGGCGGCUCGUCAGUCUCAUUAUCCAAAAACUUGCUCAGUUUUCGGGAAACAAAACCAUUAUACAUUGUAGCAAUGAACCUCAUAGGAAGUUGGUUUUCUAAAAGCAGCAAAUCGUGCACUAUAUCACUUGACACCCAACGAUUUUCAAAUAUCGUAUCACCCAUCUCUCUCAUUUCAGGAAAGUAGUUCUUUAAGAAGAGCUCAAUGAUAAAAAUACCAUCAAACAAAAUCACUUCUGAUAAUUUCGAGAGAUCUCGGAUGUAGGUAUCUUCAUAACAACCACAUACAUUCUUCUCCUGACUAUGGGCAUAUUCUGCCAAAAGUUCUAGUGGAAUUUUAAAAGUGUGCAGGAAAUUGUUUAGAUACUUUAAUUUGUAUUCUUCCAUGGCUUUCAACUGGGCAUCACCAUGGUGAAGGGGACCAAUCGAGACUAACCGAGGCGUAUAGGCUUCUUCAUUUUUCCUCCUGUGUUUCUCAGGAACUCUAUAGAUACAAACUGUACCAUAAUUAAGAGGAUCUGAAGCUAGCAUGGAUAACUUAUCGUUGAUCAAGGAUGCUAAAUGUAUUGCGCUUGCAGAGUAGUGUGUGUACCUUGGUAAUUCUACUUGCCCAGGGGGGAUAGGCUUGGAAGUAUUGACACUGAUUUUGACCUCACUUCCAGGAUCAACAACAAUUACAACUUUUUCUUCAGCUUCCAUUCCAGUCAGUUGAUGAAACCUGACUUUGUUCUUGACCAGUCCUUUCUCUGUUGACAAGUAGAAGAAAACUCAUGUUUGUUGGUUUUGAACUUGGAACCGGCAAGAAGAAAUCAAAAGAAAAAGUAAGACAAGUACAUAAAUAUGUUUGUUGAAUGCUCAAAGUAAGGCAAUAAGGCAAGAAGAAAGUAAUGGGGAGCCAAUUGUUCUUUUUCAACCAAUAAGAUUUUCUUUAAACUGGGAGGGAAAAUUAAAAAAAAAAAAUGAUAAACAGCGAAGCUGUCUUUUGUUUUCCGUUUUGACUGCAACAAGAGGUGCGAGCAAAAUAUUCAUCUUGUGCUUUAUGUUCUAUUAUACAGGAUAGUGAAAUUUUCAUUAUAUAGUACAUUAGGAAGAAAAUUGGAAGGGUGUAGAACAAGGAUCAGAAGGGAAUUUUGUGUAUUAAUGACUGGAGAGACUUCCAUUAAUGGCAGCAGGCUUAAUAUAAAGUUCUAAGAUAAAACUUUCCUCUAUACGAGGCUUUCAGGGAUGGUGAUGGAAGGAGGUACAUGUGUGAUUGUCCAUGGUAGCAUAAUUUCCUUAGUAGAAACAAGCAAUAACACAUUAAAGCCAGAAUCAAAGCAGAGUUAUGCAAUUAAUAGAAGUAUUUUCUAAAUGAACAGAACCAGACGAAACUUAAUGGAUAUAUAUUUGCAUAUUACCCUAACUGAAGAUAGGAACUGAAAGUCAUGUACCCCUGAAGAAAACGGAUCCACAAAUUAUCCAUUACUCCCAUUGAAAUCCAUUUCAGCAACUACAUAAUUACCCCUUUAUUUCAUCAGUAACAAGUACUAAGACAUAAGAGUGAAGGACGAAGAAUACCUCAAAAGAGAAAACGGAGCAGAUGGUUAAAUCUCAAGAAUAGGCAAAUAGAGCUGAUGUGAGAAAGCUGCCACACUUUGACUUUGCACUCUUUAAGUGUGGAAUUGGAGUUGGAACUUCUGUCCUGCGACAUCCUUGUCGACAAUCUACAUAUCUACACUAUUGAAAAACAAGGGAGAGUUGACAAAUGAACAGUGCAAUCUGGUCUCCUCUGGUUACUCUGCCUUUGUGUCAAUUGAUUGGUGCUUUUUUGACAUUUGAAAUGCUUCUUAUAUGCGUCGUUACUGUGUUUUCCUUCACAUUUUCUGUUUUUUCGUUUUUGCCAAGCCUUUAUAACCCCCUUUUUUGUUGUGAUCUGGUACAUGCCCGACUCGAUUCACUUUGGACCCGAGCCGACACACCAAAUCGGGGGAUACGCCAUAACCCCUCACGACGCACCCAAGUUAGAUAGCGGGGUUUAAGUUUUAGGAAAAUAUUCGAAUCCAGAAUCUUAUUCAGUUCAAAAAUCCACUUUACCACUAGACUAUUCCUUGGGGGCAAAACCUUUAUAAUCUCUCUAUCUCUGUCUGGUUGGUCUGGUUCACUCUCUUCCUUUCUUCCUUCCCCUUUUUCACUAAAAAUUAUAGGGAAAUUCCUCUCUCUUGAGCCCAUUUGGAUUGCAUUUUUUGGAGAGUUUUUAGGGAAAAAAUCAUUGUAGCAUUUUUUUUUGAUAUGAUGUAUAUGAGAUAAAAAUAAUUUAAAAUUAUAGAAAUAAAUAUUUAUGAAAAACACGUAAAAAUUUGUUUAAAAAAAUUUACAAUUCAAUCCUGAAAAGAAAAAAAGAAACUCUAAGCAAAGGUUCUGACUAUUGAGUAUUCAAGAAAGCAAGAAGAACGGGGCCACAAAAAAAAAAAACUAUAGCAGCAGAAUAGGAGUUAUACAAUAGAACAUAUAUGAGGUUUUAGCUUAAUCUUUCAGUCACAACUAGGUAAAGGAUACUAUUUUCUCCAUCCGUCAUCCAUGAAUCUCUUGCCUUUAUUUCUCACUCAAAAUUACAGAGAGAUCCCUCUUUAAAAGUCAUCUAUUUCUUCUCUUUUGCUGCAAGAUGGGAGAUCCGGUAAAAAGAAGCAUGGAAAUAAAAAAAUCUAGCUUAGGGGAAAUAAAAAAGAAGCAUGUGAGAUAAAAAGAUGAUUAAAAAAUAUAUUCAUGAAAAACCAAAAAAAAAAUUUGGAGGAAAAUGCUUUGCAAACAAGACUGCAAGAUAUGCAACAAGUAUGAAUGAUUUGUUACAUUCUCUUUUUCAAGAUGAGCAUAUUUAGAAGAGAUUCUUUGGAGUUGUUUUUAUUAGUUAAACAUUUUUUAUGGUUUUCAGUAUGUUUAGGUUCUUUAUUGUGUUAAGUUAAGAAUAAUAAAAUUAUUUUAAAAAAUAAUGCACUACAUGUAUGUAGACAACUUGUAUGCAAAUUGUUGAGAUAUGUCAAUUUUUACAGAUUUUUCUAGAUUCAUUUGGCACUAGAAUAAUUUAGUUAAUUAUUAAAUAAAUUAAGUUGUUAGGAUAUAUUGUUAACAAAAAAGCAUGUUGAGUUGUUAACAAAUAUUUUUGCUAAGAUUUAGUUUAUAUUUUGUUGAGAUUUUUUAGGAUAAUUGUUAGUUAGAAAUUAAUAUUAAUUUGUUUAAUGUAAACACCACAAAUAGUGAGUUGAUAAAUGAAAAAUAUAAAGUUACUUUCAACCUUCAAUACAAGCCUUUUGUAAGCAGUUUUUUUUUACAACACUAAUUAAGAUAUUGUUUCUUAGUUUAUACCUUAAAAAAACCAAUAAAAUGAUAUCAAAGCUUCUUAUAAAAGCCUUGUCCAGAACAAGAUCUAAAGAUUUGAGAAGGCAACUCAAAAUCUGCAGCAAAAAUGGCAAGGAUUCUCAUUGAAUCCACUCACUCUCAAAAAACAAUACAAAUGCUCUAUUACGAGCUUAUUAAAACAAAACAUCUGCAAAAGCAACAACUAGUGUGUCACUUAUUGCCUAUAUAAACAUGACUUGUCAUCGUCAUAUAGAUGAAAAUCAUCUGAACUUUGUUAUUACGUACAUUUUGCUUCGGUUGCGAUUUUUUCUUCUUUUUUUUUUUUUACCCUUUAGUGAUUUUUCCAGUUGAAGAGUCCAAUAUGUGCUUGUGAUAUUGGUACUAAGCCUUGUACAUGAUUUGAUUUUUGCUUUCCCUUUUUUUUUUUUUGUAAAACUGAGAAAAUUAGCCGUUUGUUUAGGUAUAGAUCAUGCCUUGAUGGUAAACAAUGAGUUAUAACUGUUCCUUACUUCCCCCCCCCCCUCCCCCACCCCACCGUCCUCUUUUCCUCCCAAAGUAAGCAACGAGUUAUGGUUUAUGGGGACUGAUAUUGAACGUUGGUUAGCCCUGUUGAUGGGAUGCAAAGGUCUGAUCUUCUUGUUUAAAUUUUCAUUUCAUUUGGCCAAAUGUUUCAUUUUUAUUGGGCUUUUACCUUUGAGAUUGAUGAUCUAUUAUAUUCCAUUUGAUUGGAUUCCAGAGCUGAUUCUGGAUUCAUAAUAAAAGCUGUGUGCUUUUUCACGUAUCUUCUCAGUAUGACUAUUUUCCUUGAAAAGAAAAAAACAGAUGCGUUGUUCAUAUCCAGCUUUUGGCGCCUGAAUUUUACUUUCUUAUUAGCAUGUUUCAGAUCAGAAUUUGGGGUUUUGGAGAGUCCUUCGACCCAUUAGUUGUUGACUUGGUGGAUUCUUGGUGCUUUAUUCAUGUUAUUUGAUGAACAAAGAUCGACCUUAAUCUUCUGAGUAAACCGGAAGUUUUGUGUCUCGGUAUAAAUAGUGAUAGUUCAAAAAUGUGGUCUAUUUUUAAAAGCACUUUACCCAGUUUCCUCUUGCAGGCUAAUGGAAUAUAUAACUAUCCAAAUAAGAAACAAAUCCGUAAUGUUUUCACUAGAUUAACUUGAAUAUACUUUUGAUUAUCAAUUUUUUUUUAUUUGCUACGUGAAUACAUGCACCUAUAGGAAAGAUAUCCUUCUGAGCUUGAAAAUGGAGAGAUAUUUUGAAAAGAUUCUAAGCAUGUUAAUGGCAGAUACUUCCUUGCAAAAGCUAUCGGAACUAGGCCUUGCAAGGUUCUUUGUGAAUAUGAUCUGUAUAUGCCUCUGUAAGGAACAAUAGCUAAUUUGGCCAAUCCUAGAGUUGGAUGAAAUCAUGGAGUUCAUUUUAUAUAGUGCUUUAUAUAAAUUUAUAAAGUGCUUUAUAUAGUACUUAAUAGUGCUUUAUACAACUUUAUAAAGUGCUUUAAAAGAACUUUAUAAAGUGCUUAAUAGUGCUUUAUGCAGCCUUAUAUUUAUAUAGUCCUUGAUAGUGCUUUUUUUUAAUCGUCAUCCCUACUCCUACUCCUACUCUAUUUACGGGGAGGCUCAACUGAGCUUAUGGGGACCGAUAGGGACAGAACUACCACCGGUUGUGCACCCGUCUGGAUUUGAAGUAGAACCACAAGAGUGGCAUUUUGGUGGUGGCCACCAGCCCAAGAGCUGGUGGUUUUUUAUAUAGUCCUUGAUAGUGCCUUUUUUUUUUUUGGCUGACGUUUCUAUAACAAAAUGUCGAAAAACAAAAACAAACAUUUGUGUAAGUCAUCGCUCCCUGAACACGGGUCACUAAGCGCAGGGCACUAAAUAAAAAGGAGUAUUGGGCGGAGCAGCCUUUUUUUUUUUUUUUUUUUUUUUCUUCGCACAUGAAUUCCGCAAAACAAACAUCAUUGCAUUCAGUUAAAUAAAUUUUUGGUUGGUUGCUAACUGACACAAGCUUAUCACGGGUCAUGCGCAAUAGUAAUUUCACUUUACACCUCUGGACUUGUAUUGCCUUUUCACUUUAUAUUUUAAACUUCAAUUUUGAACCUGUUACGCUCUAAAUUCUUAAUUUUGGACAUUUGGCACCCUAGUCUCUCAAAUUUGUCCAAUUUAAAUUCAAUCAAUGACUAUAUUCGCACAAUUAAUGAGGUAGAGCUGUGAACAUUAAUGACAAUAUACUGUUUUAUUCUAACUGCUAUCUCUUAACCUUUUUUUUUGACCAAUUUUAUUACAUUAUCAUUGAUUUAUAAGAUCUCAAUUGCUAAUAUAGUUAGCAAAAUUAACUAGAUAAUAGAUGUUACAAAUUAUUGAAAAUGUAUUUUUUUUUUUACUUUUGCUAUGAUACCUUGGCAUAUUUGGACUACUUUCAAUACAUUAUCAUUGAUUUGUUGAGUCCUCUACUAUGUUAUUAAAGUUCCCAGAAAAUGGCUCCAUGACAAAUACUAAAGAUAAAUUCAACAACAAAAGCACCAUUACAUUCAAUUGCUUUAAAACAAGCUAAUAAAGAUGGUGUCAGCCAACUCCUUGACAUUGCUAAAGGGCUACAAAAUGGGUUUUUGGAUCUUAAUAAAUUUUAAUUGGUUGCUCAAUACCUAACAGAAGACAAUUCGGUAAAAAUUGGUCAUUGUAAUCGUUGGCCAUGUGCGGUAAAAUAAAACUGAUCACUUCGUUUCAGAACAGGGUGGAGGCCUAGUUGGGCUACCUGAAGAAAUCUUUAAAUAGAAGAUUGUUGAAAAAAAAAUAUUUUUUUGAAAUAAUACAGUAGCACUUUAGCAUUUUCUGUAAUAUGCUGCUUCUAAGAUUAAAAAGUGAUUGAAAAAAUGUAUUUAUGAUAUAAUUAUUUCUAAACAGUGGCCAAUCCAAACAAGCUGCUUGUUGCUUGAUAAAUAUAGAAGCUCACUCAAGUAUGUGCGUUGCUGAUGAAAAAACAGUAUCUUUUGCUAAAAAGUGGAGCGUGAACAAAUUAUGAAACACUGCAGGCCUUCUCUUUUUUUCGAUCUUUCUUGUUGACAGGGUGUCAGACCUGUGCAAUAAUAAAUACCUGCUUAAAUAAAAUAUAAUUUCUGUAGAUAAUGAUAAGCAGGAUCGAAUUCACAGGGACUGGGGAUAAUUUAUUUCUUUUAGAGUCCGAAGUAUGGGGGGUUUUUGAAAAUGAGAGUAACUAAAUUACUUGGAAUAAAUUAAAAUAAAAUAAAAUAACUACAACUCAAAUAACUAAUUAUCACAAUAAAAAUAAUAAUGGACGAACCCUAGCCAAGAGACAACUUCGGAGAUGGUUCACUUAAUUCGAUUACAGAUGCAAGGAUUAUUCCAGUUACUAUCUGAUAAAUUAGUUAUAGUUAUCAUACAUGCGAUGAACAACCAACUCUUCCUCAAUUUGUCGAUAGCCAAGGUACGACCGUUGACUAUUUCUCUAAUCAGGAAACAACCCUAGGUACGACCAUAGAAGUUCAAUUCCCUAAUUGCAUGAAUAAUUAGAAGAGCCUAAUUCUAACCAAUCAACACGCUACGAGGGUCUCUUUAAGUUAGCAUGUCUAUCUCCCUGACACAAACCCAAUCAUGCCAGUUGCCACCAGUUUAGAAUAAUUAAACAAUUACGGAUUUAACUACCCUAAUUGGCUUCAGGUCAUUGAAUUAAUCUAGAAUCCGGGCCCUGGAUAAUCGAAUAAUAAAACAACCAUAUGAACAUAAAGCAGAAGAUAGACGAAUACCAGUGAAUAAUAGAAAUAAAUAAAAACUAAUUCGAUCUCACAAAUUUAGUAGAACCAAGUCCUCCGUUGUUCCUCUACUAGAUGAGAAACUUAGUCACGCCUCAUGAGAAAAUCUCCACGUAAUUUAAUUGAGGUCCAAGCCAUCAAAGGAACCCAGAAAGAAUAAAACUAACCUAUGCUAAAAGCUCUCUGUAGCCUUUCUUACGAUUGUCCUUAUAUAGCCAAAAGGAAAUGACUAAAGCUAUCUAUCCAGUGGUCCCCACGAAUAAGGAACAAAAACAACUCUUUGCACGUUUGUUUCCUUUCAAUUCAAAUGACUAAUGCCUUUCUUCUCUCCAUGGUCCCCGAACAAAUUGAGAAAGGAGUGUACAUAAAGUGAAGUUCUCUGAAGUCCUUCUUUCUUUAGUUUCCUCUUGAUAGUCAAACACUUCAACACUCCAAGAUACUCCUAAUCCGCAAAAAAGAAAUGCAGUCCGCGUAUAUCACCAUGUGGGCCAGGUCUGUGGCUUAUUUGAAGUCUCAAUUAUCUUCAAAAAGUCCCUCCUUUUUUGUAGUUUUCUGCUUCACUCCCUAAAAUUGGGUCCAAUACCAAAUAUAAGUAAAUAUUAAUAAUUAAAACAAUAUUUGGCAAGGAUAAAAGGGAAAAUGAACAAUAAAAUUACUAACAAUUAACACCCUAUCAAUUCCCCUCACACCUAAAUCAUGCUUGCCCUCAAGCAUAGGAACAGUAAUUGAACACUGGAAUUUGACAAUGGUUGUUGCUCCAACUACUGUGUUGCCACGAUACCCAAGAAAAACAAAUAUCAAGCAUCACAGGUCAAGAUCCAAGAAAAACCACCCUGUUAGCAUCUAAACUACCAACUCCUCCAAUUUAAAGCAAACUAAUCUAAGCAAAAGGAAUGGUUGCUCACAUUUAUCAGCAAAUGGUCCAACUAUUAAUCCAAAUCUCAACAUUAACCCAUAGAUCGGUAAGCUGACUUUAGACACACACUUACACAAUCUUCACCUUUUUUAUCACGCUUUUCUAUUUUUCUUGUUUUUUUUUUCGCUAUAUUUUUCUUCUUUUUCAAUAAUAACAAAAGACUUAGUUUCUAGCCAUUAGAGCCUUUUGACGCGAACUCCAACAUUUGAUAGAUGGAGGAGCCCGGUUACUCAGCUCCAAUCGCUACAGGACCACGCACUUAUAGCAAUCACUACCUUUUGACGCGAGAAUCGACACUUUAGGUGAAGAUCCCCGGUUACUCAGUAGUGAUAACUAGCGGAGUACAGUCACCUCUUAUUUACAACCAUAUAGCACAAUAACUAAAAAUAACAUAAAAAUAAUAGCAGCCAGCCUCAAAUUUCAAACAUGGAGAACUAAAAUUAAUAAUUGGACCAAUUCACAUGAAGAAUGCCAACAAUCAUUCCCUAUGCCUAGAAAAGUUAACCAAAAAUUGAAAAAGUUAAGCAAUUGUUGAUAUUCACCAAAGAGAUGUUCCUGAACUCAACCACAUCAACUUGAUACAUUUUUAUUACUAAAAACUUGGCAAUAGCAUAAUUAGAGACAACAAUCCAGCAUCAAAACUUGGUAUUCAUUUAAGGACUGACCACUAGAAAGAAAAAGAAAAGAAAAUAAAUGAAAGAUAGGCAAAAACUAACUAAAAAUAAAGGAAAAGCCCCUAGAAACUAAAAACAAAAAUACUAGCACCCCAACUGAUCUCCCCCCCACACCUAAAUCACACAUUGCCCUCAAUGUGAUAAACUAACAGCAAAAGGAAGGAGAAGGGCAACGGUACUUCCCUGAAGUUGUCAAAACAAGGGUGGGCCGGGCGGAGUGCUGCCAAAUUCUACGCCAUGUUAUGCAAGUCGACGUCCAUGUGGGUCACUCGAGUCUCCAGUCUCUCAACUUGCAUCUGGAGCUGGUGCCAUUCGUCAGCCCCUGGGGUAGGAGGAGGCUGCGAGUGUCUAGGUGUCCUAAACCUAGAAGCGGAUCUUGGCCUUACCAUGAUCUCUAGAUGUCACUCUAAUCACAAGGGACUACAAUUGCCAACAGAUAAUGGAAACAGGAAUUUCAAAGUAAUAACAAUUUUUUUGUUUAAAACCAACCCAAUGAACAAUAGGCACAAUUCAAUCACCCACAGGUUAUACGAAUACCUCAACACUAAUAACAAAUGCAAUCAAUGAGCCCCUGUGGUCCAAAUGUAGUCAAAUUCAGAAUCAAGGCAGUCCAAUCAUGCAACAAGUGCUCCAAAUAGCUUAGUAAAGGAAACCAAAAGGAUAAAAUGCUCCUAAACAAGGCAAUCAGAGGCAACUAACUUCAAUAAGCAAAUUUAAGCGUUAUAGGCACCUCCCAAUUUAACAAGCAAAUUACCCACAAUUAGACACAAAUCACAGGAAAAUAGACACAAUUGGUCCCAAAAUGGUAACAGCUGCCUCCAAUUGGACAGUCCAUUCCCCAAUUCAACCUGCCAAAAUCAGCAAUUGACCCAAGAAAAUGGUAACUCCAGCAACAGUUCAGGAACCAACACUCAAGAAUCAAAUAGGUAGUCCGGCACAGAGGAUUAAGAAAUGGAAAGCAACACUGCAACCAGUACCACUGGUGCACAGACAGGAAAGAAUUAAAUUCAACGGUAGCAACUCAAUCACAAGCACUUAAACUUUAAAAUAAGCAAGUAUCUUCAAAUAUAAGCCACAACGAUAGGGAAAAGAUCUCAACCAGUACCACUAGUGAGUCACAGGGAAAAAAUUAAUCAAGCGGCCAACAAAUGAAUAAAUAGCAGAAAAUCUCCCCACUAUGGCAGCAAUUAAACCCAAUUCUGUCCAAAAAGUACCCCCAGAAAAUGCCUAAAUCACCCUUGCUAUUAGCUAUCAAGAAACUCAAACACAAAUUCCAGUAAUUUAUGCUAAUCGGAGAAGAGAUCACAAUACCUCCACCUGUCAAUUUUGACAGGUGGUGAUGCGCAGCAAUGGAGAAGCGUCGGGCAGCGGCCGCGAGGUGAAACUGGAGCUGGAAGUGCGGCUGCCGGCGUCGGGCUCGUGGCCGCUCCUGGUGGCACGCGAGCUGUGGAAAGCUGGCGGAGGAGGUUCGCGAGCUGGUGGAGCUGUUGGCGGUGGAAGCUGAGCUCACGGCGAGAGGAAAGUGAGAUCUGGUGACGGACGCGCGCGGAGAGACGGUGGGUGGAGCUUCGUGCGGCGCACGGCUGUGGUGUGGCUGUGGACAGUCGCGCGGCUGGGGGCGGCAGACAGCAGCGGCGGAGUGGCGAGCUGAGGCGGCGGCGCUCACGCAGGUGCUGGGCUGGUGGUGGCCGCGAGCGCAGGAGGAGCUGCGCGCGAGGGAGAAGGUGAGAGUGGAGGAGAGGCGCGGCUUGGCUGCGAGCUGGCGGUGGAUCGUGAGGUGAGGCCGCGUGCGUGGAAGCUCCUGGCUGCGAGGGAGCUUGGGCGACGCGCGGCAGUGCGCGAUAGUCGCGAAGAUGAGGAGGAGCUGCGUGGGUGAGGUGGUAGCGGCAGGCGGCACUACCACGCGCAGGGGAAGGUCGCGGGGUGAGCGAGGGAGGCGGUGCGACCUGAUGGCGUGGAGGUGCGGUGUGGGCUGCAGGAGGCGCGCGAUGGUUGCUUGGAGGCAGCGGCGUGCGAGUGAAAGGAAGAAUUGGGAAAACAGAGGCAGCGGGGAAGAAGAAAGAAAGAAAGAAAGAAAGAAAGAAGAAAAGAAGGAAGAAAAAGAAAAGAAAAAAAAUAGUUUUUGUGGAUUUUUUUUUUCUUCUUUGUUUUCAGUUUUUUUUUUUUUUUUUGAAUUCAAAUUUCGAAAAUUGUAAUUGCUAAAAUACUUUGUUUCCUUUUUGUUUUUUUUUAGAAAUAAUAAUAAUAAAUAAAUAAUAAAAAAAAAAUUUCUUAGCUUUUGGAUCGUCAAACAUGGCGUGGGCACGCCAAGAUUGGUAAAUGUCCACUGACCUCAGGAGUUAUAAACACCGCGUGGGCACGCCAAGAUUGUUGUCCUGACCACAGUGGAGGAAAACAUUAAAACCGACCACAACCUAAAUAAGAAACGACAUAAUUAAAGAAUUUAACAACGAAAAACAAUAAAAUCAAUAUUUGGGUUGCCUCCCAAAAAGCGCCUUUCUUUAACGUGUUUGGCUAGACAUUAUCAUGUUUGCUUAGGGAGGAUAAAAUCUUGUGGCUCAUUUCAGUGCUUCAUUCUCUAUAUAAUCCUGAUAGCCCUCGUAAAUAGAGUAAUCCUUGAGCACACGAGCUACGGUCUUCCAUGGACUAGUUGAUGGCGCCAAAUAAUCAAGCAGUGAUCUCAAUUCUUCAUCCACUCCUUCAUCAAGAGCACUCAACGGUUCAAGAUAUUUGACCAUAGCUACUCUUAACUUAUUUCUGCCAUGAAACUCAAAAACUUCCGGUAUAACAAAAUCAAUCUCAUUAACAGAAAUUAUAGACUAAGAGUCAAGAGAAUAUAGAUUAAGGGAUGGAGGGGGUGUCACCACAUUUGAUGAUUCUUCACUGGAUUCUUUCACUUGAAUGGGUUGCGGUUGGGGUUCCAUUUCUUCCUUUUCGGCUUCUUUUUCAACUGCAUCUGUAGAUCUCUCAUUUUGACACUCUUGCAUCUCCUCAUCACUAGUCAAGCAAAUUGCACUCUCAUUUUCUUCAAAACCAACAAUGGUUUUCGAGGGCAAUUCUUCAAAUUGAGAAGCCAAUCGAUUUAUUCUGGAUGUCAAUAGACAUAUUUGAUCUUCCAGAUUACUCAUUGCAUCCUUCAUCAUCCUAUUUCUCAUUUGUGUCUCAUGUUGGAAUUGAUAUGUAUUAGUAGCUAUUGAUUCAACUAUUUCUUCAAGAGACAUACCUGACAUAGAUGAUGAUUCUUGAGACUCAUACUGUUGAAAAUUCAUUGGCCCUGUUGUAUAAUUAUAACUGGAGUUAUCCCACCAUCCUUGAUCAUACCCGUUUGGAUUAGGGUUAUACCACGUUUGAGACCAGGGUGAAAAAUCUCCAUAAUUAUUGAGUGGGACACUCAGAUUAUCUUGAUAUUCGGGGCACAUACCGGUUGAAUGAUCCCUGGCAUAACAAAUUUUACAGGUUGCAGCAGCCAUUCUUUCUCUAAUAGAGUUUAGUGCCUCUGCAUAUGCAAACUUAGCAAAAAAACAAGUCUCAUUGCCUUCCCUGGAAACAAAAUCCAGUCUAUCACCAAAAUACGGAGUGUUAGAAGCCAUAAACUAUAUAAAAAAAAAAAUAAGAGAAAAAUAAAUAAAAAAUAAAAUAAAAUAAAAACAAGAUGAAUUCAAAAAGAAACAAAUUAAUCUGGCACCAGUCCCCGGCAACGGCGCCAAAAAUUGACAGGGUGUCAGACCUGUGCAAUAAUAAAUACCUGCUUAAAAAAAAUAUAAUUUCUGUAGAUAGUGAUAAGCAGGGUCGAAUCCACAGGGACUGGGGAUAAUUUAUUUCUUUUAGAGUCCGAAGUAUGGGGGGUUUUUGAAAAUGAGAGUAACUAAAUUACUUGGAAUAAAUUAAAAUAAAAUAAAAUAACUACAACUCAAAUAACUAAUUAUCACAAUAAAAAUAAUAAUGGACGAACUCUAGCCAAGAGACAACUUCGGAGAUGGUUCACUUAAUUCGAUCACAGAUGCAAGGAUUAUUCCAGUUACUAUCUGAUAAAUUAGUUAUAGUUGUCAUACACGCGAUGAACAACCAACUCUUCCUCAAUUUGUCGAUAGCCAAGGUACGACCGUUGACUAUUUCUCUAAUCAGGAAACAACCCUAGGUACGACCAUAGAAGUUCAAUUCCCUAAUUGCAUGAAUAAUUAGAAGAGCCUAAUUCUAACCAAUCAACACGCUACGAGGGUCUCUUUAAGUUAGCCUGUCUAUCUCCCUGACACAAACCCAAUCAUGCCAGUUGCUACCAGUUUAGAAUAAUUAAACAAUUACGGAUUUAACUACCCUAAUUGGCUUCAGGUCAUUGAAUUAAUCUAGAAUCCGGGCCCUGGAUAAUCGAAUAAUAAAACAACCAUAUGAACAUAAAGCAGAAGAUAGACGAAUACCAGUGAAUAAUAGAAAUAAAUAAAAACUAAUUCGAUCUCACAAAUUUAGUAGAACCAAGUCCUCCGUUGUUCCUCUACUAGAUGAGAAACUUAGUCACGCCUCAUGAGAAAAUCUCCACGUAAUUUAAUUGAGGUCCAGGCCAUCAAAGGAACCCAGAAAGAAUAAAACUAAACUAUGCUAAAAGCUCUCUGUAGCCUUUCUUACGAUUGUCCUUAUAUAGCCAAAAGGAAAUGACUAAAGCUAUCUAUCCAGUGGUCCCCACGAAUAAGGAACAAAAACAACUCUUUGCACGUUUGUUUCCUUUCAAUUCAAAUGACUAAUGCCUUUCUAGUUUCUUCUCUCCGUGUUCCCCGCACAAAUUGAGAAAGGAGUGUACAUAAAGUGAAGUUCUCUGAAGUCCUUCUUUCUUUAGUUUCCUCGGUCCGCGUAUAUCACCAUGUGGGCCAGGUCUGUGGCUUAUUUGAAGUCUCAAUUAUCUUCAGAAAGUCCCUCCUUUUUUGUAGUUUUCUGCUUCACUCCCUAAAAUUGGGUCCAAUACCAAAUAUAAGUAAAUAUUAAUAAUUAAAACAAUAUUUGGCAAGGAUAAAAGGGAAAAUGAACAAUAAAAUUACUAACAAUUAACACCCUAUCACUUGUAAAUUGCUAAUCAACAAGGGACGGCUGACUUUUUUUUUUUUUUCCUUUUUUUAUGGAGGGAUUGAAAGAUUUGAAUUUAGUAUUCUCUUUGGUAUAAUGUCCAAACUUCAUCAGUUGUCAAAACCCUUGUUGGCGAGGACCAAAUUAGUCAAGGCUUGCAAAGCAACACACUCUCAACUUUAGCUUGAUCUUUUUAAAUGUGAAAAUCAUAUACAAAAUUUGUAGUGCAAAUUUAUACAAGUUACUAAGCCAAAAUUUUUCACUUACCCCCUAACUCAUUUUUUUUUGUCUCACUCUAUCCCUUGGUGGACAAAAUUACCCCUCCAUUAUUUUAAUUUCCUUUUUUUGUUUUUUCCCUUUUGUAAUUUUUUCUUUCCCCUUAUUCCCUCUAUUUUCUUUAUCUCUUUCUUCUUUCUUUACUUCUCUCCUUUUCCCAUAAGAAACUUCAUUUUAGUAAUUGAAUCUAAAAAAGAGCAAUUGCGGACAUCUAUCUUCUUGUCAAAUGAUCACAAAAUAUUCAAACCCUUUUUCCAAAAUACCAUUCUUUGACCUUUCAAUUCUUUUUCUUUUUCCCCUUCCCAUCCCAGUUUCAUAUUUUAUUCUCAGGAAAACAUCACAAGAUAAAUUUGUGACAUAAUUAAUGAUCAUUAAUUGGAAUUUGCAAACAUGACAUCGUAUAAAAGAUCGAAACUAGAUUUUGAUACCUUUCAAAAUUUCGCCCAUAAACUCAAUUACAAUCUUGAUAUAAAGUUUUCUAUUGAGAUGAAUUUUUUUGUUAAGAAGGAUGGACGAGAGAAGAAAGAAGAAAGAGAAAAAGAGAUAAAGGAGGGGAAGAAGAGGAAAGAAAAAGAUAAAUGAAAAGUCAAAAUAAUGGAAGGGUAAUUUUUUCCUAUAGGGGCUUAAGUGAUAAAAAUUAAAGGUUAGAAGAUAAAAUGGUAAAUGUGAUAUACUUCAAGGGGAUUAAUUGUAAUUAACCCGUUUCUUGAUGUAGGGUAGUUAAAUCUGUAGAAUCAAUGUCCUCUAUUAUUUACGUGGGGUGACCUUUCGUCUUAUUUUAUAUGUGGAGAGCCAAGGGCGUGCUUGGAUAUCAAGAAUUUAAAAAAAAAAUUCAGAUUUUGUUUUACUUAUAUCAUACACACAAUUUUCAAUCACCUUUUUAUUUCACAUACAUUACAUUACAAAAAGUGCUACAGUAAUUAUUUCAAAUAAAUAUUUCAAAUAACCUCCUAUCCAAACAACCUCAAUGUUUGUCACAGUUUAACAAAUUUAAAUUUGUCUUUAACACAAAUUACAAUUGUCACCAAUUUGCGGCAAAUUUCAAAAAAAAAAACUAUUAUGCCACAGCAUAUAUUGUUAUCGGUUUUGUUUACCCUUGCUAGAAAAGUUUUCCAAGUGAUCUUGAAUACAUGUAACCAAUAAGAACAAUAGGACUCUUGGCAAUUCAACAAAGACAACAACAAAUCAAAUAAAGCAAAUAAAAAGACACAGAAUUUAUGUGGUUCGAUCGAAUUGACCUACAUCCACGCGAAAACGAAAAAAAGAAUACAAAAGAAAGAGUACAAAACUUAGAAAAUAAUUCCAUUGUCCAAAGACACCUAAAAUUGAAAACACAAAAGAGUUUAAAUAGUACAAAAUACUUAAUGGCCCAAAAGUCCACUAACUUGUUAUUUUGGUUUGAUACAUGACCAAAAUCUCUCUUAAACCACAGCAUAGGCCCCCCAAAACUUUCUUGACCUGGUGCCUUUAAUACAUUUAAACUCACUUAAAUUUACUAUAUUUAUAACCACUAAGAUGAGAGAUUUCUUUGUAAAACUCUCGAUGUGGUAUACGAAAACAAACUCAACACCUACUAAUUCUUUUGCUAUUUUAAGUUGGAAAAUUUUUGUACAUUUUCUAGAUUGCUAUGUGCAUUUCCAAAAAAUUAAAAGAGUGGUAAUCUAACUAGGAAGUUCAUAAAUACCUUAUCACUUAUACUCCUUUCACCCCACUUUGAUAGUUUUAGUUUUUCUUCACACAAUUUAAGAAAAAUCAGUCAAUAUUUUUGGAAGAGGAAAUCUAGCUAAUUAUUUUUCCAAAAUACGCAUACGGUUAAUAUUAGAAGUAUGACUAAUCAUUAUAUAUUUACAUUAAUUAUACCAACAAUAUUGAUGGAAAGUUACACUAUUCAAGGCACAAAUCAAAGCAAUUAUUGAUAAAAAAAAUUAACUAUAUUUAAUAAGGUAGGUUAUACUCACUAAUGACAACAUACUCCCUCCGUCCACUUUAAUAAUCUUGAUUUUUUUCACACAAUUUAAGAAAAAAUAGUUAAUUUUGUUGGAAGAAUAAAUUUAGCAUGCUAUUUUUCUAAAAUAUCCUUAUAUUAGCAUUAGAAGUGUGACCAAUUAUUAUACCUUUACAUUAAUUAGAAUAGCAAUAUUGAUAGAAGUUAUACCAUUCAAGGCAUGAAUCAAAACAAUUAUUGAAUAAGGUAGGUUAUACUCAGUUACUCACUAAUAACAAAGAACAUUAAUUAAGGGUAUUUUGGAGAAUUUAAAGAAUUCUCGAAACCCAAAAUAGCUCUUAAAUUACCACAAUAUUACUUGUACAAUUAAGACAAGUAAUUUUACUUACAAUAUUACCUACAUUUCAAGUGAAAAUUUAUGCACGUCAAUAUCACUAGUGUUUUCAAUAAUCUAAUGUUGAUCUAUGGGCCUUAAGAAAUCAAGCUAUCUUACUAAUAUCUUGGCUGCAGAUGGAACAAGACCUUGUAAUUAGUUACUCGAAUGCACUAGAUUAGAUAUUUACAAUACUUAACUCUCAUGGUGAUGCAUAAAGGAACGGAGAAGGCUAAUUAGUCAAUUAGCUCGAUAUUCAGCGUAACUGGCCUUAACGGAAGAUCAAGAACACAUGUAGGAAUUGUAACCAACUUGUUCAUAAUCUUUCUAAUGCGUUUUCAACUUGGAACAAAUUCCAGAACUAACGUAGAAAAGAGGGGAAAAAAAUUCCAGAAACUAAUAUUUUAUGAUACCAUGUGCAGUGGUGGUCAUGUAAACUCAAAAUUCGCCAAAUUCUUCAAUCACCAGAAUAAAAGGAAAAACAGCAUCUCCCCUUUGAGCAAAGCAAGGAGGAUUUUUGGCAGAAUGUCCUCCAUAACUGUGCAUCAUCGACAUCUAAAUUUGACAACCAAUUGUUCAUCUUGAUUUAGUGAUUACAUAUGGAUUUUUAGUCCUCAUACUUAGGUUUUGUAAUGUUUGCUAAAUUUUGAAAAUAUGUGUAAAAAUGUUUUGAUUGUGAUUUUCUAUAAAAAUAUUUUACAUUUUCUAUAAACAUAUUUUCCAAUAACCUUUUUUUUAUCUCAUAUAAAUCAAAUCAAUAUAGUACAUUUUCUUACAAAAAGUUCUAAAAAUAGCAAUCCAAAUAGGGAAAGUUUCUCUAUCAUCCAUGAUAGGCAUUCAUAUCCCAUAGAAGUACUUAAAAUCUUUUUUUUUUUUCUUAUGUUUAAAACAGCCGUAACCUUAAGCUGAAUUGUGAUAAAUGAGACUGAGAGUUGCUUAAAAUGUAUUAGGACUAAAGAAAAAUACACGCACAACUGCUUCCAUUAUGUGGCACGCCAUUUUCUUUGUCACCUGUUGGUAAAAUAUAAUGUCAAUCAUGGAGUAGUAAGCAAAAAAAAAAAAAACUAACUAACUUAGACCUAUAUGAAUGAAGCCAAGCUCCAGAAAUGAAUUAUUUUUUUCAAAAAAGUAAAAAAGAAAAAAAAAACUUGACUAAAGGAAGUUCUCUUUUCUUUUUAGAUGCAGUUAAGCCUAUUUGAAGCCAAGUUCUAGAGGUAAUUUUUUUUUAUAAAAAUCAAAAUGACAUAAAAGGAAACUCGAUUAAAGAGUUUUCACUUCUUUCUCUUUUUUUUUUUUCAAUGUUUUGGUUUUUUUUUUUUUUUUUUUCGAAACGAUAGAUGUCCUAUAAUCUAAUCUAGCCUAGUAUAAGGGGAAGGAGAUGGGGUUCGAUGUGAGUACAAACUCCAUCGAUGAAGGUCACUUAAGACCGCCACAAAUUAUGACAAAUUUGUGGGAGGCAGGGAUUGAACCGUUGACCUCCAGCAUCACCUGACCUCCAUCAAUGUUUUGGUAUUUGAAACGGAAGUUCAUCAUGCAGCAAUAGCAGCGCUCUCUUUCGGAGAGAGAGAACUCCUGUAGAGAGAGAAAUAUGCAGUCCAGCGGUUUGUGUACGGUUAAAAUUUGUUAACGAAAAGGCCGGAAGUUUUCAUUAUUAAACCGCAACGGCCCAAAAGUUUCCAUUGUCGAAGAAUUGGGCAGCUGCUGCCGUGGCAUUGGAGUAAGUUCCCAAGAAAGAGGGAAAAAUGCACUUGCUAGAUGCGUUGUUUAAAAGGCGCAUUCACUUGCUAGACGUUUUUGCUUAAAAAAUACAUUUACUAAAUAUGACACUUUCAAAAUGAAUGCAUUGUUUCAAAAUUCUCACUAUUUGAGAACUCUUUUUGAAAAAGAGAAAUAUUAUUUACGCUGCAUCUUUUAUUAUUUGCAUUUUCAGCAUUUAUUUUAUUAUAUAAUCCAAUAAAUAAAAAUUAUAUGAUUAAAAUGAUAGCGAAAGUGUGAUUAAAAUUAUAGAAGUGCAAAUAACAUUUCUCUUUGAGAAUUUACUCGAGCUUUUCUCCUUAUGAUGAGAGUUUUAUCCUUUUGAAAAACUUUCAAUCUUUCAAACAUUACAAAUCCAAAAAGCCAAAUGCAAAGUUCAAAAUCAAAAUCCCUAUUGAUCCAAGACAACUUCAUCAAACUACUACCUUUUCUGCAUCCUUGUCGUAAUUUCAAAGACUUCUAAUCCCUGUUCCAAUUAUUAGCGACUUGUUUUUGUGUCUGUUUUCCUCUAUUGUGUGUUGGUUAGGUGGAGGUCAACUAUUUGUUGUUUUGCCUACCAGGUGCUUAGCAUUAAGUAUUGACUGAGAAAUCUAUUCCUAUUUCCCUUUCACUACAAGUUUAUUUAAUUUGGGCUGUCUCGCCUGGGUGCCAGAUUAAGGGAUCCUCUACUGUCUCUCUGAAUCCAGAAGAACUGGCAGAUAUAAUGCAAAAAUACAGUGAACAAACAACAAAGGUGAGCUACACACAAUCAACGAAACAAGAAAUCAGCAGCAUCAAGAAGCAAACGGUAGAAAAAUAUUUUAUUAGAUGGCCUCUGCAGGCUUCUCAGGUUCAGCCUCGCGCAUAGCAAGAAAAUGCUCUUAAAGCCUGUUGGUUUCAGUAGUAAACGGAGAUGCAGGAAGCGGUUCCUGAAUAUCCAUUCAAGUUACAAAUAGUUUACAUUGAUUCCCUGAUUCAAAUGACUAGGCCAUGAUUCAAUGAGAAGACUGGGUUACUACAAUUCUUUUAGCCUGAGGAUAAUGCACAAGAAUUCGACCCCUCCACCACCACUUUCCCACCCUUUCUGCAUCACAGAGUUUAAUGUGUAUAAAAGUUUCUAACAGCUAGAAAAAUGUAGAAACGGUUACAAUAACCAUCGAUCCUUGUUCGCUGGUUUCGUCUAAAUGCUGGAUAACUAGAUCAUGUCAUGCAGAUGUUCUUAUCGUCUAAAUGCUGGAUAACUAGAUCAUGUCAUGCAGAUGUUCUUAUCAAAACCCCAUAUACUCACCGUGGACAUUUAUUAAGCCAAUAAACCCCACGCUUCCAAUUGCCUCUGAAAAGAAACCAGAAAAUGAAUGGGGACAGCAAAAUCUGCCCUCAACACUUGGGCUAUUGGCUACGACUAAUGUUGCCGGUGGAGGAAAUUUUGAGGUUCGCUUUGGUGCAGAAUUUGUGCCCAUGGAGACAGUAAAUUCCGCCUUCAAGAUUGAGGGUAGGAGGGUGCAGAGACAGCUUCAUCAUCGAUAACAAAGAGCUUGUUGUGAGGAAAACAAUCCUCCACAACCAAUUAGCUUCCGAAAAUCAAAAUAUGACCAAACUAUGGCGUGCUUUGCAUGAUGCUAAUGUAAAUGUAUGAGAUGGUACGCUUUUUCUUUGGCUAUUUUUAAAUUUUAUUGAAAGAUAAAAAACAAUUCUUUAAAAACCAUCAUCCAAACACAAAUAAAAAAAUUUGUUUGUAUUAUGAAAGAUUAUCAGAUGGGUUGACAGAGAUUUAAAUUUUAUUGUUGGAGGGAAGAAAAAUAAUGUAUGAGGACCAUGAAAAAGAUUGCGAAAUUUCCUUUCCAUCCUAGGUGUAUUAGUAUCAAAACCUGUAAAUGGCGCUAAUCAAUAAGUUAUGUAACCUCUACAAAGGACAUAACGACUAUAUCCAUACUAAUUUCACCGUUAUAUGUAUUGUAUCUGGACAAAUAUUUUGUAAUUGAUAUUUUAUAUUUAUUAGACUUAAUGCUCUAAUUUAUAACUCCUAUAUUCUUACAACCUAUAAAUAGAGGUUCUAAUAUAGAUGUGUUGCGUCCACAAUUUCUAUAUUCAUCCAUCUUAGUCUGAGAAGGGAUACUUGUGUAGUAUAUUCUUGACAACUAACUCUAGUGUUGGAGAAAACACUGAUUGUAUAUGGGACCAAAUAUAUGUUGUAGAUUGGAGUGGCUAUAGUGUGAAACAAUGCUAAGCCAGUUUGAUAUCUCAGAAUGGAGUAUUAAAGGUAGCCUCUAGGACUCUCCAUUUUUUAUCCCUCCUAAACCUUGAAUAUCCUAAUCUUGGUGUGAACCAGUUCUUUGGCAGCAUACCUCGUCAAAUAGGCAUCCUGUCGAAGCUCAUUUAUAUUGAUUUCUCAGUUAAUGAGUUGUCACAAGAAAUCCCACCUGAAAUUUGCAACUUGAGAAACUUUGGUUCAUUUAGCUCUUGUGCAUAAUCAACUUUCAAGUCCAAUUCCUCCAGAAAUAGGAACUGUGUAUAAUAUUAUUGUUAACGUUUAUCUAAAGAAUAACAAUUUAACAAGCCCAAUUCCAGCCACUUUUGAUAACCUCGAUGGGCUAGUCAACUUAUAUCUAUUCCAAAAUCACCUAUUUGGCCCCAUUCCUCAUGCGAUCGAAAACUCAAUCUCAUUUCAGUUUCUUGUCUUGUCUCAAAAUUAUCUUAUUGGUUCAAUCCCUAAGUUGCUAGGCCAUUUUAACCAAUUUGAUGCAUUUAUGUCUCUUUGACAACAACACUCUGGUUCAAUUCCAAAGAAUUUGGGUGAUCUAAAAUUCCUUAUAGAUAUGGAAUUGGGUAAGAACCAACUUAAUAUGGUUCCAAUCCUAUUUUAAUUGAUAACUCGAGUAACUUGGAAAAACAGUAUCUCCUUCUAGUACCAUCCCACAAGAGCUUGGAAACCUGAAAUAGAGUAGUUUUGGAAUUGGAUUAAAAUCAAUUAUCUAGUCCAUUGCCAGAACUACUUCAGUACUUUGUCAAAAUGGUCUAUGAGUACCUUGAAAUCAGUACUUCAGCACUCAAUUUUGGUCUAUUUGUACCUUGAAAAAGGAAGCUUGUCCAAAAUUUUGAGCAUCAAGGAAGAAGCUAAGGAACUAGACUGGCAAAAGAGGUUGAAAACCAUCAGAGGCAUCGCUCAUGCUUAUCUUACAUGCAUCAUGAUUGUUCACCAGCAAUUGUACGUCGGGACAGAUCAAGCGAGGGUUACGUUUAAGAUUUUGGCACUCCUUAGUUUUAGUCUUUGAUCUUCUGUCAUUAUCCCCUUAAAGCCUUUUCCUCCAACCAAUGUCUUUUUAGCGUCCGCUAAUUGAUUAUUACUUUUUAAAAGACUUAAAAAGUCUAAGUAAACUCCUCGACUAGAUGAUAUGUAUCGACGCUGUUAAAUGAAAAAAGACUUUUUUAUUGCAUUCCAAAAGGCUUUUAAAUAAAUAUAUUCAAGCUCUUAAAUAAAUUAUUUUCGUUAACAACUGCUUUCAAAAUGUAGUAAAUUAAUUAGUAGAGAAUUACUUGGAGGAAAAGACUUGGACAGCCAACCCCAUCUUGACUGAAAAGCCUUUUGGACCUUUGCCAUUAAGGCCCAACAUUGUAUAUGUUUAAAACCAACCACGCCUGUGGGACUUUUACUAACAACUGCCCACCACUACAUUUGUUUGAAAACAUCAGCCUUCCAUCCAAAAUUUCUUCAAGUUGAUCCUCUAUGUUGGACCUUCGCACACAGGGAGCCAAUGUCGUAAUUGAAUGAAGCCACCGCUAGUGGAUUGAUCUUGACGGUUGGCCGGACCUUUACGGACAAGGGCCCAACACCAAAUUUGUUUGAAAAGGCCUUUGACAGUAAACGUUUGCAUCUAAUUAAAUUUGUAGAAAAACCGGACUACCAUCUUCUAAAAAAUUAUAUUUAAUCAUAUUUAUUAAACUCGCCCGACAAGGAAGUCGACAGAUAGAUGACAUGAAUGGUUCACUGUUUUGACCAAUGGCCCAAUAAAAGAAUAUUUAUAAAUACUUGGUAAUAUAUAAAAUUUAUAAAUAAAGUUUAUUUAAAAUAUCUUAAAACAUUUGUUUCCUUGUAUAUAAGAAAAAAUUAUUUUAAAUACAAAAGACAUUUAAUUAUUAUGGAAAAUUACAUUUAAAUAUUAAUUGAACUUACAAAUAGUCUAAGAUAUCAUGAUGCAGUAUAAAGAUUUGACAUCCUACUAUAUAGGCAUCUAGACUGAAUGUGGAAAGAACUUUUCCUAUGUUUUUAUGAGGAAUGAGAUUUCAGGAAAAAGUUUGAAUGAGUAUUCUAAGGGCAAACGAGAACUUACUGUCUACUAAUUGAUUAUUAUUUUUUGAAAGGAUUCUAAGUUUAAGUAAACUUCUCUCUUAAAAUAUCAAGAUAAUAUAUAUCAGUUAUUUAAAAUGAAAAAAAACUUUGUUACUGUAUUCCAAAAGACUUUUUUAGUCAAUAUGAUACAUCAACGCUCUCAAAAAUAAACUCAUUUCAUCAACCUCAACAAUUGCUUUCAAAAAGUCGUAAUCAAUUAGUGGAAUUACUUCAAGGAAAAAACUCGGGUAGCCAUCAUCACUCUUAAACGAAUUUCUUUUUGUCAACAAUAGCUUUCAAAAUGUAGUAAUCAAUUAGUGGAAUUUCAAUAAGUUGGAAUGAGUAUUCUAGGGGGAAAGAGUUUUUCUACUUAAAUGAGCCAUAUCAAACAUUAGAAUGGAAUGAACAAAUUGAAAAGAUCUUUUCUAUUCAAGCCAUUCUUGCAUGCCAAAUCAGGAGUUAGUGGCUAUUGAUUGAUUAUUACUUUUUGAAAGACUUAUAAGUUUAAAUAAACUCCUCGAUUAAAAUGUCAAGAUGAUAUAUAUCAGUUCUCUAAAAUGAAAAAGACUUUUUUACUCUAUUCCGAAAGACAUUUUUAGUCAAGAUGAUACAUCAACGCUAUCAAAAAUAAACUCAUUUCAUCAACCUCAACAAUUGCUUUCAAAAAGUAGUAAUCAAUUACUGGAAUUUCAAAUAGUUGGAAUGAGUAUUUUAGGGGAAAAGGGUUUUUCUACUUAAAUGAGCCAUAUCAAACAUUAGAACGGAAUGAACAAAUUGAAAAGAUCUUCUCUAUUCAAGCCAUUCUUGCAUGCUAAAUCAGGAGUUAGUGUCUACUGAUUGAUUAUUACUUUUUGUAAGACUUAUAAGUUUAAAUAAACUUCUCGAUUAAAAUGUCAAGAUGAUAUAUAUCAGUUCUCUAAAAUGAAAAAGACUUUUUUACUCUAUUCCAAAAGACUUUUUUUGUCAAGAUGAUACAUCAACGCUCUCAAAAAUAAACUCAUUUCAUCAACCUCAACAAUUGCUUUCAAAAAGUAGUAAUCAAUUAGUGGAAUUUCAGAAAGUUGGAAUGAGUAUUCUUGGGGGAAAAGGGUUUUUCUACUUAAAUGAGCCAUAUCAAACAUUAGAAUGGAAUGAAAAAAUUGAAAAGAUCUUUUAUAUUCAAGCCAUUCUUGCAUGCCAAAUCAGGAUUUAGUGUCUACUGAUUGAUUAUUACUUUUUGAAAGACUUAUAAGUUUAACUAAACUUCUCGAUUAAAAUGUCAAGAUGAUAUAUAUCAGUUCUCUAAAAUGAAAAAGACUUUUUUACUCUAUUCCGAAACACUUUUAUAGUCAAGAUGAUACAUCAACGCUUUCAAAAAUAAACUCAUUUCAUCAACCUCGACAAUUGCUUUCAAAAAGUAGUAAUCAAUUAGUGGAAUUACUUCAAGGAAAAGACUCGGGUAGCCAUCAUCGCUCUUAAAUGAAUUUCAUUUUGUCAACAAUAGCUUUCAAAAUGUAGUAAUCAAUUAGUGGAAUUUCAAAAAGUUUGAAUGAGUAUUCUAGGGGGAAAGGGUUUUUCUACUUAAAUGAGCCAUAUCAAACAUUAGAAUGGAAUGAAUAAAUUGAAAAGAUCUUUUCUAUUCAAGCCAUUCUUGCAUGCCAAAUCAGGAGUUAGUGUCUAUUGAUUGAUUAUUACUUUUUGAAAGACUUAUAAGUUUAAAUAAACUCCUCAAUUAAAUGUCAAGAUGAUAUAUAUCUGUUCUCUAAAAUAAAAAGACUUUUUUACUCUAGACUUUUUUUAGUCAAGAUGAUACAUCAACGCUCUCAAAAAUAAACUCAUUUCAUCAAACUCAACAAUUGCUUUCAAAAAGUAGUAAUCAAUUAGUGGAAUUUCAAAAAGUUGGAAUGAGUAUUCUAGGGGAAAAGGGUUUUUCUACUUAAAUGAGCCAUAUCAAACAUUAGAAUGGAAUGAACAAAUUGAAAAGAUCUUUUCUAUUCAAGCCAUUCUUGCAUGCCAAAUCCGGAGUUAGUGUCUACUGAUUGAUUAUUACUUUUUGAAAGACUUAUAAGUUUAAAUAAACUCCUCGAUUAAAAUGUUAAGAUGAUAUAUAUCAGUUCUCUAAAAUGAAAAAGACUUUUUUACUCUAUUUCGAAAGACUUUUUUAGUCAAGAUGAUACAUCAACGCUCUCAAAAAUAAACUCAUUUCAUCAACCUCAACAAUUGCUUUCAAAAAGUAGUAAUCAAUUGGUGGAAUUACUUCAAGGAAAAGACUCGAGUAGCCAUCAUCGCUCUUAAACGAAUUUCUUUUUGUCAACAAUAGCUUUCAAAAUGUAGUAAUCAAUUAGUGGAAUUUCAAAAAGUUGGAAUGAGUAUUCUAGGGGGAAAGGGUUUUUCUACUUAAAUGAGCCAUAUCAAACAUUAGAAUAGAAUGAACAAAUUGAAAAGAUCUUUUCUAUUCAAGCCAGUCUUGCAUGCCAAAUCCGGAGUUAGUGUCUACUGAUUGAUUAUUACUUUUUGAAAGACUUAUAAGUUUAAAUAAACUCCUCGAUUAAAAUGUCAAGAUGAUAUAUAUCAGUUCUCUAAAAUGAAAAAGACUUUUUUACUCUAUUUCGAAAAACUUUUUUAGUCAAGAUGAUACAUCAACACUCUCAAAAAUACACUCAUUUCAUCAACCUCAACAAUUGCUUUCAAAAAGUAGUAAUCAAUUAGUGGAAUUACUUCAAGGAAAAGACUCGGGUAGCCAUCAUCGCUCUUAAACGAAUUUCUUUUUGUCAACAAUAGCUUUCAAAAUGUAGUAAUCAAUUAGUGGAAUUUCAAAAAGUUGGAAUGAGUAUUCUAGGGGCAAAGGGCUUUCUCGCUUAAAUGAGCCACAUUAAACACUAAAAUGAAAAAGACAAAUUGGAAAGGGCUUUCCUAUUCAAGCCAUUCAGUAGGGAGAACUAGUCAUAGAAGACAAAAAAUGGUCAAUUUCAUUGAACAUUUCAAUAUUGCAUUAAAGUUCUUGGCCCAUUGGAAUAGACAUCUUAUAUGUUUCACUCUCAAAAAAAAAAAAAAAAAGAAGAAAGGAAUGGAGAGUGGGACCGAAGCAGAAUACUUCCCUGUAUUGUAAAGUUGGGAUAAGCACUAGUUUCGUUUGUGGUACAAAGUAACGAUCUUUGGCAACUCGAUUUGAACUUAAAUGUAAUUGGGGUUCUUUCCAAAUAAUUUCCAUAUUCAUUUUGGUCCUACUUUUUCCAUCAUUAUGGAAGACUUAUAAAAGCUAUAACCAUUUGAUUAAAGUCAUGAUCCCGAGUCAACCAACCACAACGUAUUGAUGGGAGUUCAGGAAGGGAAAAGGAGAGAAGAAGGGGAAGUGUUGGGCAAAACUUAGAUAUCCACAAGACUAGGGAGGCCAAGUUUAAUUUAAACAUUUGCAGCCCUUUAUCUAACAGGAAAAGAGAAGGGUAUAUUAACCUGAAGCAGAAAAUACUGGAAUUCAAACGGACAGAAAUAGAAGUUUAGAUUCCGAUAUCAAUUAAAUUCUGUUUUGAGCCAGUACUACGGCCAACUAAUUCUGCCCAUAGAAUUGGUAGAAAAUUACUCCUUUGCAUUUCUACUUUCCUUUUUUAACAUAUUGAGUUCAUCCGACUGUGUUUUAAGUGUACAAAAUAUUUGGGAGUAAUUUUUUUUUUUUUUUGCUGGUGUAGGGCUGCAAACAAGUUGAUUCGAGUGAAGUUUUGAUUUAAUUGAAUUGAGUUUGGACUCAAUUUUACCAAAUUCGAACUCGACGAACUCUCAAUAUAAAGUUUGAAUUUGAGCUCGACCUCAAAUUAGGCUGAGUCAAACUCGAGGUCGAGCCUACUCGAGUUUAAAAAAUAAAAAUAAUUAUUUUAUUUUUUUGUCUGUCUACUCAAAAGAAGUGAUUACACACACAUAUAUAUAUGAUAGGUGGAGUAUUCUUCCUGCCUCUAGCUCCAUUUAAAUUCAGCGGUAAAAAUUUCUGCAGAGUCGGGCGGUGCCAGCAUAACCUUUCUUCACUUGCCAUCAAUCGUUAAUAGUGCAGCCAAGCUCAAAUUUAUUCUAAACCAUGUACUACAUAAAAAAAAAAGUAACUAAAUCAUUUUCAAACUCAAAUUUGAAAUUGAACCCAAGCUCAAAUUCACCUGGUUUAAUUUAAUGAGCCGAACUCAAAUUUGAAAUUGAAUAUCUAUACCAAUUAAUGAAUCAAAUUGAGUAGGAUUUAUAACUCGUUUAAUAUUCAAUUGAAUUCCAAUUCUAUUCAUAUAAUAUGUGAAUAGAGUUUAAACAUUAAGUACUUGAUUUGAUUCUACUCGUUAAAAGCUCUAAUGUCAAGUGGCUGAUUGACAUAGCUCAUCAGGCGGGUAAAAGCAUUAGAAAAAAGAUUGUGCUAAAAAUUUUUUAUCGCCCAAUAUUUCAGGUAGAAGAUGCUUGUAAUUGCUUGAAACAAAACUGGUGCCUUUCAUUGUAUGUGUUCCCAAAUUUUGUGUUUGAGUUUUUAUCUGCUUAAGGUAUCUUGAACAUUCUUGAACUUUUUGGUCUAAAAAAAGAACCUUUUGAAGUCAAUAUAAUUAGUCCCAAACUAUUUUGAAUGUAAUCAAAAGCUUCUCCUAGUUCUGCCCAAAUUAAUCUCAUUUCAUGUCACUUGUGUCUAUGCCGUAGCUAACAGGAGAUCAUAAAUAAAGUGCGAAUGCAAACUUUGAAGUUUUGAUAUCAAUGCUCACUAAAUUCCGUUUGGACAAGGACAAAUGUACUAUGACCAAUUAAAUCUGCCUAUGAAAAUUUGGGAAAAAAAAAUUUCAUCUUUUGGCAAUUUCUCACUCCUAUUUCAUGAAAUCUACAACCAAAUUAGGCGUAAUCCCUCUCCAGAAAAUACAGAUCUAUACCAUAAAUAGCUAAGCCUGUAGGUUGAUCAUCAUUCUUACGAAUUUGGUAACCGCUACUCCAUCUCUUAUACUAUAGAUGUCACUUCGAGUCGCCUUCUUCUGCAGAUAUAGUAGGAAAGUCAUCCUUAUAUUUUCUAAAUCAGUGACAGAAUAUCAAAAUGCUCAAUCUCAUCAAGACAUUUCAUUGCAUUAAAUUUCUUGGGCCCUUGAAUCAGACAUCUUAAUUGUUUCAAUCUCCAAAAGAAAGAAAACAAAAAUGGAAAAUUAAGAAGAAAAGGACAGAACAAGAAGACCUCGGAAGUCUUCCUUGUGCAGCUGGGAAGACAGGAUAAAUACUGGCUUCAUUUGCGGUACACAUAUCAACCUGCGCAAACUUGAGUUGAACUCGAAAGUAGUCAUGGGUUCUUUUCAAUUUAUCUCUAUAUUCAUUAUGGUCCUACUUUUCCCAUCAUCUCAUCCCAAAGCCAAAGGUGUCGCUUCAGAUUCUGCUAGUGAGGCGGCUGGUCUUUUGAAAUGGAAGGCCAGUUUUCAAAACCAGAACAAUAGCUUGCUAGCCUCGUGGAACCUCCAACCCAUCAGCGGCAAGAAUUCUUCCAACCUUCCAUGCACUUGGGCGGGUAUUUCAUGCAUUAAUGGAAGUGUCAACAGGUUGAAUCUCUCAGAAUACAGCAUAAAAGGUAGCCUUUAUGACUUCCCAUUUUCAUCCCUCCCAAAUCUUGAAUAUCUUGAACUUAGCCUGAAUCAGAUCUUUGGCAGCAUACCUCGUGAAAUAGGUAACCUGUCCAAGCUCAUCUAUCUUGAUUUCUCAGUUAAUGAGUUGUCACAAGAAAUCCCACCUGAAAUUUGCAACUUGAGAAACUUGACUCAUUUAGCUCUCGGAAGUAAUCAACUUUCAGGUCCAAUUCCAUCAGGAAUUGGAACUCUGCAUAAUCUGAUUGAACUUUAUCUGGACAACAACACUUUGAUAGGUUCAAUUCCAGCCACUUUUGGUAACCUCACUAGGCUAGUUAACUUAUACCUUUUCCAUAAUCUCCUAUCUGGUCCCAUUCCUCCAACGAUCAGGGAUAUGAUCUCACUUCAGUUUCUUAUUUUGUCUCAAAAUAAUCUUUCUGGUGGAAUCCCAAAUUCGCUUGGAACUUUAUCCAAUUUGAUUGGUCUAAUUCUCUAUGACAAUCAACUUUCAGGUCCAAUUCCAAAGGAAUUGGGUGAUCUAAAACUCCUUACAAAUUUGGAAUUAGGCGAGAACCAACUUAGUGGUUCCAUUCCUGUUUCAAUUGGUAACUUGAGUAACUUGGCAAAACUGUUUCUCCCAAAAAACCAGUUUUCUGGGUCCAUUCCACAAGAGCUUGGAAACUUGAAAAAGUUGGCAAUUUUGGUAUUGGAUCAAAAUCAGUUCUCUGGUCCAUUGCCAGAAUUGCUAUGUCAAAAUGGUUCACUCCAAAUCAUUUCUGUAUCUGAGAACAUGCUUACAGGUCCAAUCCCUAGAAGCUUGCAGAAUUGCUCAAGCUUAGUUAAGGCCAAUUUCAACGAGAACAAUUUCCAUGGAAACUUGUCAGAAAUGAUCUGCAUCCAUCCAUUCCUGGACUUCAUAGAUCUCAGCAACAAUGAGUUCUACGGUGAACUCUCCAGCAACUGGGUUGAAUGCAAAAUCUUGAAAACCCUGAUAAUUGCAAAGAAUAACAUCACAGGUGGUAUACCUUUAGAAUUUGGAAAUUUAUCUCAACUGCAUGCACUUGAUAUUUCUUCAAAUUUUUUAUCCGGGGAGAUACCAAGGGUAGUGGGGAAGUUGACCUCUAUGCUUAAACUAGAUUUACAUGACAACCAAUUUGUCGGUGGUGUACCUCAGGAAUUGGGAAUGCUAACCGAACUUCUUUACCUAGACCUAUCCACAAAUUCCUUGAAUGGAUCUUUUCCAGAACAUUUGGAAGAUUUGAAGCACUUGUUUUACAUGAACUUGAGCAACAACAUUUUCAGCCAAAAGAUUCCAUUCGAGAUUGGGAAGUUGACCCAACUUUCUGAACUAGAUUUGAGUCGAAAUUUGUUCACAGGAGAGAUACCAUCAGAGUUCCGAAGUUUGCAGAGUCUGGGAACAUUGGACCUCUCCCACAAUAACCUCUCUGGUUUAAUCCCAAAGGCUUUAGCAGAAUUGCCUGGUUCAUUGCAAAUUAAUAUUUCCUUCAAUAAUUUAGAGGGUCCAAUUCCAAGUGGCAGAGCCUUUGUGAAUUUAACGAUAGAAGAAGUAAAGGGAAAUAAAGGCUUGUGUGGCAAUAUUACAGGGUUACGAGCUUGUGAAAGUUCCUCGUUAAUCAAUAGUCAUGUCAAAAAUAAGAGGAAAAAACUUGUUCUCACAGUUGUAUUUCCUCUUCUGGGGUCAUUCAUACUUCUAGGUGCAUUCUUUGGUAUUCCCAAAUUGCGUGAUCAAAGGAAAAAAAUUUCAAGAAUUGAAGAUAUGGAUGUGAAGAAGUGCCAUUUAUUUGCCAUAUAUGGAUAUGAUGGCAAAGCAUUGUAUAAAGAAAUAGUAUUGACUACACAAGAGUUCAGUGAAGUAUUUUGCAUAGGGAAAGGAGGUUAUGGAAGUGUUUAUAGAGCACAGCUUUCAUCAGGGGAUGUAGUAGCUGUAAAGAGACUUCACAACAUGCCUGAGAUGGCAAGUCAUAGAAGUUUCUUGAAUGAGAUAAGAGCCUUGAUAGAAAUCAAGCAUCGAAACAUUGUAAAACUCUUGGGCUUCUGCUCCAACUCUCAGCACUCAUUUUUGGUUUAUGAGUAUCUUGAAAGAGGAAGUUUGGCCAAAAUCUUGAGCAUAGAAGAAGAAGCUAUUGAACUAGACUGGCAGAAGAGGUUGAAAAUCAUCAAAGGCAUCGCUCAAGCUUUAUCUUACAUGCAUCAUGAUUGUUCACCAGCAAUUGUACAUCGGGACAUAUCAAGCAACAACAUUUUGCUCGAUUCAGAAGACGAGGCUCAUGUUUCAGAUUUUGGCACUUCUAAGUUUCUGAAAAAAGACUCAUCUAAUUGGAGUUCUCUUGCAGGAACAUGUGGAUAUGUUGCACCAGGUAAUAAUGUUUUUUGCCCCUCUUUGAUUUAUUAACUACCAGAUUUUAAUACGAUCACAUGUUAUCACGAGUCACGAUGUAAUUUUCCAACUUUUCCUUGCAGAAUUUGCCUACACAAUGAAAGUAACUGAAAAGUGUGAUGUUUAUAGCUUUGGGGUCCUGACAAUGGAAGUAAUCAAAGGAAAACACCCCGGUGACUUGAUUGCUUAUCUAGUGUCUUCAAAGCCUGAGAAAAUUGAACUGAAAGACUUGUUCGAUCAAAGACUUCUGUAUCCCAAUCAAGAAAUUGAAAACAUUCUGGCAUCCGUUCUCAAAUUAGCAAGAGAAUGUCUACAUGUUGAUCCACAAUCUAGGCCAACAAUGCUCUUUAUUUCUAGGUUGUUAUCAACGGGUGCACCAUUUGUGUAACGUAUUGUACACAAUCUGUGUAACAAUUAUUGUAACAAUCUGUGUAACAUAUUGUACAAGACUACGAUGACCAUAUUAAUCUUUUUUCCUAAGUUUUAUGGGUUUAACAAAUAGAUGUAACAAAUAUGUAGAAUUUGACUGAUGCUCUCUUUGAGAUGUGUGGCGAUACUGUUUAGAAAAAAAUAAACAAAAAUCAAUUUUCCUAGUUGCUGCAUUUGAGAUGUGCGGCGAUGCUGGAUUGAGAAAACCCACCCCAAUCACUCCAUUUUUGCAAUCUCUUUUUUUUCAACAUUAUUUCAAGAAAUUUUCCCUCAUCUUUUGCCUCAUAUAUUUUUCAGAUUGCCAUAUUUUGGAAGGCUUAUAAAAGUGGUUACCAUUGAUCAAAGUCAUGAUAAUAAAGCCAAUCCCAGACUGUUUGAAAAUUACUGAUGGAGGACAAGGAGAGAGUAGAGAAGGGGAAGCAUUGGCAAUACGUAGACAUAUACAAGACUAGGGAGAACGGGCGACACUUAGAUAUGAACAAGACAAGGGAGGGCUUGGUUUAAAUUGAAACAUGUUGUCAGGUGGCAAAAACUAAUUUCCAAGGAUCCAUUUGAAAGAAAUAAUGCUCCAAUGUUAAGAAAUAGGAAUUUAAAAAUCUCAGUGGGUUGCUCACCCACCUGCCACCCCUUUCCAGUUUCCCUACGAUGAGGGCACGCUGAUAAAAAGAGACUAGGCAAAUUCCUUAAAGACGGGUAGAAAACACGUCAUUUCUCCUUAUAGACUAGAGUAGGCACUCAUCUUGGCUUAGUUCUGUGGACCUUUGCCAAGAAGAAUUUGGUGCAGGAACCGUACCAUUUCUGGGUCGAGGGCCAGGAUUGAUCUAAGGAAGAAAAGGGUGUGUUUGGAUUGCUUUGAUAAAUUGGUACUUUUCCGUUAACACAUUUUUCAAUAAUUUUUUUAUCUUAUAUAUAUCAAAUUAUUACAAUAAUUUUUUUUACAGAAAGUUCAGAAAAAUGCAAUCCAAGCAAGUUCUAGACUCCGAUCACGUAGUUGUUUUCAACGCGUUUUAACUUUAGACCGUGUUCAAAGUUAUUUAUAUGACUGAAUAAAAGACUCACAAUUGGUUGAAAUGAACAAAACUGUUCUGCAACCAUUCAACCCGCAAUCAUUUGUGCCCUGCCAACAAGAACCCACCAUCAAAUUUGUUAAAAAAUCAUUUUUACUUGAUCCUUAUUUAAAAGGAGUUAAAUCCACAUCCUUCUAUUCAAAAUUCACAAUUUGAUAUUUUGUAGUAAAAUGCAAAUGCAGUUUCGGUGCCUAAAUUUUGGUGCUUUAACGACUCAGGAGCCCAUUGGACAAAAACAGAUUUGGUACUCAAUGUUACAAUAUUUAAACAUAUUUGGUACACUUAAUAGAUUUUUCAAAUUCAUAUUGCAAAAAAUCGCGUGUUAUCACAUUUCUAGCAAUGAAAUUGUAAAGAAAGUCCAUGUUUAUAUCUAAUUGAAGAAUCUUCGAAUUCUUGCUUCCACCUCUUCAUGUGAGAUUAAAUGUCACUAAAUUUUUCUUAUGGUUUCAUGGUUGAAUCCAUAAAAGUUCGAUUAAAACAAAUGUCUCAAUGUUUUGCUCUUUUUUUUAUUUUUUUUUGUUUUAAUGCUUGUUUAUUAGAGGGUAUGAAGAUAAGAAGAGAUGAUAGGAGGGGGGAGUUUGGAGUGUGUAUGGUUAGCUCAAUUGGGUAUCUUCUUAAGUUAACUUAUUUUGUUUUUAAAUGAGUAAUUGAUGUUUUAUUAUUUCUUAAACUAGAUGAUAGGUUUGUGAGUUAUCUUCCAAUUAUUUUGGAAUUUUUUUUUAUAAUUUCAUUGUGGCGCAUUGUGACAGCACAUGAUUUUUUCAUAGAAAUUUGAAAAAAAUCCAUUAAGUGUGCUAAAUAUGCUCAUACAUUGUAACAUUGGGUACCAAAUUUAUUUUCGUCCAAAGUUUGGAUACUAGAAUUGCUCAAGAGUCAAAAUGUGGGUACCAAAACUGCAUUUUACUUUUUGAUGUAUUAACUACUUGUACUAUUAGUAUAAAAAUUUGCAUACGGUGUAGGUUUAGAAUGGAGGUGUGAGACCAUACUUACUUCCACUGAAUUAUAAAGUUGAAUAUAAUGCUACGUGAUAAAAUAUCUUUCAUCCUUUUCUUAGUAAAAAAUUAUUUUAUAAGUUAAAUUGGGAUAAUUUUAGAAACCUGAGAUUUCUGAUAAUUACACAUAAAUACUCUCCAAUAUCAAAAAUUACACUGCCCUCCCCUUUCAUUUUGAUGUGACCAGAUGUCAACUUUAGCAGCAAUAAAGUGACAAAAAUAUCCUCACAAUAUCAGUCUCUAAAAUAUUAGAAAUAUGGGAAAAAUAUAAAUCUUCCAAGUAUAAUAUCUUUUACAUGUAAUUUGACGCCAUUAAACUUGGGAUAUAUAUUGCUUUUGGCGCCUUCCUAACAAUCAUACUACUUCUAAAGUGCAGAAGAAAUAGCUAUAGAGAAAGGAGAGGAUCUAGUAGCGAAACUGAUAAAAAUCCUUCAUCUCACGAAGGAUAAGUCAGAAUAGUAGUAUAUAUGCAACAUAUGAGCUUGAUCGAAAGCUACUGAGGUAAAAGAUCACAAUUUUGUUAGAUUUGUUAUACCUAUUUACAAGUAAUAGACACUAAUAGUGGAUGUGAAUGAUUUGUAUCCUUGUUAUUGUGGCAUAUAAUCUGUUAUUACUAUUAUAAGAUGAAGAUAUGGCUGUGAGAUUGCUUCAAAAGUUAGGCAGAAAAAAGGGAUAGUGGAUUUAGGGUUAGAUCACGUCUAUGUUGAUGUUUUUUAUGCCAAAUCUAUGACUAAUAAUGCAUGCAUGUGGUGUAUUUGAUGGAUUUUUGUGCAACUGAUGUUCACAGAGCUUAAUGAUUUAUAGAGGGAGAGUUGUGUUGUAAUGAGUUUUUCUUGAUGAUCAAUAUGGCGUCACUUGAUUUUUGUCUAAAAUAUAGAUGUUUGGUGACUCAAUAGAAUUUUAGUUAAAAGUAUUUGUUCAUCUCAUUUAGUAGAUAAAUGGCUUGUGACAGGUCGUCAGCCUGUGCAAUAAUAAAACCUGUUGAAACUAAAAGUAAUUUCUGUAGAUAGCAGUAAGCAGGGUCGAAUCCACAGGGACUGGGAGUAAUUGUUCCUUUCCAAAUUCACAGUAACGAAGGGGGUGUUUUAUAUCAGGAGUGACAAUUUAAACAAUUCAACUAAAAAUAAAAUGAUAAAAGUAAAAUAGCCAACUAGAAAUUAAAUAACAAGUUACUAAAAUCUAAUAAGUGAUAAUCAAGGAUCUAGCCAAGAAAUAACUUCAGCAAUGGUUCACCUAAUUGAUCAUCGAUAAGCAAAGGCAAUUCCAAUUAUUCAUCAAUAAAUAGGUUAUAACUACCAAACAAGCGAUGGCAGUCAACCCCUCCUUACUGUGUCGGUGAUCAAGGUACGCCCGUUAAUCACUACUCUAAUUGAGAAAUAAUCCUAGGUACGCCCAUAGAAUUUAAUUCCCCAAUUGCCUUACGUAUUAGAGGAGCCCUAUUCUAACCAAAUAACGCACUACCAGGGUUAUUUUAGAUUAGCCCGCGUAUUCCCAUGACACAAAUCUAAUCAUGCCAGUUGUCACUGUUUGAGGUAAUUAAACAAUUACGGAUUCAAUACCCCAAUUGACAAUAGAUUACCAAAUCAAUUAAUUAUCUGGAUCCAAGACAAUCAACUAAUUAAAUAACCAUAAGCAUAGUAAUCAGGGAAUACAUGAAUACCAAUAAAUAAAAGGGAAAGAUUAAAUUAAAUCGAUCUCACAGUUUUCAGGUGACCCAAAGCAUCCGUCGUUUCUUGACUAGAACGAGGGGAUUAGCUCAUAUUGGAUGAACUAAGCCCGCGGGAAAUUUCAGCAGAAGUCACGGCCAUUGUAUGCAUUUCAAGAGCCGCAAUUCGUCAAACACUUAGUAAGCAAAUGUAAGGCACAGGUAACAAAUUGAAGCCCUUUAUUGUUCCUAGCAUCCGCAGAGCAAAAUCAUUCACAAGGUGUAAGAAGGAAAAGUCAAAGAAAGCUGACAAAAAGCUUCCUCCUCACAUUCGUACAUGUCUUAAGCCAAAAAGUAAAGUACAAGGGAAAAGUCAACAAUUUUCUUUGCUAAGCUAAAGACGAAAAGCUAAGAAUUCAGCCACCCUCCAUCUGAUCCUCUUUUCUUCUUCUUCUUGCGGCGGCUCACAGCAGGAAGAGAAGCCCUCUGUCCGUCAUUCCUUUGCGAAAAUUACCAAAAUGGGCGUGACAUCUUUUUUCCAAAAGUGACCCUGGGACAAGCUUUAUCAUCUGAAUUCUUUUCCAGUCAAUUUGGCACCUGUUAUCAUAUUUUCGUUCUACUCCCUGAAAUAUACGUAAAUUAAGAAAAAUGAGUAGAAUCCAGCAAUUAAUCCACAUCAAGUCAGGUGAUAGGGGAAAAUAAUAGUAAAAUAAAUAGAUAAAUUUCAGCCUAUCAAUUCCCCCCACACCUAAACCAUGCUUGUCCUCAAGCAUAAGACACCAAAAUUUGAUAAUGGUCAUUGCCCAAUCUACCAAACUGCCAAGAUAUUCAAGAAAGAACCACAUAUCGGGCACUAGUAAUUAAAAUCCGAGAAGCAUCCCCUCAGUUAGCCUCUAAACCACAAACUCCUUCAAUUUCCAAAUUAACUAAUCUAAGGAAAAGGAAUGGCACGCAACAUUUAUCAGCUAAUGGUCCAAAUAUUCACACAAGUCCCCAUAUUAAGUCCAUAAACCAGCAAGCUCUCCUAUUAUUUAAUCUCAUUUUUUUUUUGUUUUACUUUCUUUCAAGCAAUCAUAAUAUUUGACACAAGAAGACUUAGUCUCUAGCCGCCGGAGCCUUUUGACGCGAACUCCAACAUUUUUAGAUGAAGGAGCUCGGUUACUCAGCUCCUACCGCUAUACGACCACGUACUCAUAUAAAGCACCAUCUUUUGACGCGAAAAUCGACACUUUUAGGUGCCGAUUCCCGGUUACUCAGUAGUGGUUAAUAGCGGAGUACAGUCAAGUUUAUUCACAGCCAAACAAAGCCAGAAACACGAAAUACCAACACUAGCAACCAAGCAUAGGGGCAGCUCGCCUCAUUAUUGCCAAACAUGGAGAACCGGAGUCAAUAUUGGACCAGUUCACCUCAAAAUGCCAACAGUCAUUCCCAAUGCCUAGAAAAGUUAACAAAGAAAUCAAAAGAGCCAAGCAAUCCGAUAUUCACCAAGGAGAUAUCUUGGAUCCAACCACAUCAACCCGAUACCUUUGUAUUUAAAAACUUGGCAAAAGUAGACUUGGAGUCAAUAAGUCCACAUCUCAAUUUUUAGCAUUCUCAUGAAAGGUAAGCACCAAGACGAAAGAACGAAAACGAGCAACUAGAAAUAAAACUAAGAAAAACUACUAAAAAGUAAAAACUUUUUUCUUUUUUUUUGACUAAAAACGUAAAACACUAGCACCCCCUUAGAUCCCCCCACACCUAUAGGACAUAUUGUCCUCAAUGUGACAAAUAACCAACAAAAGUGGGUGAGAGGACAGUAACACUUCCCUGAAAUCCGGUCAAAGAGGUGGGCGAGGCGGAGCUGGAGGAGCAAAGCCCGUAUGAUGCAGAAAUUGCGCCAAAUUCUCACCAUGUCUCUAAACAGUUAGCUCAAAGCUACAGAAGCUCCAACAGGUAUGGAAACCAGCAAAUGCAACUAGCAAAGGAAACUCAAGCAGAACAAAGCAAGAAUUUCCCAGUAAUCACCCAAUCAAUAACAAAAAGAAGAAUUCCAACAAUUAAAAAUGCCCAGUCAAAGCCUUCCCACUUCAAAAGUUGAAGCUAUCAGUCAGAGGGUCCCCCAACAAUGAAAUUGUGCAAGAUGACCCCACAAAGUAAGUCAAACGGCACAGGAUCUCACUCAAUAUGCAAUAGCAGAAUUAACUCAAGCAAAGCCCCCAUAAAACCUCAAUGAUUCCCCCAGCAAUGCAAGCAAAAUAGACCUCAGCAAGACAAUCCAACAAGCAACGUUGGGUUCAAAGGCUCCUUCAAAUCGAACAAAUAAUCAUAGCAUUGUAACACAUUCAAAAUCUCAAUAAACGGCUCCAGUUGGCCAAUUAACUGCACAAUGUCACCCAACCCAAAAGAAAUAGCAGUUCCAAUCAACAAUAGUCCGACCAGUACCACUGGCGGAAAAUCACACAAUUGGGGAAAAGACUUCCACACGGCCAAAAUACCCACUGCUGACGAACCCAGAUAGCACCAUUCAAUUUGUAGAAAAUUGGGAGUAAGAUUCAAAUACCUCCACUGGUACCACUCCAGGUGGCGGGCAGAGCAGCGGCGGCGCACGAUGGCAACACCAAUGGCGUCGGCUUGGGCUGGUGGAGCGCGCGGCAGGGGAGCAGAGCUCGCGCGAGGGCUUCGGGUACAGCCAAGAGAGAGACAGACGGGCAGCUGUGGAGUGCUGCCGCGGCUGGCGCAGUUGUCGCCGCGCUCCAGAGAGAGAGGUGAGUGAGUGCAGGGGGCUGGAGCUGCUGACUGAAGGCGCGGCUGCCAAAAAUUCAGCAGCAGUGGCGGUCACGCGGGCAGCAGCGGAGAGAGAGGGUGGCUGCCGAGCUGCGGUGAGAUCGAGCUGGAGGUGGCUGCGGUGGCCGGCUGCCGCGCGAGCUGCGCCUGAGAAGCUGGCCCGCGCGCGAGGCUCUAUGGGUCUCGGCCAAAAAGGGGCGGCGGCGCAAGCUGCGCUUGGUGGUUGGAGCCGCUGGUCGAUGGCGAGGAAGAGCAGGAAUGGGAGGCGGCGUGCGCAGAGGUGGGCGGCGCGAAUUGAAAAGAGAAGAAGAAAGAAAGAAAAAGAAAGAAAAGAAAGAAAAGAAAAUAAGAGAAAGAAAAAGAGAGAAAUUGUUUUUUUUUUUUUUUAUGAGGCUAUUUGAGCCACGGGAAUUUUUUUUUUUUAUUUUUUUUGAAAAAUUUUUUUUUUUUUUUUUUGAAAUUUGGAAACUAAAGCUACGGUGAUAAGAAAUGUUUAUUCUAUUUUUUUUGUUUUUGUUUUUGUUUUGGUUUUAAAAAUUUUUUUUAUUUUUUUUUUAAUUUUUUUUGCAAAUGUUAUUUUCGAAAUUUAAAAUUAGAGAUUAACCGAAAAUCAAUAACCGUUCUUGAGUUUUUUUGAAUACUUACCUUUCCCGCGAAUGUGACGUGGGCACGUCAUGAAGGCACGGAAUCUGGAGCUCUCCAUAUGACAUGACGCGGGCACGUCAUGAGGGCAUGAACCUCUUCUGAAGAUUCUGACCGUGAGCUUUUCAGAUGUCAUGACGCGGGCGCGUCAUGACAGAAAGACACCUACAAAUCAUCAAAAACGAAAAUUGAAACCCGAAAUCAGUCAAAUUCAAGGAAAACAUAUUUAAACUAUCACUUGAAAUCAAAACAAACAAUUAAAAGAAAUAAUUGGGUUGCCUCCCAAUGAGCGCCUUUCUUUAAUGUCUUUGGCUAGACAUGUCAUAUUUUCUCAGGGAGGACAAAAUCUUGUGGCUCGUCUUAAUGCUUCAUCCUCUAUAUAGUCCUGAUAACCCUCGCAAAUAGAAUAAUUCUUGAGCAUACGAGCUACGGGCUUCCAUGGACUAGUGAAUGGCGCCAAACGAGUCGAUGAUAAUUUGCAUUCUCCAUUCACUCCUCCCCCACUUGCAUUUAUUGGUUCAAGAUAUCUUGCCAUCUCCACUCUUAACUUAUUCCUGUCAUGAAAUUUUAAAUUUUCUGGUAUAAUAAAAUCAAUUUCAGUAACAGGAGUUGAAGAAUAGGAGUCAGGAAAAUAUUGAUUAAGGAGUGGAGAAGAUGUCACCGCAUUUGGAGAUUGUUCACUGGAUUCAUUCACUUGAACGAGUUGAUAUUGGAGUCUCAUUUCUUGCACUUCAGCUUCCUUUUCAACUGCAUCUUUAAAUCCGUUUUCUUGAAACUCUUGCAGUUCCAUGUCAUUUGGCAGGACAAUUGCACUCUCAUCUUCCUCAAGAUUGAUAUUGGUUUGUGUGGGCAAUUCUUCCAUUUGAGGAGCCAAUCGAUUUAUUCUGGAUGUCAAUAGACAUAGUUGAUCUGCCAGGUCGCGAAGGCUCGCUUGUGUCUCCUGAUGAAAUCGAUUUAGGCUCGCUUGUGCCUCCUGAUGAAAUCGAUUUGUAUUAGCAAUUAGUAAUUCAAUCAUUUCUUCAAGAGACAUACCUGACACGGAGGAUGAUUGCUGAGACUCUUGCUGUUGAAAAUCCAUUGGCCCGGUUGCAUAAUCAAAAUUGGAAUUAUCCCACCAUUCUUGAUCAUACCCGUUUGAAUAAGGGUCAUACUGCGUUUGAUAUUGGGGUGGAAAAUCUCCAAAAGUAUCAAGUGGAGAACUUAGAUUAUCUUGAAAUACGGGGCAUGUGUCAGUUGAAUAACCUGAGUCAAAAUAAGUUCCACAAUUUGCAACAGCCCAUUGAUCAUUAGAAAAAGCACAAGCUUCAUAACCCUUUCUAGAAAUAAAAUCCAGUCUAUCACUAAAAUACGGAAUGUUAGCAGCCAUAAACUAUAUAUAUAAUAAAAAAAAUAAGAGGAAAAUAAUUUAAAAAAAAAUGAACUCAAAAAGAAACUAAUUAAUCAGGCACCAGUCCCCGGCAACGGCGCCAAAAAUUGACAGGUCGUCAGCCUGUGCAAUAAUAAAACCUGUUCAAACUAAAAGUAAUUUCUGUAGAUAGCAGUAAGUAGGGUCGAAUCCACAGGGACUGGGAGUAAUUGUUCCUUUCCAAAUUCACAGUAACGAAGGGGGUGUUUUAUAUCAGGAGUGACAAUUUAAACAAUUCAACUAAAAAUAAAAUGAUAAAAGUAAAAUAGCCAACUAGAAAUUAAAUAACAAGUUACUAAAAUCUAAUAAGUGAUAAUCAAGGAUCUAGCCAAGAAAUAACUUCAGCAAUGGUUCACCUAAUUGAUCAUCGAUAAGCAAAGGCAAUUCCAAUUAUUCAUCAAUAAAUAGGUUAUAACUACCAAACAAGCGAUGGCAGUCAACCCCUCCUUACUGUGUCGGUGAUCAAGGUACGCCCGUUAAUCACUGCUCUAAUUGAGAAAUAAUCCUAGGUACGCCCAUAGAAUUUAAUUCCCCAAUUGCCUUACGUAUUAGAGGAGCCCUAUUCUAACCAAAUAACGCACUACCAGGGUUAUUUUAGAUUAGCCCGCGUAUUCCCAUGACACAAAUCUAAUCAUGCCAGUUGUCACUGUUUGAGGUAAUUAAACAAUUACGGAUUCAAUACCCCAAUUGACAAUAGAUUACCAAAUCAAUUAAUUAUCUGGAUCCAAGACAAUCAACUAAUUAAAUAACCAUAAGCAUAGUAAUCAGGGAAUACACGAAUACCAAUAAAUAAAAGGGAAAGAUUAAAUUAAAUCGAUCUCACAGUUUUCAGGUGACCCAAAGCAUCCGUCGUUUCUUGACUAGAACGAGGGGAUUAGCUCAUAUUGGAUGAACUAAGCCCGCGGGAAAUUUCAGCAGAAGUCACGGCCAUUGUAUGCAUUUCAAGAGCUGCAAUUCGUCAAACACUUAGUAAGCAAAUGUAAGGCACAGGUAACAAAUUGAAGCCCUUUAUUGUUCCUAGCAUCCGCAGAGCAAAAUCAUUCACAAGGUGUAAGAAGGAAAAGUCAAAGAAAGCUGACAAAAAGCUUCCUCCUCACAUUCGUACAUGUCUUAAGCCAAAAAGUAAAGUACAAGGGAAAAGUCAACAAUUUUCUUUGCUAAGCUAAAGACGAAAAGCUAAGAAUUCAGCCACCCUCCAUCUGAUCCUCUUUUCUUCUUCUUCUUGCGGCGGCUCACAGCAGGAAGAGAAGCCCUCUGUCCGUCAUUCCUUUGCGAAAAUUACCAAAAUGGGCGUGACAUCUUUUUUCCAAAAAUGACCCUGGGACAAGCUUUAUCAUCUGAAUUCUUUUCCAGUCAAUUUGGCACCUGUUAUCAUAUUUUCGUUCUACUCCCUGAAAUAUACGUAAAUUAAGAAAAAUGAGUAGAAUCCAGCAAUUAAUCCACAUCAAGUCAGGUGAUAGAGGAAAAUAAUAGUAAAAUAAAUAGAUAAAUUUCAGCCUAUCAGCUUGUACUAGUUAUGUAGAGCUUGUUGAGUAAUAAAGGAUGGUAAUGGAAGAAUGAAAGAUAAGUUGAGGUUGUUCUGGAAUAAUAAAGCUAUCUGAUGUGGGUAAAUGAAAAGAAAAAAUUUAUGAUGGAUUAUGGAGUUUUUUGUAUUUUGAAAGCUGCUCUUAGGCGUUCUUAUAUGACAAGGAAUAUUUUACUUCAUUAUUUAGAUUUUGAUGUUAGUAAGUAACAAUUAUGAUACUAAUAAUUAAUUUGGAUAAAACAAGAUGUCACUUGUGGUUGCACAUGACAUUGUAGUUCACUACAAUGGAAGAAGAACCAGGAUUCCCAAUGUGGAUCUUGAUAAGUAUUCUUAUAUAGAACUGUUGAAUGAUGUUUGUGAGAAAGCACUGCAUAAAUUACCUGGAAAUUUUAAUUAUUUGCUACAUGUGAGAUGUGGGAUUUCAAGAAGUGCUACAACAAUGGAUGUCAAUAAUGAUAAGGCAGUCAUGGAAAUGUUUAAGGUGCAUGAUAAUGAGCUGGUGAUUAAUUUGUUUGUGGACCAUAUGGAUGUAAUUCCAUUUAAUAUGCCUGAGGUGAACCACAAUAACAACUUUGGUGGUGGCCAAGAGAAUCUAGGAAUUGAGGAGACUACUGGAAAUGUUGAACCUAAUUUGCAAAAUAUUGAAAGGGAUGAUGAAGUGUUCAUUUCAAGUGAUGAUGAUUCUUGGUUGUAUGAAGCAAACAAUGACAAAGAGGAUAGCUUAAGCAAUUGCAGUGAGGUACAUGAAUCAUUUGAUAGGAGUGAUAUUGCCUUCUCAGAUUAUGAGGUGAAUGAUGAAGGUGAUAUAAUUCUGAAUUAUGAAUCUGAGGAAGAAAUUGAUCCAAAUAGGGCAGCUUUAAGAGCAAAAAUAUUCACCUAUAAUCCGAGAGUGGAUAUUGAAUUUGAGAAGAAUAUGUUAUUCACCAAUGUUGAUGCUUUUAGGGCUGCUUUGAAGGAUUAGGCAAUCCAGAAAGGUUUACCCAUAGUAAGACUGAAAAAUGAAAAGAAAAGGUGUACUGCUAAGUGUGAUGUUGAAGGCUGUCCAUGGAGAAUCCAUGCUUCUCCUGUUGGUGAAACAACUACUUUUCAAAUUAAGUCUUACACACCUCAACACACUUGUGUUAUGAACAAUAGGAAUGCGGAGGCUACAUCUGAUUAGAUUGCUAAGAAACUAGUUCCACUUCUUCAGAUCCAUCCUCAAAUGAAUACAGAAAGUGUCUAUGCUAAGAUUGUAUCAAAUAUGGUAUGCAUCCUAGCAAGAUGCAGAUUUGGAAAGCAAAGACAAGGGCAUUGGAAGAGAUACAGGAUACACACUAUGAGCCAUAUGCAAGCUUGCCCAAGUAUGUUGAGAAUGCAUCUGCAAGAUUCAGUUUGACAGACCAAAUCUCUUGGUGGAAACCAGAUUUCUGAGAAUUUUUAUUAGUUUCAAAGCACAAAAGGAUGGAUUUCUUAGAUAUUGCAAGCCAUUUGUUGGUUUUGAUGGUUGCCACCUCAAAGGACCAUAUGGAGGAAUGUUGCUUACUGUUGUGGCCUUGGACACUACAAGAAAAUUUCCCUAUUAUGGCAUACUUGUUAGGGCACUAUUUAAUAAAUGCCUCAAAUAAACACUUAUUAAGGCAUUUGGUAGUUUGUGCCAAAUUAGCACUUAUUAAUUAAAUAAAAAAAGACAAUGUAUAAGGGACAAAGCUUAUAAGAAAAACUGAAAACAAAAGAAUAUAAAGAAAAUAUUUAUAGAGGCAUUUUAGAGAUGUGCCUCAACAACUAUUAGAAGGAAAAACAAUUGUUUGAUGAAAAAAUAAAAAAAAAUUCCUCUAAAAUUGGCGCCUAAAAGAAGCGGCAAAAUUGUCCCAAAUCCCAAAUUUUGCAAGAUACAUUUUUUAUUUACCCAUCUUUCUCCCUCAGUCUCCUCUCGCAGUCUCCCUCUCGGUCCUCUACCAAUCUACCCCCAAAUUCUAAUCUAACACUUUAUUUUUCAUUUACCCAUCUCUUUCUCUCACUCUCUCUCUCUCUCGGCCCUCUACCCCCAAAUUGUUCUCCCAAUCUCUUUCCUCAAAAUUUUCCUAAAAAUCAUUGCCGGCUCUCACUAGCUCUCAUCCUCCCAAUCUCGUAACUGGAAGACAGCGGCGUCUCCCUUGCUGUGGCAUUGGCCUUGGCUAGUUCCUGUAAGCGGUUACUUUGUUAAUGAAUUUCAGUGAGCUAUCUUGUAAUUUUAUCUGCUGUUCUAUGGGGUGUUCUCUCUCUCUCUCUCUCUCUCUUUUUGGUUUCUUUUGGUCUUUAUGAAAUCUGAAUUUCUAUUCUAAGAAAAGGUGUGUCUGGUUUGUCUUUUUCCUUCCCAAUGAAUUGUUGAUCAUUCUGCUCGCAUUAGCCAAGGCUUUUCAAGUUUUAUUGGAUUUGAAGACAGGAAAAAGUUGAAAUUAUAGUUAUGCUUUUCAUCUCUAUCCUUAAUAUUGCUUAUUCUAUAUCAGGUUUCCAAAAUGGAAGCCUUGAGAGAAAUUGGCUUUUAUGAAUAGCUGUUGGAGCCUUAAUUAGGAAUAGACUGUAGUGCAUAGGCUUUUCUCUAACAUUUAGAACUAUAGCUCUUCACUUUAGUGCCUGAAGCAUAAUCUGUUUUAUUCUGAUAAUGGAGAGGAAGGAUGCGUAGUAGCUAUCAUGUAGUUACAUCAUUUUCGAUAUUAUACAAAGCUAUGUACAGCAUAUAAACAUAUCCACUUACUGAGGUAGCUACAGGUAAGUUUGGCUUGCCCAAAACUUAUCCAUUUUCACAAGCUCAUUUUCUAGUAAUGUUCUAGAAUGGUACAAUAAUAUAUCUACAUGAUAUAGAAAGAGAUUAUUGUGAAACAAAUAAAACGCUACCGAGGGAAACAUCUGUGAAGGAUUAUUGUGCAUUUUCGACUUUAACUAUCAAAAAUCAACAUAGAGAAUUUUUUUACCCCAAAAAAAGAUCAUAAUCCAUAUAUACUUUGUCACAUAGUACAAUUCUUCUUUUGGUUUGGGGUGUAGGGGUCAAGUAUUUGGUGAAAUUUGCACUACUUGAAUUUAAGAGAGGUAAAGGAUAUGGUUUACUCUCUUACCAGUGGUACCAUUAGAGAUAACAAACUAGAGCCAGAUGAGAGUCUUGGAGAGAAACAGAGCAAAAGUUGAGUUCUAAUCUCCCCAGCCUGCAAUGAAAAAAAUGAAAAACUCAACUACAUCAAAAUAAUACCAUCAAGAUAUUUUAAAAUGCUAUAGUAUCUGAAUUUGGUUUAUUUACUAGGAAUAACAUCCGAAGGGUAUGAACUACCAUGCCUCUUAUCAUCGAUAGGUCUAGUAUCACUAUGAAGUAAUACCUCUCUUGACAUCUCACGUUGUCAAGACAUGCUCUUGCUGUUACAUGUUUCACAAGUAUUCUUCUUCUCAAGCAUCCUAUAUAAUUUCAGGAAGCUCCCUUCAGAGGGAAGGAAGACAAAAAAAUUGCCCGAUUCUUAUAAUAGGCUAUGUAACUCAAUCGGAAAUAAAUCAAAUAUACAGCAAUUCAAAAUGAAAUAUUCAACAUGGAACUCAUAUCUGGUGCACAACAUUAUGGUGCUUGCAUACAAGUAAUGAUUGCAUUUUUUAACUCAAUUUCAUUAGCAUUUCCAACCGAGUUGAAUCUAUUUUAAUACAAUACAAAGUUAUGCAAGAUAAGUAUCUGAAAUGCUAUCAAAAUGGCUAACCUGUAGAGUGCAUUGAGCUAAAAGUACCAUGGAUGGCCCAAUAUUACUUGGUACUGUUGACUGACAGGGCUACAAAUGGAUAACAGACUUGUUUUCAUUUGGCUUACUUCUGCAGAUUAGAAUCUCUUAGAUAACUGUGACGAGGAAAUUUUUUCAAUGAAUUGCAGCAACAGCAAGCUCUGCUAUGCAAUUAAAGUCUCUUGUUUACAUAGAUAAGUGAGGAAAUAUGUGUUUCUUCUAUCCGUUUCCACUAUUUACAUAGAUAUCAUUCAUCAAUAGCCAACAUCAUACAAAUGACAUGAUAUCUUAUUAAGCACUGCAUAUCUGCCUUCAGUUUUAGGGUAUGCUGUAUCACCCUAAAACUAGUAAUGUUCAAUUGGUGCUCCUAUAGCUUGGCCAACAAAACUAGUAUGUUUUUCCUUUUCUAACUUUCAAAUUAUGUUAAUUGUUAAUAUCUCAUAUGUUUGUCUCAUUCGAUAAUUAUGAUGGAUUUUAAUACAUAAUAUACUUAUGCUAUAGGUAAAAAUUUGCGAAGAUUAAUGUGCUGAAAUUCAAAAGUGAAGAAGGUGUUGCAGCAUAUGGAUACUUAUCCAUUUAUAUGGAAGUGCUAUAACUGUAAAAGGACAAAGUGUUGCUGCAUAUAUUACAAGAAGUUGGUCUACUAGCAGUUUAGUUGAUUUUAGUUUAGCUGGUGCUAUUUAGGUGAAAUCGUUGGUUAUGAGUACUUUAAUUGUAAUCAUUGGUUAUGGUGAUAAUUUGAAAGUGGUUUUUCAAUCAAAUAUUGUUGGUUUUGGUCAUUGAAUGUGAGAUGUCCAAUAUUGCCGUUUGUUUCUAUUGAUACAACAGGAAUGUCAUAUUCACAGUAGUACCUGUGGCUAGGCAUAAAAAAGAAAAAAAAAAUCCAGUCUAUUGAGGCACUUGUAAGUGUCAUGAUAAGGGUUUUUUGUAGUAGAAAUUUUCUUGUUACGUAGCAGGUUUUUGAGGCAUUUUAAAACAUCUUUUAAAGGUUAAUAUAGAGGCACUUGCCAAUAUCUACAUUAAGAUAUAUAGUGACACAUUUGCGUGCCUCAAUAACAACUAUUUUCUGACAAAUACUAUUGUCUCAAUAACCUUGUUAUGGCACUUUUAGAUGUCUGAAUUGUUUUCUAUGUCAUGGCACUUAAUUGUGCCUUUAAAAGCUUUUGUGACAUAGGUUUUACAUGGCACACUAGGUAUGUGCCUCAAUAUAUUAAGUGCCUCAACAAGGUGUGACUUGUGACAUUUUGAUGUGCCUCUAUAAGUUGUUUUUCUUGUAGUGGGAUAGGAAUAAGAGCAUAUUCCCUCAUGCGAUUGUUGUGGUUGAAUGUGAAAACAAAGAGACUUGGUCAUAGUUCUUUCAUUUCUCUGAAGAAUACUUUGGUCCAUUUGAUAGCCAAUUGCCUCUAACAUUUAUGAGUGAUAGAAAAAAUGUACUUUUUGUUCUACUCACAAAUGUCCCAUUUCUACUAUCAUAUGACUUAACUGCCAAUCUUCUAUUUGCGCUAAUUAAAUUAUGUUAAAUGUGGGGUCUGAACUUAGCAUAUGAAGGACUGAUACCAUACACUAAUGCAAGAUACUACUGUAGGCAUAUUCAGAGUAACUUUAAACUGUCCUUUCGAGGGUAACUGCUUAGUAAUUACUUCUAAUAGGCAGCUAUUCAGAGUAACUUUAAACUGUCCUUUCGAGGGUAACUGCUUAGUAAUUACUUCUAAUAGGCAGCUAAGAGCUUUGAUGCAACUGGUCAUAAAGAGGUAAUGGAGAGAAUUAAAGAGAUAAAUAUUGAAGUUUGGAAAUACUUGACAAAGAUAUGGCUAACAGCUUGGGCGAUGAUUACGGUGAUGCACAUGUUUAGCUGCAUAGUCUACUUCAUUUAUGGUGGAUUUUUCUUUUCUUUUGCAGAUACAAUUGCCGCUAUUUAGCAACUUCAGAUUUUGUUUUACUGAAAAAUUAACACUUGUCUCACGGUAAUUGAGAAAUCUUCAAUCCUACAACUGUAAUGACCAUGAUAUCCUUUGGUUUUGUUAGUCUUAACAUGAAUAAUAAACGGAACGACCAACAAUAUACACAUUUUACAAGUUUGAUGAGUAAUUUGGCAUCUUUAAUAAUUGAAGGGCCAAAAGCAUACAAACUUAAUAAUUCAAGGGCCAUUUUAAGUUUUUUUGCCCUUUUCGAACUGAUACCUUGAAAUAUAGAUUUUAUUUCAUAAGUAUUCAGUACAUAGCACCUACCUCUCUUUUGCUGGUAAACAUAGCAAAAGGUCUUUUCCACGUAAUAUGUAAUGUUAUGUUACAAUCGUGGCGUAAGUAAUUUAAUUUAUUUAGGUAUCAUAGUCGAUCAACUUUAAAAGGAGAUUUCAAUCAACUUCUACGAAUUGGUUUCGCGGCCUCCAAUCAGGGAAUCCCAUACCCAUACCCAAUUGGG